CUUUGUUUGUGUCUCUCUUUAUAUUCCACUAAGGUCGGUGAUCUUGAUGCCACACACACUCAGAUGUGUGUUCAUCUCCAGAUACUACUCCAUGCUACCUGCCCUUUUUGUUUUGUUCAAUAACUGGGUAUCAUAUCCCGGCCAGUGUGCCAUCUAUUUUGUGUUUGUUUCCUUCUAGUUCCAAAGGGGUCAUCAUGAUGUUACCUUCUUUCGAUAUGGUGCUUUGCAUGACAACUGUUGUAUGGUACCAUCUUGUUGGCCAAUAAAUACAUCUUAUCCUAUGACCCUUUGCUAUGACCCUUUGCAAAUAAGUACAAGAUUGUUAUAAGCGUCAAUACUCAGUAUAAUUGAUCGCUGCUGUGAGUUCCCUUUCAGCUUAUCGUAGGCACACAUUAUUGCUAGCACGGUAAAGACAACCAACACGAAUGAUGAAGUAAACGUAGCGGUACUUUUGUAUACCAACACCCUUACUUAAAUGUACUGGUGUCAUUCCCUACUGGCACAUAUAUUCUUAUAUGCUAGCCAGAUUGGAAAAUUAACCAAUUAAAAUAAUUAUUUCAAGAUAGAAAUAACUUAUCGGCUUCUCGAAGCAUGUGUAAUUUUAAUUCAAGGACUCAAUGGAAGUUGAAUCACUUCAUCUAGAUUGCCUUCUGGAUUUUGGUUAACUAAAUUUAACAUUUGUGUCGGGGGGAAAUAUUAACGAUUUUCUUACGCUCUCUAAUUAACGGAUACAAGGGCUAGGGCCCACCCCUAAUACCCAUAAUCUCCGCUAACAACACAUCCCAGAGGCACUCCGCUCCGCCUCGCCCGACUUCAGGGUCGCAGGGUCGGACGUGCCCGACCCCCCAAGGCCUCGCCUCGUCUCAGCCGAUGGAGUUCCGCCUCGCCCGACCCUGAGCCCAACGGAUCGGACGCGCCCGACCCCUCGAAGCAGGACUCCGCCUCGCCCGACCCUGAGCGCAAGCGGUCGGACGUGUCCGGUCCCACCUGACAGAGCUCCGCCUACCCGAAGGUACGAGCAGGUCAUCAGACGGAAGCGCGGGCUCUGUGAGUCCCCCUGGGCUCACCCAACCGAUGGGACCGCGCAAGCUUCCAGAUACAGUUCUGACACAUGGAGAGGCGCCCGCGUUCCUCGACAUGACCUGUCAAAAUGUUGGUCUGCGCACUGCUGCCACGACUGCACAGGGCUACACCUGCACCGUCCUACCCCACUGUGACAUCUGUCAUAGGGCACUCAUCGCUCAUACCAUCUAAUGGAGGAGGGAAAACCGCCUAGUUUUCCACGUGGGCUAGCAAGAAGAGCACGUCAGCCACGCCGCCCCGUCAGGGUGCAUGGCUACAGUGGUUGACCAUCACCCGCGACGUGCACAGUCACAGUGGCCAGUCGUCACCACCAACUUGCACAGCUACAGUGGUCGGCCGCCAUGCACGACUCGCGUGUCCGGCUACAGUGACCGACCGCCGAGUCACCGAUGGGACCCAACGGCAACCCCUAUCCCUUAGUAGCAGUACCGACAAGACGCAGAGACAAGAAGGGAAGACGACGUCUCUAGUAGCCCCACUUGCUUCCCUUUUUACCUUUCUACCUGUUUACCUUCCUUACUCCCGGCUCAUUUGUAACCUCUGUAUCCUCCUUGCACUAUAAAAGGAGACCAGGGGGUCUGAGGGCAAGGGACCCUCGGAGACCGAACCCCGAAUUCACCCAAGUACAAACCAACCGAACCACCAGACGAGAAAGACUCACAGAGAUCUGGGAACCAGCUUCCCUCUCUCACCUAUUUGUAGCCUCUACUCCAGACUUGGUACGAGUAACACGAGCAGCCACCCGCACUGGACUCCUCCGCCAGAAACUGGUCCAACCAGUCGGGUCCCUCCCCCUGCUCUUCGUCCUCAUCAUCCUCAUCAUCGUCGUCCUCAUCCGUUGCCGUGUCUGGCCCCUCCGCAGCCUUCAGAACUCCGCUGCAGCUUUCUUUUUCUUCCUCACCGUCUCCUUGUCCUUCCUCUUCUUCUGUGCUUCGUCGAGGAGGCGGUUCCGCUGCCUCUGCACCACGUCCUCUGGCACCGGUGGACGGGAGGCUGUGACAUGGUUUAAGUUACCCUGCAGAUUCGAAGACUCCGCGUCAGAAUAGCAAACCAGGAAAUGCAGGAAAGAAGAACGAGAGUGCAAAUUUCUAACCAGCAGGACAUAGGCCUCGUCCGGGCGCAUCGGAGGGUGCCCCGGCACCGGGAACACGACAUCCCUGUCACCCAAUGCAUCCCGGACACGCUGCUCGAUCUCGGCGUCGGCAAUUGCACCCGUCGCAAGGACGGUGCUGUGGUACGCCCCAACAACUCCGGCCCCGGUCAGGCCCUCCUCCUUCAGAAGGUUGAUGGCUUCGAGGAGACCCCGGAUAUUCUUCUUCUCCUUCUCAACAGGGCCAUAUGUCCACGUUCCCGGUGCCUCCACGAUGACGCGGCCAGUGAACUCCGUCAAGAGGACAUCGGGGCGGUUCUUCACAUAGAGCCACUGCUGAUGCCACCCUUUGUGGGAUGACGGGGUCUUCAUCGAUGUAUACUCCUUGGGCCGAUGGCCACAGAGGUGGAUGCCGGCACACCCCAUCAGCAUCGGAAUCGUCCGCGUCUGGUUUCCUCUCUUCUCGGUCCUCUGAUGAAGAGUGACAGCGAAGAAGUACUUCCACAGGGCGAAGUUGGGCUCGAUCCCCAGGUAUCCCUCCCAAAGCACGACGAACGCCGCGAUGUGCUGGAUUCCGUUGGGGUUGAGGUGCUCCAGCUCAAUGCUAUAGUAGUGCAGCAGCCCCCGGAAGAAGCGACUUGGGGGAACCGCGAACCCCCUCUCGUGGAAGUGCGCGAAGGAGACGAUGUACCCGUCCUCCGGCUGUAGCACGGCCUUGUUCCCGGGAUACCGCCACUCGUUCUCGGCGAUCCUAUCGCGAAGAAGGCCCUUCUUCACGAGACCGAUCACGCGCGCGGUGUUGAAGAUUGACCAAGACCUUGAAUCCAUCGCCGAGGAAGGGGAAGGCUCGACGGCGGUGGUGGAAAGGUGAAUGCUCUGGCUCGAAAGAGGAUGAAAAGUGAACAAGGAGGCGAGAAAGGCUGAAGACGAGUGCGGAGCGGAGCAAGCAAGGUAAGCUCUCUCGUUUUACAGGGGGCGUGCGAGAAACGAAAGGCGAACCGAACGCAUUUAUUGCGACGUCAGGUAUGCCCCAUCGCCUCCGCCUUUCUUCGGAAACCGUACGCAUGAUUUCUUUUUAACCGCAGGGAACGCUACGCCCCCUCGCCCCACGAGCCCGGUGUUUUUUGCCGCUUCGUCUCCUGGAGGUCAUGCGCACAACUUCCUCCACAAGCGGCCCAGGGCCCGCUUCAGGUAAAAAAGGGAUACAGAGCUGAAAACACUCUAACGGCCCAUUACGGUCCAGGGGUUCGAAGGCUGGCCCUCUAGAGGGUUCGACAUCCACCCCAGGACAUUUCUUGAGCAAGGGGUGAGAAGGGACGGGUCCGCUAGCGACCACUACCCUGGUGAACAAAAGCCAAGGGCGUCCCGACCUCACAUUUGAGUCUCGAUUGGCGUUUAAGUUCAUGGUUUUUCCCCGAAGAAAGGCAAAGUGCCCCCGGAUCCGGUUGAACAGACCUGGGAACUAUAUGAACUGGCCGUCCGAAAUCUGGAGUACGCCACCAGCUUGGCCCAAGCCGGACCCGCCCGAACAGGGACCGGGACUCCACUCGAACUGACCCGUUAGCAGCUCACCGAGCACCAUGGUUCGUCCGAUGAGGAUAACAUGGCACGGCUCACCCCCUCCGUCCCAACGAACGGACGCUGAGGGGUAACGACUAAAAGACGAUCCGACCUCUCGAUCGGUCCCCUGCAAUGCGCGGGGGCUCGAGGGCUGGAAUCACAACGAAACGACCAUGCGCAUGGUUACGACUCGGAAUUUUGAGGCAGGAAUGGUCAUUGAAACAAUAGGGAAUCUUCCCAAACCGUACCAUCCUCAGAACACUCUGGCUACCCAAAACUCCCCGGCCAGGCCAAACAAGCAAAACUUUUCUCCUGAUCAAAUCAAGGUACAUGUUAAACAAGACCCCUGACAAACACUCUGCCGAGAGCCAAUCACAGCCUCUGGAGGAGCACCUUGCUCCACCAAAGGCUCGGGGCCUACUGUCAGGGGGAAAUAUUAACAAUUUUCUUACGCUCCCUAAUUAAUGGACACAAGGGCCAAGGCCCACCCCUGACACCCGUAAUCUCCACCAACAACACAUCCCAGAGGCACUCCGCUCCGCCUCGCCCGACUACAGGGUCACAGGGUCGGACACGCCCGACCCCCCGAGGUCUCGCCUCAUCUCAGCUGAUGGAGUUCCGCCUCACCCGACCCCAGGCGUAAGGGGUUGGACGCGCCCAACCCCUCAAAGCAGGACUCCGCCUCGCCCGACCCCGAGCGCAAGGGGUUGGACACAUCGGAUCCCACUAGACAGAGCUCCGCCUCGCCCGAAGGUAUGAGUAGGUCAUCAGACGGAAGCGCGGGCUUUAUGAGUCCCCCCAGGCUCACCUAACCGAUGGGACGCGCACAAUUCUAGAUACAGUUCUGACACGUGGAGAGGUGCCCGCGUUCCUCGACAUGACCUGUCGGAAUGUUGGUCUGCACACUACUGCCACGACUGCACAGGGCUACAACUGCACCGUCCUACCCCACUGUGACAUCUAUCAUAGGGCACUUAUCGCCCAUGCCGUCUAACGGAGGAGGGCAAACCGCUUGGUUUUCCGCGCAGCCUAGCAACUACAGCACGUCAGCCACGCUGCCCCGUCAGGAUGCAUGGCUACAGUGGUUGACCGUCGUCCGCGACGUGCACAGCUACAAUGGCCAGUCGUCACCACCAACUUGCACAGCUACAGUGGUCGGCCGCCAUGCACGACCCGCGUGUCCGGCUACAGUGGCCGACUGCCGAGUCACCAAUGGGAUCCAACGGCAACCCCCAUCCCUCAGUAGCAGUACCGACAAGACGCAAAGACAAUAAGGGAAGACGGUGUCUCCAGUAGCCCUACUUGCUUCGCUUUUUACCUUUCUACCUUUUUACCUUCCUUACUCCUGGCUCAUUUGUAACCCCUGUGUCCUCCUUGCACUAUAAAAGGAGACCAGGGGGCCCGAGGGCAGGGGACCCCCGGAGACCGAACCCCGAAUUCACCCAAGUACGAACCAACCGGACCACCAGACGAGAAACACUCACAAAGAUCUGGGAACCAGCUUCCCUCUCUUGCCUGUUUGUAGCCCCUACUAUAGACUUGGUACGAGUAACACGAGCAGCCACCCGCACUGGACGUAGGGCUAUUCCUGCCCGAACCAGUAUAAACCUCGCGCCCUCUCGUACAACCAUCCAAGCCUUACGCGUAGAGAAACAAAUUUACUAAGCCGGUAGUCUUGACCCGUGAUUCGUGAGACCGACAAUUUGCACAUACAAAUGUUAAAGUACAAAUGUUAAAUCUAGUUACCAAGCAGAAUACGAAAUAGCGGGCUAUAGUGAGGCUAUAGCGGCGCUAACUGCUGCAACAACAGUGUUGUACUAAUUAGCAGGCUAUAGCGGAGCUAUAGCGGUUGAGCACAGCUCUACGCUAAAUAUCAUAGCCCUCAAUUUUGUACAUUGUAUAUACUAUAUAAAUCUAGUUAACAUUUAGUCUAAAUGUUAAAUCGAGUUACCUAAAAUCCUGAAAGCAAAAUGUAUAAAUAUAUAUCUUUUAGGGUAGUAUAAGCUUCGAUUCCUUUUGCUGCUCUGUUAAAUCUCAUCUUUCGUUGUAGCCCAACACUCUAGUAUUGAUUUUGCACCAAGCUUCUUUGAGCCGCUCUGCCCUCUGAUUUUGCUGCGUAGGGGAAUCUUUAUCAGGUUGGGCUACUUCCAGUCGUGCGAUGUAUACCUUUGUAUCUUCUAGAAGGUAGACAGAAAACCCGCGUUCUCUUAAGGCAACAACCAGAAGAUUCUGCAGCGCACGGGGCAUAUCAUUGUUGUAGAAACGACCUUUAGUAUCGAUCUCCAACCCCUUAUAGUACUGGUUUUGCAACCAGUACCGUUAUGUCGGACCUUUAGUACCAGAUCAAAUAACCGGUUCUAAAGGGACUCCUUUAGUACCGGUUGGUAACCAGUAUCAACUUGUUUUGCGGCCAAAAAAAUAAAGAAAAAAAUAGCCAGAAGGCUAGCACACACACACAUCCCACGAAAUAUGCGCGUGCGCGGUCCAUGGGAUUCGAACCCAUGAAAUCAAGCUGCGCGCAACCCUUCGUUACCAUCUCACCUUCAGUACCGGGUCAUAACACCACCCGGUACUAGUAUCGGAUGCUGUAAUGACUCGAUACUAAAAGGCCUCUAGGGACCCUCAAAUUUGGACCCGAUACUAAUGCUAACAUUAGUACCGGGUCAAAGUGCAGCCAGUACUAAAGCAUGGGACGAAAGGUCAUAUUUCUAGUAGUGUAUAGUUGUUGUGUAGGACUGACUUGGCUGUCCUCUCUCUUCUCCAUCCCAUUGGUCUUACGCCGCCGCUCGCACGCGAGCCGGCACCCAACCAGAGGAGUGAGAGCUAGGGGCGGGUUGGGAGGUGGGGGUAGCGACUGGUGGCUAGGGUGAUGGUUGAUGUUGGCGGGGUUAGGGUUUCAUGGUUUUCAAGCUACCUACGGCCGGCGAACCUAGAGGAGGAGGUCGACAUCAGCUGCAACCCGCGGUGGUGGUGGUUUGGCCGGCGCCCCAGGCGAGGCAGCGUGGGAGUGCUGCUGGCGGGUUGGUGUUGGCGCUCAUUAUUGACACAUUUUUAGUACUAUUUUGUUCAUGGAAUAACACUCAAACGUGCUGGUGCUGCUGCCGCCAUCGCCGCCCUAGCCAUAAUAUAAAGGCAAAAUUUGCUAGAGGACAUGCAAAAUGAUGCUAGUUUGCUGGAGGGCACCGUUGACCAUGUAAUAUGCUACAAGACACUCUAGUUGUUCUAGAGUGUAUCAAUUUGCUGAAAGACAUUGCUACGACUAAAAUAAUGUUUCUGGACUGAGUUGGAGAGAGAGAUGGAGUGAAAUGUCUGUUUUGCCCAUGACCCCACUGAUCAGAUCCUUCUUCUUCCACCCUCCUUUCUUCUUUCUUCAACCAUUACCCAGCUCUAGUGUGUUGCAGAUCUACGAGGGUGGCGGCCCGGGGCGAGGGGCAUCGCUUGCCCUCAGACGAGCGCCGCGAGCGACGGCGCGGGGGCAGCAACGGCGCGUCGGAACCUGACCGUUCGUUAGCUCCUCUCGCUGCUGGGGAAGGAGGGGGAGGGGCCAUGGACGGGGUUCCCUCGAAAACCUUAGCCUCGAGCUCAGGCGGCUACGCGCAGGCAGCACUAGGCUCUUCGCGGGGAGGGGGCGCGGCCAAUCAUUGGCACCCCACUGGUCCAAUGCUGAUGAAGAUGGUGCCAGCGUCGUGAAGAUGGUGCCAGCGUCGUGUGAGGACCUCUCAUCUCCUCGAGUUCCAUGGCCAGCACAGGUGAGCGUCCGCUACCACAAAACAGAGGUGUCGUGAGAGUCAAAAAAACUCAUGAAAAUAGCUAAAACCAUCAUGAAAAUAAUCCAUGACACGACACUCUAACGAAAAUCCUCUCACAAAUAUGGUGCCAUCAAAAUACCAUUUUCAUGAGAGUGAACUGUCAUGAUUUUAUUUCGUGAGAGUAUUUCCUAUCAAUGACCUCCACGAAAUACUUUGUGCCACCAGGUCUUCAAGAUCAUUUUCAUGAGAGCCGAACGUCACGAAAGGUCCGCCACAAAUGUUUUUCCUGGGAGCCUCUAACUCUCAUCAAAAGCAUGUGGGCCGCCGCGAAAAACAGCCUGACCAAAUGACAAUUUUCAUUUUCAUGUGCUCUUACCGCCAUGAAAAUGGUCAUUUUCAUGAGAGUUGAUGAAACAAAAAAAUAGUGCCAUUUUCAUGAGAGUUCAAGCAACCAGGAAAAGGCACUAAUAAACAUCCAGAUCCCAUCCAGCACACAUCCAUGCACAUAUAUAACCCACAUAUUGCUCCAGCAACAUCCAUGCAUAUACAAGAUCCAAAUGUCUUGGUAUGAACCUACAUGCAUGUGAUGAACCAGUAACCUGCAAAAAGAGCUCAUAGGAUCUUGUCCUCAUAUUGUAGCUGUGAAAUUCUUGCAAGUAGUGUUGCAAUCAGUUCACUUUGAACCAAAAGAGCUCAAAGGAUCAUGUCCUCAAAGUUCCUCUUAAAGCUUAUGGGUUUGCUGGUGGAACUGGAAGGGCUUGAUGCAGCAUGCCAUUCUGCAAUAGAGAAAAAUUUAGAAAGCUGUACUAGUUAAAAUUGGAUGCAGCAGAGACACAUGAAACUAGUAUUUAUACAAUUCUAUAUAUAUAAUAAUUUGUCCCCUAAAUUUUUAGGAUCCUCUCGACGGUGGUGAGUCUUCCAGUAAGGCAAUUGAAUGUCCAUCGUGAUAAAAUUCUCCUUUGGAUUUAUCAUCUUCUCAACCAGAAAUCCUAGGAGUUCAUCCUUAAGCCUUACCAGUUGUAAUUUGGAAAUAUGUGAAAGUUAAACGAACAAUUAAAAUCUAAGGAUCCUUAUCAUCAUUUCCAUACGUUUGCGAAUUAAAAUAAUGAAGGAUACAAUGUUAGGUGAAAAUUCAAGAAACAAAAUUUUGUAUAGAGAUAAUGGUCCGACAUUAUUACAAGUUAAAGUUGUUUUAAAUAUCCUUGUAAUCUUCCUUUGGUUUCCUCGACGAUUCCAAGACAGUAACCUUGCUUCUAUCAAUGAUAAUUAUAAGGAGAACCCAAUGAAAACUGUGUAUUCAUAUUAGAACUAACUAAGGUUAAUUCGGAUAGGAAAGGAAAUCAAAAAUAGAUGGUACCCACACUUACUUAAAGUUGUAGGGUAGUAGUAUGUAAUGCUUGUAAUUCUGUUGCUCCAAGAAUUUGUAUAUGUGGUUCAAUGUAGACUUUGGUUGAUCCUGUAUCUGCUGUUGGUUGAAUAAGUGUUUCUAACCAUUUCUAGCCGUUAGAACUGGGACUAAAGGGAGCUCUUAGUGCUGGUUGAUAUUACUAGUCGGGACUAAAGAGCCCCCGUUAGAGUUGGUUUUCGGACGUGGAACUAACCACUCCUUUAGUCUCAAGUCCAAAAAUGAUUGAGACAUUUGUUGCUGGAUGGAACACUAGUAGAGAAUUGGCUUUCGAUGCGCCCCCUUUUGUCCCGGUUUAAAGUUGGACUGGGACAAAAGAGGGUGCGCCACGGUAGGUAAAAAUGGAGGGGGGAGUUAGUCCCGGUUGGUAAUUGCAACCGGGACUAGAGGCCCCCCUUUAGUCCCGGUUGCAAUGGCUAGCUGGGGGGCGUCGGUGGCGGCACCUUUUUGUCCCGGUUGGAGUCUCCAACCGGGAUAAAAGGUCCACCCUUUUAUCCCGGUUGGAGGCUCCAACCGGGACAAAAAGUUUAGUCCCGGUUGGAGCUUCCAACCGGGAUAAAAGGGUGUCCCUUUUGUCCUAGUUGGAGCCUCCAACCGGGACUAAACUUUCAACCGGGACAAAAGGUGUGGUUGGAGUUUUUAACUGGGAUAAAAACUCAUCCCCCAUUAUAUACCAAGACAGAGGACUUUCUUCCUCCUCCAGCCCGAGCCAGUCCAGCACAUUCACAGAGAGUUGACCUUCACCUACUCUCCGGUGGUGCCGAAGCAAGGAGGUGCUGCCCGAAGUUUUUUCCCUCAUUUUCGUGGGAAUUUCACUCAGCUAACACAAGUGUUGUGAAGGUUUGCUACUUCAUCCUCGUUUAUGCUUUGAUUUAUGCUUUGGAGAUGGAAAGAUUAUUUGUUAGAAUGUGAUGAAGUAGAAAAUGGAGAGAAUAUUUUGAGCUAGAAUGUGAGGGAGAUUGAUGUGUCAUAUAUAGUAUGCAUUCUUGCAGUGGUUUAAGAAUGAUGCUACCUUGUCCAGACAAUUUAUCUUAUCAAAUUCAAUAUAGUUUUUCAAAUCCAUACUUGUUGAACUUGCAUACCGUGUUCAUCUCUACGAGGAUAUUCUCUGCCGAGCAGCAACGUAUGUCAAGAAGGAGGUUCGAUUCUACGAGGAAGAGUGGAUACGGACAUCGUGACCGUGUCCCCUUUUCCGUAGCAUCUAACCUCUUUCAUGAUGAAGUGCGGUGCCGCCCAGUUGAGAACAUGCUCGCGAGAUGAACACAGUAUGCAAGUUCAACAACUUCUGCAGUAGUAAGGAAAGAAUUUUUGUACAUAGAUGACUUCUGCUACUUGUUGAACUUAUCAAAUUCAAGAAGGUUUUUCAAAUCCAUACUUGUUGAACUUGCAUACCGUGGUCAUCUCGCAGAGGAUGUUCUCCGCCGAGCAGCAACGUAUGUCAAGAAGGAGGUUCGAUUCUACGAGGAAGAGUGGAUACAGACAUCGUGACCGUGUCCCCUUUUCCGUAGAAUCGAACCUCUUUCAUGACGAAGUGCGGUGCCGCCCAGUUGAGGACAUGCUCGCGAGAUGAUCACGGUCUUUAAGUUUAACAACUUAUGCAGUGUUAAGGUAAUAAUUUUUGUACAUAGAUGGCUUCUGCUACUGGAGAAAGUGGCGAUGGUGGGGGUGAUCGUGGUUCCUCUUUCGGCAAGGGGAAAAUCAUAGUUGGCCCUCAGCAUAAGCCAAAGAAAAAGAGCGCACUGGAAAAAGCAAUGCUUCGUUAUUUGCAGCAACGUCAUGAAGAAGUUGUUGCCGCGGGUCAGGAACCUCCUUUUGGUCGUCGUUAUGCUCCACCCUUAGUCCCGGGUGUUUCACAUCCACUUAGUACUACCGUUUCAGGCGGCACAAAUAAACCUAAGGAUGAGGCUAGGUCAGCGGAACUUUCGUCUUCACUGUCCAAGGAUGCUUAAAGUCCUCCUAGAUAAUAACCAGUGGAUGGCUUGUUGUAUUGUAUCAUGUUGUUUGGAUCUUUAAUUUAAAUAUGUGUAUUUGGAUCUUCAUGUUGUUGUAUUGUACCAUGUUGUUUGGAUCUUUAAUCAAUUUUCACACGUAAUCCAUUGUCAAGUGUAAUCCAUUUUCAUGCAUAAUAAGAUGCAGAUGGACCGGCAAUGGAUGUAUAAUGCAGACAGGCAGAGCAAGGUGUUUAUUGAUGGCUUGCAUUAUUGUCUCGAAGUGGCCAAAGCGAACAAGCCAGAGAAUGGGUUCGUAUGUUGUCCAUGCUUCCAAUGCAAUAACAAGAAGGAGUAUUCAUAGGAUUCCUGGGGGACUAUUCACAGCCACUUGUUUAAAUACGGUUUCAUACUUAACUAUUUGGUUUGGACCAAGCACGGUGAACGAGGGGUCGUAAUGGAAGAUGGCGAGAAGGAGGAGGAAGAUGACACCAUUCCAGACUGGGUUGUAGGCCAAGCUUUUGCAGGUACUACAAUGGGCGAGGCUCAUGAAGAUGAGUUUGCAGAAAAUGGCCCUAUUGAUGACUUUGGUCAGGUGAUACGAGAUGCAUACAGAGAUUGCGAAAUUGAGAAGGAAGCAGCAAAGUUGCAGCGCAUGAUAGAUGAUCACCAAAAAUUAUUGUACCCAGGUUGCCAGCUGGGCCAUAAAAAACUAGGUACGACACUAGAAUUUGUGCAAUGGAAGGCAAAAAAUGGUGUGUCCGAUAAGGCAUUUCAGGGGAUGUUGACCAUUGUCAAGAAGAUUCUUCCCGAGAAUAAUGAAUUACCGUCCACAACAUAUGAAGCUAAACAGAUUAUUUGCCCUCUCGGAUUGGAUGUUCAGAAGAUACACGCAUGCCCUAAUGACUGUAUCCUCUAUCGUGGUGAUGACUACGAGAAAUUGGAUGCUUGUCCCGUGUGCGAAGCCCUGCGGUAUAAGAUUAGGUGAGAUGAUCCUUGUGAUGUCGAGGGGCAGUCUCCCAAUAAGAGAGUUCCCGUGAAGGUGAUGUGGUAUUUCCCUAUAAUACCACGCUUGAAGCGCUUGUUCAGGAAAAAGGCGAAUGCUAAGUUGAUGUGAUGGCACAAAGAAGACCGUAAGGAAGAUGAGAUGCUGAGACACCCCGCAGAUGGGGCACAGUGGAGAUCAAUUGAUAGAGCAUUCUCGGACUUUGAAAGUGAAGCAAGGACAUAAGGUUUGGUUUAAGUACUGAUGGAUUCAAUCCAUUCGGUGAGUUGAGUAGUGGCCAUAGUACUUGGCCUAUGACCCUAUUUAUGUUGAACCUUCCUCCUUGGCUAUGCAUGAAGUGGAAGUUCAUUAUGAUGCCGGCGCUUAUCCAAAGUUCAAAACAACCCGACAACGACAUUGACGUGUACCUAAGACUGUUGGUUGAUGACCUUUUACAGCUCUGGAAGGAAGAAGGUGUACGUGUGUGGGAUGAGGAUAGACAAGAGAUCUUUAAUCUACGAGUAUUGUUGUUUGUAACCAUCAAUGAUUGGCCUGCACUGAGUAACCUUUCGGGACAGACAAAUAAGGGAUAUCGGGCAUGCACCCACUGUUUAGACGACACAGACAGCAUGUAUUUGAAGCAUUGUAAGAAGGUCGUCUACAUGGGUCAUCGUCGAUUUCUCCCUGCUCACCACCAGCUGAGAAAGAGCAGGAUGCAUUUCAAAGGGGCGCCAGACCAUCGUAAAAAACCUGCACACCAUAAUGGAAAGUGUGUCUUCAAGAUGAUGAAGGAUGUAAAUGUAGUCUUUGGAAAGGGUCUUGGUAGCCAACCUAUUCCAAACGACAAUAACGGACAUGCACCCAUGUGGAAGAAAAAGUCAAUAUUUUGGGAGCUACCUUAUUGGGAAAUCCUAGAGGUUCGCAAUGCAAUAGACGUGAUGCACCUGACGAAGAAUAUUUGCAUGAACGUGCUAGGCUUCAUGGGUUUUUAUGGGACCUCAAAAGACACAUUGGAAGCACGACAGGACCUGAAAGCCAUGGGGCAACGAGAUGACCUACAUCCGAAAAAGAGAGAUAAUGGAUAGCACUACUUACGUCCUGCCAGUUACACUCUGAGCAAGGAAGAGAAGGAUAGCAUGUUUGAAUGCUUGAAUAGUAUGAAGGUCCCGUCUAGGUACUCCUCGAAUAUAAAGGGAAUAAUAAAUAUGAAAAAAAAGAAGUUUAUAAAUCUCAAGGCCCAUGACUGUCACAUGUUGAUGACCCAGUUGCUUCCGGUUGCACUGAGGGGUGUUCUACUAGAAAAUAUCCAGUUGCCGCUCGUAAAGCUAUGUGCGUUUCUAAAUGCGAUUUCACAGAAGGCAAUCGAUCCAUCCAAGCUAUCAAAGCUACAGAACGAUGUGGUGCAAUGUCUUGUCAGUUUUGAGUUGUUAUUUCCACCAUCCUUCUUCAAUAUUAUGACGCACUUACUGGUUGACCUAGUAAAAGAGAUUGGUAUUCUCGGACUUGUAUACCUGCACAAUAUGUGGCCUUUCAAGUGUUCAUGGCAGUCCUAAAAAACUAUGCUCUUAAUCGUGCCCAUCCAGAAGGAAGCAUCGCCAAGGGAUAUGGAACAGAGGAGGUGAUCGAGUUUUGUGUUGAUUUUAUUGAUUCAAUUGACUCGAUUGGGGUUCCAACUUCACGCCAUGAGGGGAGGCUCCGAGGAAUGGGCACCCUUGGAAGGAAAUCAAGUUUGAGCAAUGAUACUGAUUUGUUCGACAAGGCACACUACACGGUUCUACAACAGUCAUCCUUUGUGUCUCCAUAUAUUGAGCAGCACAGGCAGAUGGUAGUUUCCAAAAACCCGACCAAAUCCGAUGCUUGGCUUACCCGUCUUCACAUGGAAACUUUUCCCUCCUGGUUGCGCCAACAACUUAUGGGUAACUCUGAGAUUCACCCACAGCUUGCCUGGUUAGCCAGGGGACCUGCUAGCACAAUUGUGAAAUUUCAAGGCUAUGAGAUAAAUGGUUAUACAUUUUACACGAGAGCCCAGGACCAGAAAAGCACGAAACCAGAAUAGUGGUGUCCGCAUACAUGCCAUGGACAGAAAUAAUAGCAAGGAGUCGUAUUAUGGUUUCAUAUAGGAGAUAUGGGAACUUGAAUACGGACCGUUGUACAUCCCUCUAUUUCUUUGUAAUUGGGUGAAGCAAACUGCCGUAACCAAAGAUCAGUACGGAAUGACAAUAGUAGAUCUGAGCAAGACUGGAUACAGUGAUGACCCAUUCGUACUUGCCAACAAUGUGCAACAGGUGUUCUAUGUGAAGGACAUGUGUAGCAAACCCAAGAGAAAUCCAGAAGAGACAUGGGAGCCAAAGUGCCACAUAGUUUUUCCAGGUAGAAGAAAAAUCGUGGGAGUCGAGGAUAAAACAAACCAAUCAGAUGAUUAUGAUUAGUUUGAUGGCAUGCCUCCAUUCGCCGUUGAAGUUGAUCCAAGCAUCCUGCUAUCCAAAGAAGAGGCUCCGUACUUACGCCGCGAUCAUGAUCAAGGAACUUUCGUGAAGAAGAAAUUCUACAACGUUGUAUUGUAAUGCGCUAAAUUUACAUGACCUUUGUGUAGUAAUUGAUACAAUUUUUAAUUUACCCUAUGUAUGAUUUGAUGUGUUCUUAAAUUUGUUAGGUGAAGAUUUAUUAGAUAAACAUGAACAAUGUUAACCACAUACAUACAUGGAUUUUUCUGCGCAUUGAAAUUAUUUAAUGGAAUAAUUUCUUGAUCACAGCGAUGUAGUAAAAUAAAUAUUUUAGAGCCUAAAUGAACUGGUAUAGAAUUAAUGACUAACUCACACUUAUUGUCAAUUUACUCGCUAAUUAAAUAUAUUUUUGCAUGUACAAAAUAUGUGAAGGUUUUUGUUUUUCAUCCUGAAUUGCAGUGAAAAGAUAAAUAAAAUCCAUUUCCAAAAAACAGGCGGGAGAAGAAAACUGGGAAAAGGACCUUUUGUCCCGGGUGCCAACAGAAACCGGGACAAAAAGCCCCCCCCCUUUUAUCCCGGUUGGUGGUGGCACCCGAGAUAAAAGGGUAGGCUCCAAGCCCCACUUGGCGGACGCACCCUUUUGUCCCGGGUCCCGUCACCAACCGGGAUAAAAGGGGGGGCCUUUUAUCCCGGUUGGUGAGGGGACCCAGGACAAAAGGCCCUUUAGUCCCGGGUGUCAUUACGAACCGGGAUAAAAGGGGGGUUAAAAGGCACUAUAGCCCCUUCUACCCCCCACGCCAGUUACAGUUAGCAAAAUUUUCACCAAGAUCCCGCGCGCACUCUGCUCCGUCGCUGCCCGUCCGCCUUCCUCGCCAGCCGUCAUCGUCGUCGUCCCCCAUUGCCCCGGCCGUCGUCGUCCCGCCGGCUGACCGUGCCCAGAUAGCCUCCUCCUCCAUCGCCCCGGCCCGCCUCGAUCCUCCUGCGUCGUGCCCGGCCCCUACCUCAUCGACGCCGGCCACCUCCAUCGCGGGGCCUCAUCGCCGCCUCCAUCCUCGUCGCCACCUCGACGCCCUGGGUCGCCGCCUCGUCGCCCCUCGUCGCUGCCUCGUCGCCGUCCUGCCUCCGCCGUCUCGCCGUCCCGCGCGCCUUCGCUCCGUCGUCGCCUCCGCCGUCCCACCGCCCCAGCCACCGCCAUCCCGCCACCCCGGCCACCUCGUCGCCCCGACCACCGUCGACCGCGCGUGAGGUCCGCCGCACCGGCACUGGCGCCGGGAGUACCGCCUUGCUGACGCAAGCCCACCGGCUUGCGUCAACAAGGGCCUUUUUUAAGUUAGAAAAUAAAUAGAAAGGAGUAGUAAUUAGGUAGAAAUUCAAUAGAUUUUUGUAUAUGUGUUACAAAAUCAAAUUAGUGUAAAUUAGUUGUAAUUAGGUUCGUCGCUCUGCCUAGGUUAGAAAUGAAUCGUGUUUCGUCGUGGUUCCGUCCCCGCCUCCGCCGUCCCGCCACCCUGACCGUCGCCGUCCCAACCUAGGCACCGUCUGUGGUUCCGUCCCCGCCUCCGCCGUUCCGCCUCCAUCGCAAAUUCAUGUUAUUGCUAGAAAUUCCAAUAAAUAUGAACAAAUUAGUAGAAAUUUGGUAGAAAUUAAUCAUUGCUGCGGCCACCUCGCUCCACAAAUUCAUGUUAUUGCUAGAAAUUCAUAAAAAUUCAUGUUAUCACUAGAAAUUCGUACAAAAUUCAUGUUAUUGCUAGAAAUUCGUAAAAAUUCAUGUUAUUGCUAGAAAUUCGUACAAAAUUCAUGUUAUUGCUAGAAAUUCGUACAAAUUCAUGUUAUUGCUAGAAAUUCGUCACAAAGUACUACUAAUUUGCAAAAAUUUGUAUAAAUAUUCCGGACUUUGUGGGAUUCAUGUUAUUUUCUGAUUUCAUGUAUAUACCCUUAUGUACAUAUAACUAAGGAGAUUUCUAUGACUUUCAUGUAUGUUUCAAUCAAUAGUUGAAAUGGCAGACGAUGAGACCGCAAGGUAUCUCAUGGAGCAGAUAAUCGCUGGUGAUGGUAGUGGCGACAACCUUCCACUAUCGUACACCGAUGAAGAGGGCACCCAGGCGGACAUGUUCCUCAACAUGUCCGCCGAUGGGAAUGAAGAGCAAAAGCCCCAGCAACACCUUGCCGGGGCGGAAGGUUCCGGCGAGGUAUAUAUAACGAUUCUUGUAUUGUUUCACACCACCGUUACUACUACGUACUAAUUAACGAAUCAUGAACCGUUAGCCCUCUGGAUCGACGCAAGGGCAGAAGACACGAGGUCGUACAAAGGUGAUGGAAGGGAGGCUUGUCAUCACGGAAGUGAUAGAAGAGGGCAGGCCGGUUGCUCCCGAGAAAGUAGCAAAGAAGUACGUGAGUCAGAUCGGGGCAAUCGUCCGGGACAACGUGCCUAUCAGCAUCAGAGAAUGGAAGGGCAGAAGCACUAAUCCGUACGCCCUCCUGGAGACAGAAAGAAUAUGCUGUGGGAAGAUGUCAAGAGACAUUUCACAUUCACCGAAGGAUAUAUUGAGAAGGAUGUGAAAGCGUGGACGCUUAAGAAGAUGGCUACACAAUUUCCAGACAUUUAAGAAGAUGCUAGAUACCCACUACAUUAAGAAGGGCCGAACUCCAGACUUCAACGCGUGGUCAAAGUUGAGGGACCACUAGGAUGCAUUUGUUGAAUAUAAGAGGAGUGAAUACGAUGUGAAAAAGAUCACGACCAACACAACAAAUGCUAGUCAGAAGGGCUACCAUCAUCAUCUGGGGCGAGAUGGUUAUGGCUCAGCAAUUCCCAAGUCGAGGAAGAUGGAACAAGAUCUGAUUGAACGGGGAAUCGUACCGGCAACUAUUGAAUGGCCCGAACGAUCAAAAAAUUGGUACUACGCUCAUGGAGGCUCCCUGUGCCAAGAGGAUGGGACGUUGAUUUUCAAUAACACAAUACGUUAGAAGGCCAAACAUCUUGUGAAGAACAUUGAAGAUUCUAAGGCUGGGAGGUUGAAGGUGGACCGAGAAAAUGAUGAGCUCACAUUGGCCCUUGGUAAUCCAGAGCACCCAGGAUGUUGCCGAGGGUUCGGGGUCGUUCCGUGGAAGUUUGUUUUCCGAGGCGACAGCGCCUCGUACAGAAGCCGGAAGCGAAGAAAGGAACAGAUCGAGGAGAGCUGGUGGCAGAUGCUAGAAUCCAAAGUGCAGGCACAAGAACAAAGAAUGAUGGAGGAAAUCAAUCGUCGAGUGGCCCACGCAGUUGUGGAGUUGGCCCAAUCUGGAGCAUUGCCGAAUCCUAACAACGCCAGCCCUUCUCAAUGCCUCUUGAGCAGUUAUGCUUCUACAGGGGUCCCCGAUGCGCACACGCCCAGGUUACCCGUGGAGGAGCAACGGUUCCCCGUGGAUGCCAUCACGCAACACACCACAUGUGAGCUGCAUGCACCGGUCGGCAACCUCACUAUUAAGGUAUACUUAUACAUAAUAUUUAUGCAAUCUUGUCAAUUGAUCCACGCCUCGAUAUCGGAGUUUAACUUGUUUACUUCUACUAUAUGUACAGGUAGCGUACGGGAGUGCGUUAGCAACCCUGGCGGGGCAGAGCAGUCAUGGCAUGAAGAUUCCACCUGGCUACGCUAGCGUCCGCGUAGAGCAAAUAGUUGAUAGCCAAUAUGAAGGUCUAGAGCUCGACCUCCCGGGAGGUGACAGGGAAAGAACACUGGCAGAUGCGCUUCAUGGGAUCAUUCUAUGGCGAAAACGCUACAUCAUUAUUCCCGGCACGGAGCCAUCUCCUCAGAGCUCAAGACCACUCCCCGUAGAUCCCCAGCAGCGACCUUCUCCUCAUAGCUCGAGACCGUCAUCUCCUGCACAACCUGCUCCAGGACCGUCCCUUCCAUCUAUAUCAAGGUCUCCAUCUCCACCACAUCCUGGUGGUGGGAGCGACGACGACAAUAACAACACCCCUUCCUGAUCACCAUCGCCGGCACCAAGAGCGGCCCCCAUGAAGGAACCUGCACCACCACUAAAAAAGUCACGAGCACCGCCUCCCAAGCAAAGACAGAGAAAGAAGAAAACAAAGGAGCCUGAAGUGACUCGUAAGGAACGCUGGGAGACAAUGUCUCAUGCGGAACAGUGGGCAGAAAUCCAACAAGAGGCCAGUGAGUGGUUCAAGAAACAAGCCGAAGAAAAAAAAGCAACGGAGAUGCAGCCACCGCCAGUAAAUCGAAGAGAUUUAAACUUUUUUAUCAGGAUGGAAGAAGGAGCCAAGAAAAGGAUACCACUCUUAUCAAACUAUGAACGGGCUUUAGUAAAGGCUGAUGAAAAGGAUAAAAGGAAAGGAAAGUCAUCUUCCAGCGGUGCUGUCCCCGACCUCAGCCAUUUAUCAAAAAAAGAUGCUCAACGGGUAAAAGCAAUGCCCUUGGAUCAACAAGCAGAAGUAUUGAAGUUCAUGCAAGAAACAGGUCUGGGACUUGAUGAAUGCCUAGGGCAAGUUGAGACGCCAACUGCACCGCCCCCUGAGCCGAGAUGGCCUUAUGAGCUAGGCAAACCUCUAGUAAAGCCUUCAUUGGUACGAAAGCUAUCAACAAAGAUGUACGCAUUCCAUCAAUGGUACAUGAUGGCAUCCGCUGACUCAAGGGAGAUGCUCGGCCUGAAGGUAAAACCGAUGGAUUUUCACGACAGAGGCGAGAAAGUGCUGUGGCUAGACUUCAAGGAUAUAUACGAAGUGUACCAUCAUGAUGCCAUAGACGUCUCUCUGAUCCGCGCUUGGGUUCUGUAAGUGUCCGUUUAUCUCUACAUGUAAAUUUUGGCGUGCGUCACCGUACUAACUUCGUCUUCCAUUUCAUGUAGGAUGCUAAUUCAGACAUGCCGCCGAGAGGCGUACCUACAUAUAGGCUUCAUGGAUCCAUCUGUAGUUAACCAACAGCAGAUACAAUUAGCAUCGGAGAAAACCUUGGUGGAAGUAUACAAUUUCCUAGACAAACAAACAUUCAAGGAUUUCAUACUAUUUCCAUACAACUUCAAGUAAGUGUGUGUAUACCGUCUACUUUCGAUGUCUUUUUCCUUAUCUCUACAUGUUAGUUAGCUCUAAUAUGCAUGAACAUUUUACGCACGCAGCUUCCACUGGAUCCUUAUUAUAAUUGAGCCUCAAAGAAGCCACGUCACUGUCUUCAAUUCGUUGAGGAAAGAUCCAGUGGAGCACCAAGAAAUGCAACACAUGCUAGGCUUGUAAUAAUUCUGGACCUUUAUCUCUAUGCAAAAGUUUGUUUCCUAAAUUCUAUCCCUGUUACACUAUAUCAUUCAUUAUUCUAAUCCACAGCGUAUGGAAACAAUUCAUAAGGACACAAAAAGGUCCAUUCAAAGAAAAACUUACAUGGAACACAGACUUCCCGGUACAUAUGAAGUCUGCACAUUUAUUACAUUGUAUAACACGAAUAUUUCAUAACUUAUUUUUUUCCGUAUUGAAGUGCUUAAGACAGGAACUCGGAAAUAAUCUAUGUGGCUACUACAUCUGUGAGCACAUGCACAGUUUUAUGGGACCCAAGGGACUAAAGAUGACGCCGCACAACUUUAAAGUACGUAAAAUAAAACUAUUACUAGUUAAUUAUUUUCUAGCUCCUUAUAUGUAUUUGUUCACGUAACAUUCACAAAUUUCCAAAUUAUAGAUGUUAAAUAUUCAACAAGGACUCUUGAAGGAAGAAAGAGUAGCGGCAAUAUGUGAAGGUCUCAUUGGAUUCCUAAUGGACAAGGUGGUAGAUCCAAAAGGAGAAUUUUAUUUUGAUGGACGACAAUUAGACACUCUGAUCAGCAACACCUCGAUGGGAAGAUUGUAGAUAGAUACUUUGAUUUAUUUGUAUAUAUAAUACGCGCUAAUUAUGAUCGAUUUGUACUAGUUGAAUUCUGUAUAUGAAUUGUGUAUAAGAAUUGUGUAUAUAUAUAGUAACUGUAUAAUUACAAAUCCCAUUCGUUUAAAUACUAGUUAAUUUCAUUCUAAAAAAAUCUCAACUACUUAAGGUUAACAAAAGGGCUGCGGUACUACGUACGUGAUGCAUGCAUGAAAAAUUCAGGCGCCAGGCAGGUGCCAUGCAGGGCAUCAUUUAGUCCCGUUUGGAAUCCAGCCGGGACUAAAGGGUAACCCUUUACUCCCGGUUGGGAAACCCAACCGGGACUAAAGGGGGACCGUUACUCCCGGUUAAAAGACCCGGGACUAAAACCCCCCCUUUUGUCCCGGUUGGCUUAUCCCGGAUAAAUUUUCGGGAGAUAUGCACCCUACCAACCGGGACUAAAGGCCAAUUCUCCACUAGUGGAAGGUCCUUUCUCUACCAUGAAUAUUGCCAGAAAGAAUUGAAAGAGACCGCUUGCUAAAAACAUGUCAUAGAUGCGGACCAAGCUACCAAGGAGGUAGACCAAACAUGAUACACACCAUGCGUACCUUGCUGUGCAGACUAUGCAUGGACAAGAUACCCGACCACAUGUUGGCUUUGGUCACAUCAAAAGAAUCAUGUAGGCCAUUAAUAAACUACUUGAAGCGUCAUUCCGUAUCUUAUAUCCAUCAUCUGCAUUACAUUACAUUAAAUAUUAUUAACUAUUUGAAUAAAAUGAACCAAUUUAAAAAUAAUGAAUUGUACAUUACUACAAAAAGCCCUAGCACUGCCAGUUCCAAAAACAUCAUUGUUGACGGCCGUUAAGUACCAAAUAUGACGGUCAAUAUCCUAAAGAAUAAAGGACAAUUGGCAUUUCUUACACACAUAUUUGGUUUCGAAUAAUGUAGUUCUACAUGUCCUUGGAGAUUAUUUGGGUGUGGGUGAAAUAAUACAAAAAGAAGGAGAAAACACACUCCCAUGGCAAAGAAACAUAACUCCGACCAAUGAGAGAUAGCCACAGGGGCAGCACAUGGAUCCAUGGGCCCACAAACUGCAUCAAACCAUCUUACAAGGCGGGUAGCACCCACAACUGUCAUUAGGACCCACCUGGAAGUCUAGCAAAGAAGAAGGUUGUGAGUGGGGCCACGAGGGGUUCGGUUGAAUCAUCUCUAGCUCCCUUCAUCCCCAGCUGGCGCGUGGCGGUGGUUCAUGGUGUCCCGACAUCGGUUAGAGGACAUUCCCCCAAAUAUUCCUCCUGUAAACCAGCUCUAUGAACCUAUAAAUAGAGGGGUGUGCUCUCCAUUCCAACACACACCACAAGUUGAAGCACUCUCUCCCUCUUUAGUUUCCAAGUUUACGGAGAUAGGCUGGAGUAGCUCUGCUAAAGGUUCCAAGUCCACUUGGAGUUAAGCGUAUGUCUCUUGUAUCAUUAUUUCCUAGAGAGACUUUAUGCUAUUCAAGUUAUUUAUCUUCUUCAUAUAGUGUUAUGCUUAGUUCUUAUAUGCAUGAGUUAGUCUAAUACCCUUGCUCUAUUGAUAUGCUCAGCUUAUGUGCUCGUAUGCUAGUCAUGUACCCUUGCUGUCAUAGUAUAGGGUUAUAUGCUGUCAUGUGUGCCUAUAGACCUUGCUACAGUAUAUACUUGUUGUGUAUACAUACCAUUUGUAUAUACAUUAUUACAAGUUAAGGUAGUUUUAAAUAUCCUUGUGUUGACAACCAAAGCUUGAUCUUUUGUUUCCAUUGCCAGCGGAUUCAUCGGCUCAGAGUAGGAUCAAGACAUCAAGUUGAUGGAGUUCUUUAUAUUUCAAGAGGAGUCAUGGAGUUCUUUAUAUUUCAAGAGGAGUUGAUGGUGCUUUCAAUAUUGCAACCAGACAUCAUUGGCUCUGAAGACACCGAAUCAUCGGAGUUCUAUGAUCAGUUUCGGAACAUGAAGCCUUCAUACUCCGAAACUGGGGGGCCUGUGUUGACACCGAAUUAUCGGACUUCUAUAAUUAGUUUCGGAACAUGAAGCCUUCAUACUUCGAAACUGGGGGGUAUGUGUUUACACCAAAAUUUAGAAAUGUGCUCUGAAAGGAAGGACCUGGGAGAUCUAUUGGCUGAAAUACAAAUCCAUCGAAACUAGCCUUAUGCUAAGAGAUCAGAAUAUUGUACAAAGUCUAGAAAGUUCUAUUUACAUCUAAGUAACUCGAUAACUAGCCUUACGCUAAGAGAUCAGAAUAUUGGACAAAGCCUACAAAGUUCUAAUAUAGGUAACGUAAUGACCAGGUGAGGAUAGUUACAAGCUCGCUUGAGAUCGAAGCCGAUGUAGCCCUGCGCGCAAGAAGAAACUCACCUAUUUCUACUCUACUCUUACUCCUAGGGUUUGAUGGCGUGGCGUCAAAAGAUUGUAUUGAUUGAUUGAUUAUUUGAUACAAAGCUCAUGGGCCUAUAUUUAUACCCUUGAGAAAGCUAAAAUCCUAAUCAGUUAUGACAUGAAUCGUGACAGAAAAUCUAACUAAAGAUAGAUCUCCAUGCUUUCCCUUAUUUGGUGGAGUCGAUUUCACUUCAUAUCGGAUCCCUCCCGAUCUUCUAUCGGCUUCUAGCAUCCGGUCAUCUGCGACUGGCCUUGGUCAACAUCAGGUGUCAACAGACUUAUUUCUUCUACAAGUUCAUCGGCUGUCAGAGCCUUGUCUUAGUCAGUUGACUCUAGUAAAAAAUCGAUGUCAAUACAUGCCCCCCAAUUUUUGAAUAAAAUAUUAUAUUUCAAAAUUCUCUUCUCUUGUCAACAGCUUUUGAAAGAAAAAGAGUCACUGCUGCAAUCAUAAUCUUUUUCCCCGGGUUUUGUGAUAGCACCCUCCUCAUUUUAAGGGAUUCACCAUGUGGAAAUUAUAAUAUAACUGCUUCACCCAUUUCGUUUUCUUCACCAAACCAACUAUUGUCAGCCGCUACAACCAAAAAUCAAUUAUUCCCUUCACAUGCCUAGCGACUGCAUCCAUCACUCAUCGUCACCAUUAGUCUCCAUGUGUCAAGGCUUCUUCAACCAGCAAUGGCGACAUUAUCUUCCAUUCCACAGGUACCAUGUAUCCUAGCCAUUCCUUUCCCCUUUCAACCUGAAAUCCAAUCUAGUCACUAUAUAUCAAACCUGUGUUCUUAAUCAAUACUUGCCCCCUUGUACUUAGAAACACCCUUUUGAUCCCCAUAUCCGAUACGCAAGCAGAAUACUUUCUAGGCCCCAUGGGUAGUGAAGACCCAAUAGAAUCUAUUAAUGCUGAAAUACUUGGACAAAGUCUAGAAAGUUCUAUUUACAUCUAAGUAACUCGAUAACUAGCCUUACGCUAAGAGAUUUAAAUAUUGGAUAAAGCCUAGAAAGUUCUUAUAUAGGUAACUGAAAAGUGUGUUGACGCAAAAAUUGGAUGGUUGACUCCUGCGUACUAACACACGGAACCAGGGAGAAUCUGCUUAGCUACUGUUCGGGUUAUAGCCCUCUCGAUCCGUAGCGUGCCAGUUAAUCUGACCUGCUGAUUGACAAGUAAAAAUGUCAAAUUAAGAGCAAAUCAGCUGGUGUUCCGAAUCGCUCCACGGGACGUAUCAGUAGACAGCCGAUACGGGCAAACGACAAUCAGCUAGAUCAGCCGAUUUGCUCUUGUAUUUGACGUUUUACUUGUCCUUCUCAAUCAGCAGGUCAGAUUGACUCGCACGACGCAGAUCGAGAGGGCUAUAACCUAAACAAGAGCUAAGCAGAUUCUCCCGGGUUUCAUGUCUUAGUACACAGAAGUCAACCGUCUGAUUUUAUCAUCAACACGCUUUUUGGCACGCUCAGUGGGACCCGAUUCAUAUCUUAAUGGUAAUUGGUGAUCAAGUUUCAAACAACGUAUCCACUGGUAGAAAACUGAGCAUUAGUCCCGGUUGGUAAGGGUCAUAUCUCUCGGAUAUCCAUCCGGGAUAAACCAACCGGGACAAAAGGGGGGGGUCUUUAGUCCCGGGUAUUUUAACCGGGAGUAAAGGACCCCCUUUAGUCCCGGUUGGUGUCACCAACCGGGACUAAAGGGCCUGCCACGCCAGGCGCGGGACAGGCCCUUUAGUCCCGGUUGGUGACACCAACCGGGACUAAAGGGGGUCCCUUUAGUCCCGGUUGGAUUUCCCAACCGGGACUAAAGGGGUCCCCUUUAGUCCCGGCUCAAUUCCAACCGGGACUAAAUUGCGCUUGCAUGGCACUGGUGACGCCUGAAUUUUUCAUGCAUGCAUCACGUAUACGUAUAGUAGUACCGCGGCCCUUUUAAUUUGUUAACCUUGUAGUUGAGAUUUUUUUAGAAUGAAUUAAAUCAACUAGUAUUUAAACGAAUGGGAUUUGUAAUUACACAACUACUAUAUAUAUACACAAUCCUUAUACACAAUUCAUAUACACAAUUCAACUAGCUUAAUUAGUACAAAUCGAUCAUAUAUACAAAUAAAUCAAAGUAUCUUCCUACGAUCUUCCCGUCGUGGUGUUGCUGAGAGGAGUGUCUAAUUGUCGUCCAUCGUAAUAAAAUUCUCCUCUUGGAUUUACCACCUCGUCCAUUAUGAAUCCAAUGAGACCUUCACAUAUUGCCGCUACUCUUUCUUCCUUCAAGAGUCCUUGUUGAAUAUUUAACAUCUAUAAUUUGGAAAUUUGUGAAUGUUACAUGAACAAAUACAUAUAAGGAGCUAGAAAAUAAUUAACUAGUAAUAUAUUUAUUUUACGUACUUUAAAGUUGUGCGGCGUCAUCUUCGGUCCCUUGGGUCCCAAAAAACUGUGCAUGUGCUCACAGAUGUAGUAGCCACAUAGGUUAUUCCCGGGUUCCUGUCUUAAGCACUUCAGUGCGGAAAAAAAAUAAGUUAUGAAAUAUUCGUGUUAUACAAUGUAAUAAAUGUGCAGACUUCAUACGUACCGGGAAGUCUGUGUUCCAUGUAAGAUCUUCUUUGAAUGGACCUUUGUGUGUCCUUAUGAAUUGUUUCCAUACGCUGCGGAUUAGAAUAAUGAAUGACAUAGUGUAACAGGGAUAAAAUUUAGGAAAUAAAUUUUUGCAUAGAGAUAAAGGUCCAGAAUUAUUACAAGCCUAGCAUGUCUUGCAAUUCUUGGUAGUCCACCGGAUCUUUCCGUAACGAAUCAAAGACAGUGACGUGGCUUCUUUCAGGCUCAAUUAUAAUAAGGAUCCAGUGGAAGCUGCGUGCGUAAAAUGUUCAUGCAUAUUAGAGCUAACUAACAUGUAGAGAUAAGGAAAAAGACAUCGAAAGUAGACGGUAUACACACACUUACUUGAAGUUGUAUGGAAGUAGUAUGAAAUCCUUGAAUGUUUGUUUGUGUAGGAAAUUGUAUAUUUCGGCAAAGGUUUUUUCCGGCGCUAAUUGUAUCUGUUGUUGGUUAACUACAGAUGGAUCCAUGAAGCCUACAUGUAGGUACGCCUCUCGGCGGCAUGUCUGAAUUAGCAUCCUACAUGAAAUGGAAGAUGAAGUUAGUACGGUGACGCACGCCAAAAUUUACAUGUAGAGAUAAUAAACGGACACUUACAGAAUCCAAGCGCUGAUCAGAGAGACGUCCAGGGCAUCAUGAUGGUACACUUCGUAUAUAUCCUUGAAGUCUAGCCACAGCACUUUCUCCCCUUCACCGUGAAAAUCUAUCGGUUUUACCUUCAUGCCGAUCAUCUCCCUCGAUUUGGCGGAUGCCGUCAUGUACCAUUGAUGGAAUUCGUACAUCUUUGUUGACAGCUUCCGUACCAUUGCCGGCUUCACUAGAGGCUUGCCUAGCUCAUAAGGCCAUCUCGGCUCAGGGGGCGGUGCAGUUGGCGUCUCGACUUGCCCUAUGCAUUCUUCAAGUCCCAGACCUGUUUCUUCCAUGAACUUCAAUAUAUUUUCUUGUUGAUCCAAGGGCAUUGCUUUUACCCGUUGAGCAUCUUUCUUUGAUAAAUGGCUGAGGUCGGGGACUGAACCGCUGGAGGAUGAUUUUCCUUUUCUUUUAUCCUUUUCAUCAGCCUUUACUAGAGCCCGUUCAUAGUUUGACAAGAGUGGUAUCCUUUUCUUGGCUCCUUCCUCCAUCCUGAUAAAAAAGUUUAAAUCCCGCCGACUUACUGGCGGUGGCUCCAUCUCCCUUGCCCUUUUUAAUUCGGCUUGUUUCUUGAACCACUCACUGGCCUCUCGUUGGAUUUCUGCCCACUGUUCCGCAUGAGACAUUGCCUCAAAGCGUUCCUUGCGAGCCACUUCAGGGUCGACCUUUGUUUUCUUCUUUCGAGGCUGUCUUUGCUUGGGAGGCGGUGCUCGUGACUUCUUGAGUGGUGCUGCAGGUUCCUUCGAGGGGGCCGCUCUUGGUGCCAGCGACGGUGAUCGGGGAGGGGUGUUGUUAUUGUCGUCGUCGCUCCCAGCACCAGGAUGUGGUGGAGAUGGAGACCUUGAUAUAGAUGGAAGCGACGGUCCUGGAGCAGGAGAUGCCGGUCUCGAGGUAUGAGGAGAAGGUCGCUGCUCGGGAUCUACGGGGAGCGGUCUUGAGGUCUGAGGAGAUGGCUCCGUGCGGGAAAUAAUGAUGUAGCGUUUCUUCCAUAGAAUGAUCCCAUGAAGCGCAUCUGCCAAUGUCUUUUCCCCGUCGCCUCCCGGGAAGUCGAGCUCUAGACCUUCAUACUGGGCAUCUACUAUUUGCUCGACGCAGACGCUGGCGUAGCCUGUUGGAAUGUCCAUGCCAUGACUGCUCUGCCCUGCCAGCGUUGGUAACGCACUCCCAUACGCUACCUGUACAUAUAGCAGAAGUAAACAAGUUGAACUCCGAUCUCGAGGCCUGGAUCAAUUGACAAGAUUGCAUAAAUAUUAUGUAUAAGUAUACCUUAAUAGUGAGGUUGCCGACCGGUGCAUGCAGCUCACAUGAGGUCCGUUGCGUGAUGGCAUCCACGGGGAACCGUUGCUCCUCCACGGGUAACCUGGGCGUCUGCGCAUCGGGGACCCCUGUAGAAGCACAACUGCUCCCGAGGCGUUGAGAAGGGCUGGCGGUGUGAGGAUUCGGCAGUGCUCCAGAUUGCGCCAACUCCGCAACUGCGUCGGCCACCCGCCGAUUGAUUUCAUCCAUCAUUCGUUGUUCUAGCAUCUGCCGCCAGCUCUCCUCCAUCUGUUCCUUUCUUCGCUUCCGGCUUCUGUAAGAGGCGCUGUCGCCUCGGAAAGCGAACUUCCACGGAACCACCCCGAACCCCCGGCAACGUCCUGGGUGCUCUGGAUUACCGAGGGCCAAUGUGAGCUCAUCAUUUUCUCGGUCCACCCUCAACCUCCCAGCCUUGGAAUCUUCAAUGUUCUUCAUGAGAUGUUCGGCCUUCUCACGUAUUCUGUCAUUGAAAAUCAGCGUCCCAUCCUCUUGGCUUAGGGAGCCUCCAUGAGCGUAGUACCAGUUCUUUGAUCGUUCGGGCCAUUCAAUAGUUGCAGGUAUGAUUCCCCGUUCGAUCAGAUCUUGUUCCAUCUUUCUCCACUUGGGAAUUGCUGAGCCAUACCCACCUCGCCCCAAAUGAUGGUGGUAGCCCUUCUGACUAGCAUUUGCAACGUUGGUCGUGAUCUUUUUCACACCUUCUUCACUCCUCUUGUAUUCAACAAAUGCAUCCCAGUGGUCCCUCAACUUGGGCCACGCGUUGAAGUCUGGAGUUUUGCCCUUCUUGAUGUAGUGGGUGUCCAGCAUCUUCUUGAAUGUCUGGAAUUGAGUAGCCAUCUUCUUAAGUGUCCACGCUUUGACAUCCUUCUCGCUAUAAUCUUCGGGGAAUGUGAAAUGCCUCUUCACGUCUUCCCACAGCAUAUUCUUUUCUGUCUCUGGAAGGGCGUACGGAUUAUCGCUUCUGCCCUUCCAUUCUCUGAUGCUGAUAGGCACGUUGUCCCGGACAAUUGCCCCGAUUUGACUAACGUACUUCUUUGCGACUUUCUCGGGAGCAACCGGCCUGCCCUCAUCUGUAACUUCGGUGAUGACAAGCCUCCCUUCCAUCACCUUUGUACGACCUCGGGUCUUCUGCCCUUGUGUCGAUCCGGAGGGCUAACAGUUUAAGAUUCGUUAAUUAGUACGUACUAGUAGCGGUGGCGUGAAACAAUACAAGAAUGGUUGUAUAUACCUCGCCGGAACCUUCCGCCACGGCAAGUUGUUGCUGCGGCUGUUGCUCUUCAUUCACAUCGGCAGACAUGUUGAGGAACAUGUCCGCCUGGGUGCCCUCUUCAUCCGUGUAUGAUAGUGGAACGUUGUCGCCACUAUCAUCACCAGCGAUUAUCUGCUCCAUGAUAUACCUUGCGGUCUCAUCGUCUGCCAUUUCAACUAUUGCUGCAAACAUACAUGGAAUCAUACAUGACAGUCAUAGAAAUCGUCUUAAUACAAAUUUGUAUAUAAUCACAGUUCGGAAUCAUACAUGUAUAUAAUGAAAUCAUAAAAUAACAUGAAUCGUACAAAGUCCGGAAUCUUUAUACAAAUUUCUAUGAAUUUAUACAAAUUUCUAUGAAUUUAUACAAAUUUCUAUGAAUUUCUAUGAAUUUCUAUGAAUUUCUAUGAAUUUCUAUGAAUUUCUAUGAAUUUAUACAAAUUUCUACGAAUUUCUAUGAAUUUCUAUGAAUUUCUAUGAAUUUAUACAAAUUUCUACGAAUUUCUAUGAAUUUCUACAAAUUUCUACGAUUUUCUAUGAAUUUCUACAAAUUUCUACGAAUUCCUACGAAUUUUGACGAAUUUCUACGAAUUUUGACGAAUUUCUACGAAUUUCUACGACGGCGAUAAGGGCGGCGAAGGCGGGACGGCGGCGGUCAGGGCGGCGGAGGCGGGACGGCGGCGGUCAGGGCGGCGGAGGCGGUUCACCGGAACCACGGGCGGUGCCUAAGCUACUACGUUGUGAUGGGCGGCAGGACGGCGGCGAUCACGGCGGCUACUCGGCGGCGAUCACGACGGCUACAAGGCGACUGUCACGGUAGCUACUCGGCGGGACGGCGGCGAUCACGACGGCGGGACGGUAGUUAACAACCUAACUACAAAUCUAACUUAACAAACUAACUAGAAAUCUAAAAAUCUAACUUAACAAAAUUAGAAAUCUAAAAAUCUAACUUAACAAAAUUACAAUUCCAUCUAAAAAAACAAAAUUAAAAAUUAAAAGAAAACGGCCAGCUCUCCCGGCGCACCGGCCGGCGCGGCAGACCUCUCGCGCGCGGGGCGGCGGCCGGGGCGGCGGGACGGCGGCGGCCGGGGCGGCCUGACGGCGGCGGCUGGGGCGGCGACGAGGACGAAGACGACGACGGCGGGAUGACGGCGGCCGAGGCGAAGACGACGACGGCGGCCGGCGAGGGGCGACGAGGAUGGAGCUGGCGACGAGGGGCGAUGCAGCCGGCGAGGGAGGCGGACGGGCGGCGACGGGCGGAGAGGGAGGCGGACGGGCGGCGACGGGCGAGGGAGGCGGACGGGCGACGACGACGGCGCAAUGCGGGACUUCGACGGCGCAAUGGGGGACGACGACGGCGGCGGCCGGCGAGGGAGGCGGACGGGCGGCGACGGGCGGAGAGCGCGGGACUUGCGAAAAUUUCGCUAAGUGUGGAACUGGCGGGGGGUAGAAGGGAGUACAGUGCUUUUAACCCCCCCCCCCUUUUAUCCCGGUUCGUAAUGGCACCCGGGACAAAAAGGGCCUUUUGUCCCGGGUCCUGUCACCAACCGGGACAAAAGGCCCCCCCUUUUAUCCCGGUUGGUGACGGGACCCGGGAUAAAAGGGUGCGCUCCCAGCCCCACCUGGCGGGGGCACCCUUUUAUCUCGGGUCCCGUUACCAACCGGGACAAAAGGCCCCCCCUUUUAUCCCGGUUGGUAACGGGACCCGGGACAAAAGGGUGCCCCCGCCAGGUGGGGCUGGGAGCGCACCCUUUUAUCCCGGGUCCCGUCACCAACCGGGAUAAAAGGGGGGGGCCUUUUAUCCCUGUUGCAAAUGGCAACCGGGAUAAAAGGGUACGUUCGGGCGGGAGACGAAACGUACCCUUUUAUCCCGGUUGCCGUUUGCAACCAGGAUAAAAGGGGGGCCUUUUAUCCCGGUUGCUGUUAGCACCCGGGACAAAAGGUCCUUUUUCCUAUUUUUCUUCUCCCGCCUGUUUUUUGGAAAUGGAUUUUAUUUAACCUUUUCACUGCAUUCCAGGAUGAAAAACAAAACCUUCUCAGAUUUUGUACAUGCAAAAAUAUAUUUAAUUAACGAGUAAAUUGACAAUAAGUAUGAAGUAAUCAUUAUUUCUAUACCAACUCAUAUAGCCUGUAAAAUAUUUAUUUUACUGCAUUGCUGUGAUCAAUAAAUUAUUCAAUUAAAUUUUUUGAAUGCGCAGAAAAAUCCAUGUUAGUAUGUGGUUAACAAUGUUCAUGUAUAUCUAAAAAAUCUUCACCUAACAAAUUUAAUUACAAAUUUUAUCAAUUAAUACACAAAGGUCAUGCACAUUUAACGCAUUACAAUACAACGUUGUAAAAUUUCUUCUUCACGAAAGUUCCUUGAUCAUGAUCGCGGCGUAAGUACGGAGCCUCUUCUUUGGACAGCAGGAUGCUUGGAUCAACUUCAACGUCGAAUGGAGGCAUGCCAUCAAACUGAUCAUAAUCAUCUGAUUGGUCUGUUUUAUCCUCGACUCCCACGAUUUUUCUUUUACCUAGAAGAACUAUGUGGCACUUUGGCUCCCAUGUCUCUUCUGGAUUCCUCUUGGGUUUGCUGCACAUGUCCUUCACAUAGAACACCUGAUGCACAUCAUUGGCAAGUACGAAUGGGUCAUCACUGUAUCCAGUCUUGCUCAGAUCUACUAUUGUCAUUCCGUACUGAUCUUUGGUGACGGCAGUUAGCUUCACCCAAUUGCAAAGAAAUAGAGGGAUGUACAGCGGUCCGUAUUCGAGUUCCCAUAUCUCCUGUAUGAAACCAUAAUACGACUCCUUGCUAUUAUUUCUGUCCAUGGCAUCUAUGCGGACACCACUAUUCUGGUUCGUGCUUUUCUGGUCCUGGGCUCUCGUGUAAAAUGUGUAACCAUUUAUCUCAUAGCCUUGGAAUUUGACGAUUGUGGUAGCAGGUCCCCUGGCUAACCAAGCAAGCUGUGGGUGAAUCUCAGAGUUACCCAUAAGUUGUUGGCGCAACCAGGAGGGAAAAGUUUCCAUGUGAUGACGGGUAAGCCAAGCAUCGGAUUUGGUCGGGUUUUUGGAAGCUACCAUCUGCCUGUGCUGCUCGAUAUACGGAGACACAAAGGAUGACUGUUGUAGAACAGUGUAGUGUGCCUUGUCGAACAAAUUAGUAUCAUUGCUCAAACUUGAUUUCCUUCCAAGGGUGCCCAUUCCUCGGAGCCUCCCCUCGUGGCGUGAAGUUGGAACCCCAAUCGAGUCAAUUGAAUCAAUAAAAUCAACACAAAACUCGAUCACCUCCUCUGUUCCAUAUCCCCUGGCGAUGCUUCCUUCUGGACGAGCACGAUUACGAACAUAGUUUUUUAGGACUGCCAUGAACCUCUCGAAAGGCCACAUAUUGUGCAGGUAUACAGGUCCGAGAAUACCAAUCUCUUUUACUAGGUGAACCAGUAAGUGCGUCAUAUUAUUGAAGAAGGAUGGUGGAAAUAACAACUCAAAACUGACAAGACAUUGCACCACAUCGUUCUGUAGCUUUGAUAGCUUGGAUGGAUCGAUUGCCUUCUGCGAAAUCGCAUUGAGAAACGCGCAUAGCUUUACGAGCGGCAACCGGACAUUUUCGGGUAGAACACCCCUCAGUGCAACCGGAAGCAACUGGGUCAUCAACAUGUGGCAGUCAUGAGCCUUGAGAUUUGUAAACUUCUUUUGUUUCAUAUUUAUUAUUCCCUUUAUAUUCGAGGAGUACCCAGACGGGACCUUCAUACUAUUCAAGCAUUCAAACAUACUAUCCUUCUCCUCCUUGCUGAGAGUGUAACUGGCAGGACGUAAGUAGUGCUGUCCAUUAUCUCUCUUUUCCGGAUGUAGGUCAUCUCGUUGCCCCAUGGCUUUCAGGUCCUGUCUUGCUUCCAAUGUAUCUUUUGAGGUUCCAUAAACACCCAUGAAGCCUAGCACGUUCACGCAAAGAUUCUUCGUCAGGUGCAUCACGUCUAUUGCGUUGCGAACCUCUAGGAUUUCCCAAUAAGGUAGCUCCCAAAAUAUUGACUUUUUCUUCCACAUGGGUGCAUGUCCGUUAUCAUCGUUCGGAAUAGGUUGGCUACCAAGUCCCUUUCCAAAGACUACAUGUACAUCCUUCAUCAUCUCGAACACACGCUUUCCAUUACGGUGUGCAGGUUUUUUACGAUGGUCUGGCGUCCCUUUGAAAUGCAUCCCGCUCUUUCUCAGCUGGUGGUGAGCAGGGAGAAAUCGACGAUGACCCAUAUAGACGACCUUCUUACAGUGCUUCAAGUACAUGCUAUCUGUGUCAUCUAAACAGUGGGUGCAUGCCCGAUAUCCCUUAUUUGUCUAUCCUGAAAGGUUACUCAAUGCAGGCCAAUCGUUGAUGGUUACGAACAACAGUGCUCGUAGAUUAAAGAUCUCUUGUCUAUCCUCAUCCCACACACGUACACCUUCUUCCUUCCAGAGCUGUAAAAGGUCAUCAACCAACGGCCUUAGGUACACGUCAAUGUCGUUGCCGGGUUGUUUUAGGCCUUGGAUAAGCGCCGGCAUCAUAAUGAACUUCCGCUUCAUGCACAGCCAAGGAGGAAGGUUGAACAUACAAAGGGUCACAGGCCAAGUACUAUGACCACUACUCAACUCACCGAAUGGAUUGAAUCCAUCAGUGCUUAAACCAAACCUUAUGUUCCUUGCUUCACUUUCAAAGUCUGGGAAUGUUCUAUCAAUUGAUCUCCACUGUGCCCCAUCUGCGGGGUGUCUCAGCAUCUCAUCUUCCUUACGGUCUUCUUUGUGCCAUCGCAUCAACUUAGCAUUCGCCUUGUUCCUGAACAAGCGCUUCAAGCGUGGUAUUAUAGGGAAAUACCACAUCACCUUCACGGGAACUCUCUUCUUGGGAGACUGCCCCUCGACAUCACCAGGAUCAUCUCGCCUGAUCUUAUACCGCAGGGCUUCGCAGACGGGACAAGCAUCCAAUUCCUCGUAUUCAUCACCACGAUAGAGGAUACAGUCAUUAGGGCAUGCGUGUAUCUUCUGAACAUCCAAUCCGAGAGGGCAAAUAAUCUGUUUAGCUUCAUAUGUUGUGGACGGUAAUUCAUUAUUCUCGGGGAGAAUCUUCUUGACAAUUCUCAACAUCCCCUGAAAUGCCUUAUCGGACACACCAUUUUUUGCCUUCCAUUGCACAAAUUCUAGUGUCGUACCUAGUUUUUUAUGGCCCUGCUGGCAACCUGGGUACAACAAUUUUUGGUGAUCAUCUAUCAUGCGCUGCAACUUUGCUGCUUCCUUCUCAGUUUCGCAAUCUCUGUAUGCAUCUCGUAUCACCUGACCAAGGUCAUCAGUAGGGUCAUUUUCUGCAAACUCAUCUUCAUCAGCCUCGCCCAUUGUAGUACCUGCAAAAGCUUGGCCUGCAACCCAGUCCGGAAUGGUGUCAUCUUCCUCCUCCUCCUCGCCAUCUUCCAUUACAACCCCUAGUUCACCGUGCUUGGUCCAAACCAAAUAGUUAGGCAUGAAACCGUAUUUAAACAAGUGGCUGUGAAUAGUCCCCCAGGAAUUCUUUGAAUACUCCUUCCUGUUAUUGCAUUGGAAGCAUGGACAACAUACGAACCCAUUCUCUGGCUUGUUCGCUUUUGCCACUUCGAGAAAAUAAUGCAAGCCAUCAAUAAACACCUUGCUCCGCCUGUCUGCAUUAUACAUCCAAUGCCGGUCCAUCUGCAUCGUAUUACGCACGAAAAUGGAUUACACUUGACAAUGGAUUACGCGUGAAAAUCGAUUAAAGAUCCAAACAACAUGGUACAAUACAACAACAUGAAGAUCCAAAUACACAUAUUUAAAUUAAAGUCCCAAACACUGCAUAAGUUGUUCAACUUGAAGACCGUGAUCAUCUCGUGAGGAUGUCCUCAACUGGGCGGCACCGCACUUCGUCAUUAAAGAGGUUAGAUGCUACGGAAAAGGGGACACGGUCACAAUGUCCGUAUCCACUCUUUCUCGUAGAAUCGAACCUCCUUCUUGACAUACGUUGCUGCUCGGCGGAGAACAUCCUCGGCGAGAUGAACACGGUAUGCAAGUUCAACAAGUAGCAGAAGUCAUCUAUGUACAAAAAUUCUUUCCUUACCACUACAGAAGUUGUUGAACUUGAAGACCGUGUUCAUUUCGCGAGGAUGUCCUCAGCUAGGCGGCACCGCACUUCGUCAUGAAAGAGGUUAGAUGCUACGGAAAAGGGGACACGGUCACGAUGUCCGUAUCCACUCUUUCUCGUAGAAUCGAACCUCCUUCUUGACAUACGUUGCUGCUCGGCGGAGAACAUUCUCGCCGAAAUGAACACGGUAUGCAAGUUCAACAAGUAUAUGGAUUUAAAAAACCAUAUUGAAUUUGAUAAGAUAAACCGUCUAGACAAGGUAGCAUCAUUUUUAAACCACUGAAAUAAUGCAUACUAUAUAUGACACAUCAAUCUCCCUCACAUUCUAGCUCAAAAUACCUCUCCAUUUUUCUACUUCAUCAUCACAUUGUAGCAAAUAAUCUUUCCAUCUCCAAAGCAUAAAUCAAAGCAUAACACGAGGAUGAAGUAGCAAACCUUCGCAGCACUUGUUGGCUGAGUCAAAUUCCCACGAAAAUGAGGGAAAAAAGUUCGGGCAGCACCUCCCUUGCUUGGGCACCACCGGAGAGUAGGUGAAGCUCAGCUCUCUAUCAAUGUGCUGGACUGCUCGGGCUGGAGGAAGAAGAAAGUCUCUGUCUCGGGGUAUAGUGGGGGAUGAGUUUUAAUCCCGGUUAAAAACUCCAACCGAGACAAAAGGAAACACCUUUUGUCCCGGUUGGAAAGUUAGUCCCGGUUGGAGGAUCCAACCGGGAUAAAAGGGACACCCUUUUAUCCCGGUUGGAGGCACCAACCGGGACUAACCCUUUUAUCCCGGUUGGUGCCUCCAACCGGGAUAAAAGGGUGUCCCUUUUAUCCCGGUUGGAUCCUCCAACCGGGAUAAAAGGGUCCCGCCACCGACGGCCCCCGCUAGCCGUUGCAACCGGGACUAAAGGGGGGCCUUUAGUCCCGGUUGCAAUUACCAACCGGGACUAAUGCUCCCCUCCAAAUUCCCGCACCCCGGCGCACCCCCUUUUGUCCCGGGCCACUUUUAAACCGGGAUAAAAGGGGGUUGAUCGAAAGUCAGUUCUCUACUAGUGAUCGGUGACUCCGCUCGAGGAGAAUUGUUUAUAUCAAGCAUAGAAAUGACAACGUUGGAAGUGGAGGAUAUAUUUUGCUCUGUUGAUUUAAUUGCCGCGAGAGUGGCGGACAAGUUCUAAUGAUUGAAGAUCAGAAGCGUCUCGUGGAGAAUUUUUCAGAAGCUAUAUUUGGAAUUAUUAUAUUAUCUCAGGAGCAGAUUAAAUAUAACGCCACCACUGAAAGCCGAUGAGAUGUAUCUAUCGGCUACAUGCUAUUCAGAUGAAUUUGAUGACAGAUUAAUUACGGAGGAGACCGACCGAUACAACAUUAUGGUUUCUUACUGCUGAUCUGUUAUGAAAGAGGAUGUGAGAAGCUGAUAAUCAAGCAACAAUAAAAUGAUAUACACGCAGGGCAUUAAAUAUUGAGUUAAUGAUUGGGAGUACUACCAUUAUCUUAUGAAAAGUCCAUCGGCUAACCAAACAGCGUCAGCCGAUGGAAGCAAAUAGUGUCAGCCGAUAGAAUGAUGUUAUAUAAGUAUAUAUAUCGGCCUCCGAGCCAAUGGGAAGUAGGAACUAUCAGCCGAUGCACACAUCCAUGGACAUAGCCGAUAAGACAUUGUAUCGGCUGCUUGGCAAAUAAAAAUAGCAUCGGCUGACCGCUUGUUAAAAUAUUAUCGGCCGAUUGCUUGGCAAAAUAGUAUUGGCUGACUGCUUGGCAAAUAAAAAAAUAAUAGGUUGACCAAAAAAGGAUAGCAUUGCCUGAUUGCUUGGCAAAUAAAAAAAAUUACGUCGGCUGAUUGGUUCCAGCAAAAUAGUAUCGGCUGCUUGUUGAUCAGAAAAAGCCGAUACUGUUACAGCUCCCGCAACUGUGCUUUGCUGUCAUCGGCUGGGUUGUUCGUGCUCCAUCUGCAAAUAUUUGUCCCGGCUAGAAAGUAUCGUACGUGCAUUGGGAUUCGGCAGUACAAAUCACGUACACGCGUAUGGUCUGCUCAGAAGCUGUCUGUUCGACGAAGUUCCAGGCCAAUGGUGGAGACUUGAUGACCAUGGUGACCUGCAUUAAUCAACAUGAAGUAUGUAUCGGCUGUUCGGUGAUUGGUAGCAAAUCAGCUUUCUCAUAGCCGGUGACAUAUGGGGCAAGAAAUAUCAGGCUUAAAAAAGGACAGUACGAUCAAUGUCGAAAGUUGUAGCCGACGGUUCUAUUAUUGUGCAGUCGAUGGAACAUAGAAGAUGCAUCUGAAUGAGCAAAAGGAAGGGAGCCGAUAGAAGGGAAUUUAAGUUGCAUGAGAUCCAAUUAAAUUAAGAUGACGAGAGGUGUUGACAUCGAAUCAUCGGACUUCUACGAAGUCUUCAUACUCCGAAACUAGGGAGUCUGUGUUAACACCAAAAUUUAGAAAUAUGCUGAUGCAAAAAAAUAAUGAAAUCUCCUAAAUAAGGCUCAAGAAAGAAAAAGCAAGAAAAGAAAAUCAAUCGCACGCGGCAAGAAUUGAAUAAAAUAUUCUAGAGGUAGAGUUGGUUAGGAUAAGCUUAAUUAGGGAUAGAGUUGGAUUAGUUAGAGAUAGUAUUUUGAUUAGAAAAGAUUGUGUACAUGACUUGUACGUGGUGCGUCAGAGGCCAUCCGCCCUAUAAAUAUAAGGGGUCGUGGCCAUUGUAAUUAUCAUCACACGAUCAAUAUACAACAUAUUUAUCUUUUACCUUUUCGGCUUCACGCCAUUGUAUUAGGAGUAGGAGUAAUGUAGCUUCCUGACGAGUUCCUUCUAGCAAGCUGUGCUGCAUUGACCUUGAUCUCUGGCGAGCUGCAAAGUUCCGUCACCAGGUGUUCUAGGCUUUAACCACCGGGCGCAUCGCUUGUGGUUUCGUCUAGUUUCAUCUACAAGGUAUCGAAUAUCAUGGAUCUUUAACUUACGCAUCGCUUCUGUCUUGAUCUACGGUAUUCACCAGUUAUCCUGCCUUGGUUAAGUCUGCAUCGGCUGAUAUUUAUCUGUUCUAUCAUCUUGCCGUUCAGUUUGCUUUAAUUAGCUUUAGAUCGGUUCAUUAUAGAUGAUAGAUCGCUUAAUAGCCUGUUGCAUCUUAAUCUUGGUUACCCCUUCAAGUGCUGUUGGGAUUAAGUUUCGUUAUGAUUGGAUUCAUCGGCUGGUGGGGUUGGUGGGGUUCAGAUUAACAUCGUGCUAAAUAUUUCUAGACUGCAACUACUGGACGCAUCGCUGUGGUUUCAUCUAGAGAUAUUGGUAGAGAGUUUAGUUUAGAUCUCAUCGGUUCGUGGCUCUAGCUAUGGUGGAGCGGCAGCUGAAUAGCAUCCUGUUUUCUAUCGGUCGCCUGGCCGAUAGUUAUUGCAAAAUAUAUUAAAUCGCCUGGAUGGCCGAUGGAUCACUCACGCUCGUCAAGGAUCAUAUCGGCCUGAUCGGCCAGUUGCCUCGGACUUCAAAGGAUUAUUUUCACCUUGUCAGUUGAAUGGUCAAACUGGCUGGCACGCCCGCGCACACCAUGCGCGCCGAUUUGGAUUUUGCACUGGAGUUAAGUAGAUCUUCCAGGUCCUCAUGUGGUGACGAAGGAUCCACCACCAUCAGGAUUUUGCGUCAACACAUUUUGGCACGCCCAGUGGGACACGGUUAUAAGGUUCAUAUUUUUAUUCAUAUAAAAAAGCAUCUUCGGCAUCAUCGGCCAAAUGAGUGUUCAUCGGCUUGUUAGAAUUAAUUCAAUAUAAUAUUUCAGCAAAAGCAGCCGAUGUAGCGAUUGGAGAUAAGGCCAAGUCAAGUCUGCGUGUAUACGCAUGUUCCGGUGGGAUCAUCUUCAUAAAUGCCAAUGACGAUUAGAGAUGAAGCUUCCUGCAAAAUGAUUGGCUACUCUAUCCGGGAAGAAUUGCUUUUUUAUGAGGCAUAUAUAGAGACCCAUGUUGCAAUUAGGGGGCGUAUUCGUGCAUUGGCUGAAAUAAAAAAAUGCAUCGGCAUAUUGAAAAUUGCAUCGGCCGAUUGACAGUCGUAUCAGCUGAUUGGAAAAAUAAAAAGGGAUCAGGGAUCCGCCGAUUGAAAAUUGCAUCAGCUGAUGGAAAAUGAGAGCAACAGUUACAAUAUUUUUUUUAAAAGAAAGCAAGUAUCGGCAAGCAGUAGCCGAUGGAUUUGUAUUUCAGCCAAUGGGGUUUUUGUUUCAGCUGAUAGUACUACUGGCUGAUGGCAAGUCCAAUGGAGUUAAAAUUGCAUUGACUGAUUGAAAUAAAAAUUAAGUAUCGGCUAAUUUAUGGCCAAGUAGCAUCUGCUGAUUUGUUGCAAAGUAGUUUCGGCUGAUUUAUGGCAAAAUAGAAUCGGCCGAUUUAUGGCAAAGAAGCCAAUAGACAAAAGCAUCGGCUGGUAGAGAAGCCGAUUGAGCAAGCAUCUGUUGAUGAGCUAUGUAUGGGAAAAAGUAUUGGCUGCUUAAACAAUUGACAAAAGCCAAUUGGUCAGACUGAGAAGCCAACUGGGAAAGCAUCGAUCGAUGGAUUGCGUAUGGGAGAGAGUAUCGGUUGAAGUCUUUAGUAUUGACUGCUAGAUAUUUGAGCAAGCGUCGGCCGAUUGACUGCUUGGUAAAAAAAACAUCGGGCUGAUUGCUUGGUUAAUAAAAAAAUUGCAUCGUUCAAGCAAAGAUUGCAUGGGCUGAUUGGUUCAAGCAGAAUAGUAUCGGUUGCUUAUAGAAUAUAUCGGAUAUUAAUUUCGAAGCAUGAAAAUAUUCAUACUCCGAAACUGGGGGGCCUGUGUUGACAACAAAAGCUUGCUGGUUACUGCAUCAAGUUUUGGUGUCAACAUACUUGAUCUUUUGUUUCCAUUGCCAGCGGAUUCAUCGGCUCAGAGUGGGAUCAAGACAUCAAGCUGAUGGAGUUCUUUAUAUUUCAAGAGGAGUCAUGGAGUUCUUUAUAUUUCAAGAGUAGUCGAUGGUGCUUUGAAUAUUGCAACCAGACGUCAUUGGCUCUAAAGAUACCGAAUCAUCGGACUUCUAUGAUCAGUUUCGGAACAUGAAGCCUUCAUACUACGAAACUGGGGGCCUGUGUUGACACCGAAUCAUCGGACUUCUAUAAUUAGUUUUGGAACAUGAAGCCUUCAUACUUCGAAACUGGGGGGCCUAUGUUAACACCAAAAUUUAGAAAUGUGCUCUGAAAGGAAGGUAUCGGCCGAUGAUGCAAAAAAAUAAUGAAAUCUCCUAAAUAAGGCUGAAGAAAGAAAAGCAAGAAAAGGAAAUCAACGCACACGGCAAGAAUUGAAUAAAAUAUUCUGGAGAUAGAGUUGGUUAGGAUAAGCUUGAUUAGAGAUAGAGUUGGAUUAUUUAGAGAUAGUAUUUUGAUUAGAAAAAAUUGUGUACAUGACUUGCCUUGUACGUGGUGCGUCAGAGGCCAUCCGCCCUAUAAAUAUAAGGGGUCGUGGCCAUUGUAAUUAUCAUCACACGAUCAAUAUACAACAUAUUUAUCUUUUACCUUUUCGGCUUCACGCCAUUGCAUUAGGAGUAGGAGUAAUGUAGCUUCUCGACGAGUUCCUUCUAGCAAGCUGGGCUGCAUCGACUUCGAUCUUCGGUGAGCUGCAAGUUCCGUCACCAGGUGUUCUAGGCUUUAACCACUGGGCGCAUCGCUGUGGUUUCGUCUAGUUUCUUCUACCAGUUACCGAGUAUCUUGGAUCUUUGACUUAUGGCACAUCGCUUCUGUCUCGAUCUACGGUAUUCACCAGUUAUCCCGCCUUGAUUAAGCUUGCAUCGGCUGAUAUGUAUCUGUUCUUUCAUCUUGCCGUUCAAUUUGCUUUAGUUAGCUUUAGAUCGGUUCAUCAUAGACAAUAGAUCAUUUAAUAGCAUGUUGCAUCUUGAUCUUAGCUAUCCUUCGAGUGUUGUUGGGAGUAAGUUCCGUUGUGAUUGGAUCCAUCAGCUAGCAGGGUUUAGAUUAACAUCCUGCUAAAUAUUUCUAGACUGCAACUACCGGGCACAUUGUUGUGGUUUCACCUAGAGAUAUUGGUGGUGACGUUAGUUUAGAUCUCAUCGGCUUGUGGCUCUAGCUAUGGCGGGGCAACAACUCAACAACAUCCUGUUUUCAAUCGACCGUCUAACUGAUAGCUAUUGUAAAUUAUAUUAAAUCGGCUGGAUGACGAUGAAUCACUCACAUUCAUCAAGGUACUGGAAUCGGCUUCACAGCCGAUAUAUUUGUCAUGAUUUAUUUUGUUGCACCAUUAUCGCUACUGUGCUAGGAUUAUAUCGGCCUAAUCGGCCAGUUUCCUCGGACUUCACAACGACUAUCAUCUCCUUGUCAGUUGAAUGGUCAAACUGACUGGCAUGCCCGCGCACACCACACGUGCCGAUUUGGAUUCUGCACUGGAAUUAAGCAGAUCUCCCAGGUUCUCAUGUGCUGAUGCAGGGUCCACCACCGCCAGGAUUUUGUGUCAACACCUUGUAAUCUUCCUUUGAUUUCCUCAAUGAUUCGAAGACAAUAACCUUGCUUGUAUAAAUGAUAAUUAUAAGGAGAACCUAGUGGAAACUGUGUAUUCAUAUUAGAACUACCUAUGGUUAAUUAGGUUAGGAAAGGAAAUCGAAAAUAGACCGUACCCACACUUACUUAAAGUUGUUGGGCAGUAGUAUGUAAUGCUUGUAAUUCUGUUACUCCAAGAAUUUGUAUAUGUGGUCCAAUGUAGACUUUGGUUGAUCCCAUAUCUGUUGUUGGUUAAAUAAGUGUUUCUGGCCAUUUCUAGCCGUUAGAACCGGAACUAAAGGGGGCUCUUUAGUACGGGUUGAUAUUACUAACCGGGACUGAAGAGCCCCCAUUACAGUUGGUUUUUGGACGCGGAACUAACAACUCCUUUAGUCCCGAGUCCAAAAACGACUGAGAUAGAAGAUCCUUUCUCUACCGUGAAUAUUGCCAGAAAGAAUUGAAAGAGACCGCUUGCUAAAAAUAUGUCAUAGAUGUAGACCAAGCUACCAAGGAGGUAGACCAAACAUGAUACACACCAUGCGUACCUUGCUGUGCAGACUAUGCAUAGACAAGACACCCGACCACAUGUUGGCCUCGGUCACAUCAAAAGAAUCAUGUAGGCCACCAAUAAACUACUUGAAGCGUCAUUCCGUAUCGUAUAUGCAUUGCCGGUUCAUCUGCAUUACAUUACAUAAAGUAGUAUUAACUAUUUGAAUAAAAUGAACCAAUUUAAAAGUAAUGUGUUGUACUCUACUAUAGAAAGCCCUAUCACUGUCGGAUCCAGAAACAUCAUUGUUGAUGGUCGUUAAGUACCAAGACGGUCAAUAUUCUCAAGAAUAAUGGAGAAUUGGCAUUUCUUACACACAUAUUUGGUUUUGAACAAUGUAGUCCCACAUGUCCUUGGAGAUUAUUUGGGUGUGGGUGAAAUAAUACAAAAAGAAGGAGAAAACACACUCCCAUGGUGAAGAAACAAAACUCCGACCAAUGAGAGAUAGCCACAGGGGCAGCACACGGAUCCAUGGGCCCACAAACCGCAUCAAACUGUCUUACCAAGGCGGGUAGCACCCACAACCAUGAUUAGGACCCACCUGGAUGUCUACCAAGAAGAAGGUUGUGAGUGGGGCCAGGAGGGGUUCGGCUGAAUCAUCUCUAGCUCCCCUCAUCCCCAGCUGGUGCAUGGCGGUGGUUAAUGGUGUCCCUACAUCGGUUAGAGGAGAUUCCCCCAAAUAUUCCUCCUGUAAACCACCUGUAUGGACCUAUACAUAGAGGGGUGUGCUCUCCAAUCCAACACACACCACAAGUUUAAUCACUCUCUCCCUCUUUAAUUUCCAUGUUUAUGGAGUUAGCCUAGAGUAGCUCUGCUCAAGGUUCCAAGUCCACUUGGAGUUAAGCAUAUGUCUCUUGUAUCGUUAUUUCCCAGAUUGACUUUAUGCUUAGUUCUUAUAUGCAUGAGUUAGUCUAAUAGCCUUGCUCUAUUGAUAUGCUCGGCUUAUAUGCUCGUAUGCUAGUCAUAUACCCUUGCUGCCGUAGUAUAGGCUUAUAUGCUCUCAUGUGUGCCUUUAGACCUUGCUACAAUAUAUACUUGUUGUGUAUACAUACCAUGUAUAGGCUAGUCGAUCUAUACCAUGGCAUUGGUUCAAUAGCCAUGUUUUUGGUGGCUCCAACCCUAGUCAGAAUAGCUCGGGACAGCUAGAGUGUUGUUAAAAAUGCAAGAGUGAUGGUUGGGUUGUUUAGCAUCGUUGGAUAUGGGUUUUCCCCACGGGUUUCUAAGAGUAGGCGGCAGCUAGUGACAGCCCUGUCCGUCCUUCGUAAUCCCCCCACAUUCAAGUACGCCAUAGAAGUUCAUAAAUUAGCAGUAACUACACCGGCAGACCGGUAGGGUAUUGUCUCCCUAUAGUACCUUGGUGCAUAGAACUAGGUCAUAUACACUGUGUGUCUAUGUUUACGCUGAUAUGAUCUGUGCAGUAUAUAGCAUGUAUAUAUGAACCUAGAGCUAACUCCUAGUCCAUUCUCCGUAGCUUAGUUAUCUUGAGAUGAUUCUUCUGUGUGUGUAACACUACCCAUCUUAUCAUUAUCCUUAAUCCUGUCUUGUGUAAUAUAUCUACUCAUCCUAUGAUAUACUCAUAUGCAUAGUAAACUAUUUUGACCUACCCGCCUUCCUUUGGGAAAUACGAUACCCUGGAAUAAUCCUAGGUGAAAUGCUACAACGGUAUAUCCAUGUGCUUACGGAAUUAUUCCUGACCAUUAAAUAUACCAACAAUCAUCACUAUCUAUUUUGGGCAUCGUUAGUGAAGGGUCGGCAGUGAUGGGCAUCCCCUUCACCAAUGGAGCUGGAACUGGCGGUGAUGGCCAUUAAAAAAAAUGGGACCCCACCCAGCGUACCCCGCAACCCGGCCGGCUGCGCCUCCCAUCAUCCCCGCCGGUCGCCCUUCCUCUUUGCCGGCCGAGCAUGGUUCCGGCCCUCGUCCCUACCGCCUCGCCUCCAUCGCGACCCCCUGCCGAUGCCCUCAUGCCUGGCCCCCCUCGUCUGGCCGGCCACCCUCCCGAUGCAUCCACCGGGGCCCUCGCACCACCAACCACCCUAGCCUAGAGAGAGAGAGGAGGAGGGAGGUGAGGCCACGCACCUCGUCCUACAACGCCGCUGUUGCUCCUCGGCCCACCGCGCCUCACCCCACACCACAGCCGCACCUCGCCAUCUUACCGGCCGCGACGCCCCAUCUCACCGGCCACCGUUCCUCACCCCCACAUCGGUCAUCGCUGCUCCUUGCCCUACUGCUGCUCUUUGCAGCCGCGAAUGAGGGGCGAGUGGAGGGGGAGGGGCGGGGCAGGAGGAGGGCAAGAUCCGGGAGGAAGGGAGAGAUUUUGGGAGGUGGAGAUGGAAGGAUAUGGCGGAAGGUAGAGAUCUAGAGGGAGAGAGCGGGGGGGAGAGGGGGGCAUGUGGGGAGAGAGCGCAUGUGGGGUGGGGCCGGGCUGGUGGGAUGGAAGGUAGAGGGGCCGGAGGGCGCAGUGCAUUCAACUGGAUUAAGUAAAUAUUUCGGAUUCGAGACCCCAGCUUUAUUAUCACCGCUGGUCCGUAGUACCAUUCGGUGCCGGCUCAUAAUUUAAUUUGAACCGGUGGUGAUGUUUUAUUAUCACUGCUGGUUUCAAUUUUCACCAUCGGAUCAUAUAAAAAUCCGGCGGUUAAAAAUCCGCUGGUUUCGAUGAAAACCGACAGUGAUAGGACGACUGUGAUAGUCUCUUCUCUAGUAGUAGUAUAUUAGUACCGGCUGCCGGAUGGUGUUGCCGACGAGUACUUCUCCAGGGGCGAUUCAGUACUGAUGUUAGCAAAGCUUGUUCUCUAUGAAUUUGGGGAUGGAAAGCUAGUUCUCUAGUUGUGAUUUGUUACAUAUAUCUCUAUGAUAGUCUAGAAAUUGCAUGUCCUUCGUUGACAUAGUUGAAGCUGCUUCAAGAAUUUACUUCGUGCAGUCGUGCAGCAUAUUGGAUUAUCACCUAGACAGGAUACAUAGGUGAAGCAUUGCAUGUGAUUGUGGCUGAUAAUUAUGCAGGACGCUGUUGCAAUCAACCAUCAAGAAGACUGGAGCGAUGGGGUUGCCUCAUCAACAAUUUUUAUAUAUGGCUGCAGUAUUAUUAAGCCCACGUCAAUAAUUUUUUCUCCGCAGCAUAUAUAUGGUUACUCAGUUCGCUGGAGUAUCGCUGUGGAAAAACAUACGUACUGCGCCUCGGAACUAACUGGCAUUCAGGCCAUCAACGACCAGAUAUUUGGGACAACCAACAAAUAGUAGGUGGUUCCUAAGUUGUAGUCGUAUGUACUAAUGCGCCUCGAUGGGGUUUUCUUCAGAUAUUUUAUUGCCGUUCAAUGAACAAGCAGAUACAUAACCUGUGCAGAAAAUUCCAUCUCCACGCAUGCCACUGCACCAACAAGAUCCUCAGUCGACGAUGAUGGCUCAGCCUGUUCCUUCUGCCACCAAAUCCUCAAUCUUCCCUCCAGCAACGGAGAAUGCACCUUUAGUACCUUCAGUAUCAGAUGUUGCAAUCGGUACCGUGAAACCGAGACUAAAAUCCUUACUUUGCAGGGGGCAAAACAAUCUUGCAAAUAUAUAUUUUGAAUUCCAACAAAAUUUAAGAAAUGUUAAAGAUGACUAGCUGAGAGUCAACAGACAAGAUAUGAUAUUAGGAAUGUGGGAGGAUGAAUGCAUUUGUACAGGGGUCAUACUAUUUCCAGACUCUUCUAUAUUUCCAUAUGACUACCUACUUCAAUGUCACGCGAGCCAUUCAAAAAGAUACAUGGUACACUUGUAUGUCUAAUCCAUUAUUGAUUAUUUCCUCUUGUCAUCUCUUACAAGUAUUUCUCCAUACUAUAGAAACGUGCAACACAUUUUUAGGAUAUGGACACGCAUGAUUAAUAUGCUUGGACUAGUAUACAGGUCAUCUUUGGAUGAGUACAUAUGAAUGCCAGGGAGGGACUGAUGGAUAUAAGGAAAAGGGACCAUGCAUAAAUAAUGACAUAUGUAACAUGGCAAUCUUCAUUGCCAUGCAACUCCUAUCAACAAUCAUGGAAUACAUACUACUGCUCCAGAAGGGUGGUGUGCAAAUUUAUUUUACCUCGCGGUGAAAAUCUCCAGAGCAGGCCUGAAGUUAAAAUAAGAGGCAGUCACUAUCGAUCAUGACAGUCUCGAAACUGUACAGCACUAUGCUAGUCCUAGUCCUCAUGUCGUUCGUGCUGUCGUGUAGCAUGAUGGAUUAUUAACUGGGCAGGACACGGAGAUGGCUAGCGAUGACAGAGGAUGACGUACAUGAUAUUCACCUCUGAAAUGAAGCGUAGGCUAAUGAAGCACAAUUGCAUGUGAGUGUGGCAGAUAUUUAUACAGGACAGUGAUUGCAAUAAUCGACCAUCGAGAUCGAAGACAGGGGCGAUGGGGUUGCCUCAUCAAUAAUUCGCGCAACCAGACAAGCUGCAGACUCAAUAUGGUACGAAGCUAUUUGGUCAGCCCACAUGCUCUGAUAUAACAUUGGCAUCUGCUGAUCUACAGUAUAUAUGACCAGAAAUAUUGUGCCACCUCAAUAAUUUUCCGAAGUAUCGUUGGGGAAGCACCUACAUACUAUGCCUCGGAACUAACUGACAUGUUGGCCUAGGCGGUCCAGGCCGAUUGGACAGGCUCUUCCUUAUGGCUCCUCACGUCCCCUUCGUUUCCGAGUAAUCUCAGGUGUUCUGAAGUUUUCUUUUCACUUGCAUGUGGACCUUAUAUAUCAAUAGCUUCGGGAUAAGAAUGCCUCUUGAUAACCUUCCAAAUCGUCGCUUGAUUCACUUUGAUUCCAAAAUCAUCUUGCCAUAUCUUUUGAGACUUAGGCCCUAAGGCAUCAUGGAGGAUUGCUCGCCAAGAAUGAGCACCAUUGGGCUCCUGAGGACCCUAGGCCGAUCAGCCUGGGCUCUAUAGGUUGAUUGGCCCAGGCCCUCUCUGGGCCCAUUGGCCUUCAUCUUUCUCUGAGUCGACGCUUAUUGAGGGCUUUGUCCAAUUAUAGUCCAUUAUAGUCUAAUUUCCAAAAAAAUAGAAUAUCCUCCAAAAUACAAUACAUUUGUGAAAACAGCCCAAUUAUUAGGUAUGAUCAAUAGUCUAGGUAUUAAAUUAAUGUUAUUAUUUAAGAUAAAUAGGGAUAAAGGGUGUCAUUAAUAACGAGCACCAACCAGCGUACCAGCUGUUAACACUAACCGAUGCUAAUAUGUACCCUUUAGUACCGGCUAUUUCACCCGGUACUAAACGAGACAAGAGCACCCUAACAGAGGUUAAUACCAUCCAUUUCAUGAGUAAAAUACUAUGAUUCAAAAAUAAUUCAAAUCCCUUAAGACAAUACCUAUCAAAUGAGUAGAUUGUAAAUAGAGUAAAACAAUGUCCUAAUGAAACGGAACACUUCUGGUUCGUGUAGAGCACAAUAUAGAAAACAGUAGGGUAGCUGUACGAUUGACACGUGGUCCAUUAAUUAUUGAGCCAUCACUAUGGACAUGUCUUCAUGAGUAGUGUACUAGUCAUGACACAUGGUAUGUAGUAGGUGGAGGUAUUGAGUUAGCCAUGCCAUGAGCACUUAGUUACAACAAACACUUUGCCAUUAUCGAGCAUCCCAAAUCACUACAAAAUCCAUAGUUUACCAUAUACUACAAAAUCUGAGUUAAAAUAAGAGCAUACACGGAAGAGUCCGAAUGCACCGGUUUAGGACCAGGCACAUUGAAUUACUAGAAAAAGUUAUCGGACAAGGUUUUGGGUAACCGCAUGAAAAAUGUUGGAUUUUACUGAACACUUAGUUACAAUUACCAUGCCGUGAGCACUUAGUCACCACAAACAUUUAACCACUUUAGAUCAUCCUGAAUCCCUAUAAAUUCUGUACCUUACACCGUACCAUGAAAACGACAAGAACAGAGACAGAUGCAGUGAAAAUCUCCAGAGCAGGCCUGAAAUUAAAAUAAGAGGAGGCAGUCUCUAUCGAUCAGGACACGGAGAUUGCUAGCCAUGACAGAGGAAGACAUGAUAUGAUAUUCACCUCUGAAAUGCAGCGUAGACUAAUGAAGCACAAUUGCAUGUGAGUGUGGCAGAUAAUGGACCAUCGAGACCAUCGAAUGGUAUGAAGCAUGAUUAUCACCUAGACAUGAUAUCCUAGACAGGACGGUGAAUUGUAAAAAGAGUAAUCUUGAUCAAAGAAUGUCCUAAUGAAACGGAACAUUUUUGGUACGUGUAGAGCACAAUAUAGAAAACAGUAGAGUAGUUGUACGAUUGAAACUGCAUCCAUCCACGUGGUCCAUGAAUUGUUGAGCCAACACUGUGGACAUGUCUUCAUGAACACCAUCUAGUGAGGACAGGAUGCAGAAAAAUAUAAAAACAUGUCAUAGGGAGGCAGACCAAUCUUGCAAGGAGGUAAACGAAACGUGAUACACGAUCUGCCUACCUUGUCGUGGAUACCCCAAGAGAAGAUGUCAUAGAGGUGCAGACCAAGCUAGCAAGGAGGUAGAUGAAACGUGAUACACGGCCUGCCUACCUUGCCGUGGAUAUUAGCCCUGAUAUCAUUCUAUUGUUCAAGGAAUAACACUCAAUGCUGCUGCUGCUGCUGACCUGGCUCCAUAAAGUUGUAUUCCUCUAGCCGCUUGCACUAACUUUAUCUGAAGUAUUAUUCUCUCUGCCCUGAUAUCUGAAGUAUUAUUCUCUCUGCUGACUUUGCUGAAGAACCUACAUAAUAUGUCUUGGAACUAACUGACAUUGAUUCACAGACAAACUCUACAAGGUGCUGUUGUUGCCAUAUUUUAGAGCAUCCCAAAGGACUAUAAAUAAUAUAGUUUACCAUAUACCGUAUACCAUUAUAUGUUAGCUAAAAUAAGAGCAUAACAUGUCGCAGGAGUCCAAAAGCACCGGUUGAGGACCAGGUACAUUGAAUUACUAGAAAAAGACAGGGGGCAAUGUUUAGGUAGCCACAUGAAAAACAUUUGAAUUUACUGUUCCAUGAACACUUAGUUACCAUGCCGGGAGCACCUAGUUAACACUAAAAUUUAGCCACUUUAGAUCAUCCCGAAACACCCUCAAUAGCGACAAAUUUUGAUUUAAAUGCCGUCACCAAUGAUCCUCAAUAGCGACGUGUUUAGGUUUAAAUCCCGUCACUAAUAACCCUUGGUAGUGACGUGUUUUGGUUUAAAUCUCAUCCCACUGAUCCUCAAUAGUGACGUGUUUUUAGCAACACACGCUAUGAAUGACUUGUCAUUGGUGACAUGUUAAAUGCGUUAUCUCAAUGGCAAAUCAUUGGUGACGUGUUUUAAAAAAACAUGUCACUGUGAGAGUUAUUGGUGAAGGGUAAUUAAAAUGCAUCACUAAUUUUGUAGCAUUAGUUAUGAUAUAAUUUAGUAACGCAAAAAUCUACCAUCAGUAAUGAGGUUUAGAGCCGUCGCUAAUGUGGGUUUCUUACGAGUGAUGCAAGCUCUACAAGGUGCUGUUGUUGCCAUUUUAAAGCAUCCCAAGUGACUACAAGUUAAUAGCAUAGUUUACCAUAUACCAUAAAAAUAUUAGUUACAAUAAGCACAUCCGCAUGUGGAAGAGUCCGAAUGCACCAGUUGAGGACUAAACACAUUGAAUUACUAGAACCAAAUGUAAGACAAAGAAAGGGGUCAAGGUUUGGGUAACCGCAUUAAAAACAUUGGAUUUUACUGUACCAUGAACACUUAGUUACCAUUACCAUACCUUGAGCAUCUAGUUACCACAAACAAUAAUUUAGCCACUUUAGAGGUUCCAGAAUCACUAUAAAUAAUAUACCAACACCGUACCAUGAAAACAUCAAGAAGAGAGACGGGUACAUGGACCACCAUCAAGUGAGUAGUGACAGCACGCACAAGAAUACCCGGAACCUGUUAGCUUGUCUGUAGUGAUCUGUUUUCUUCCCCAUAAAAUCCAUGAGUAUUGCCACAAAUAAUGAAAGAGGCUGACCAAGCUAACAAGGAGGUAGAGAAAACGUGAUACACGUAGGUUUCAUUCAAGACAUCCAUGUAAGAUUCAUUCAAAACAUUCAUGGAAAUUUCUUGUAAGUUUUCAUGUAAAUUUCAUUCAAGACAUUUGUUAGAGGUGUUGUAUAUAUAUACCUUAACGUACAUAUAUCUAUGAUUUCAUGGUUGUUAGUGAUGGCAGAUGAGGAGCAUGCAAGGUAUUUAAUGGAGCAGAUUAUUGCUAGUGGUAGUGGCUCCAACCUGCCCGUAACGUACACCAACGAAGAGAGCAGCCAGGCGGACAUGUUCCUCAACAUAUCCGGUGAUGGCAAUGAAGAGCCCGAGCAAAACCUUGCCGUGACGGAAGGUUCCAGUGAGGUAUAUAUCAUUUCCAUUGUUUUACCCCAUCUAUAAUUUCAUAUUCAUUAUUACUAUGUACUAAUUAAUGGAUCUUGAACCAUUAGCCCUCUAGAUCAACGAACCGAAAUAAGCCCCGAGGUCUUACAAAGAUAAUGCAGGGAAGGCAUCACAUCACGGAAGUCACAGAAGAGGGCACAUCAGUUGCUCCCGAACAUGUGGCAAGAAAGUACGUGAGUCAAACCGGGCAAUGUGCCCAUCAGCAUUAGGGAAUGAAAGGGCAAUAGAAAUGAUCUAUACACGCCCCCGGAUACACAAAAGGAUAUGCUGUGGGCAAAUAUCAAGAAACACUUCACAUUUCCCAAAGGAUAUGUUGAAAAAGAUGUGAAAGCGUGGAUGCUGAAGAAGAUGGUCACCGAAUUCCAGACAUUCAAGAAGAUGUUGGAUGUCAACUUCAUCAAGAAGGGUCGAACUCCGGGUUUCGAUGAGUGGCCAAAGUUAAGGGACCACUGGGAGUCAUUUGUCAAAUACAAGACGAGUGAAGGUGGUGCGAGUAAGGUUCGCAUCAAUGUUGCCAAUGCUAGCAAGGAGUACCAUCAUCAUCUAGGGCGACGUGGUUACAGCACUGCAAUUCCCAGAUGGCGCAAGAUGGAACAAGACCUGAUCGAUCGGGGUAUCGUACCAGCAACUCCUGACUGGCCUGAUCGAUUGAAAAAUUGGUAUUAUGCUCAUGAAGGCAAUCUGAGCCAACAGGAUGCGACAUUGGUCUUCAAUAAAACAAUACGUCAGAAGGCCGGAAGGCUUAUUAGGAACAUUGAAAAUGCUAAAUCUGGGAGGUUCAAGGUGGAUAGAGAGAAUGAUGAGCUCACAUUGGCCCUUGGGACUAUCAUCUCUAGCAUUUCCAGCUCCAGGACUGUCGUCACCACCGGGACCGUCGCUUCUUGCUCGAUCACAGUCUCCAUCUCCAGCACAUCCUGGUGGUGCGAACGAUGACGACAACAACACCCCUCCCUGCCCACCAUCGCCGGGACUAAGACCCGCAUCGAGUAAGGAACCUGCAGCACCACUGAAGAAGUCGCGACCACCGCCUUCCAAGCCAAGUCAGCAAAAGAAGAAAGCAGAGAAGCCUAAGCCCACUGAGAAGCCAACAACCGAUAUGACCGAUGCGGAAAGAUGGAAGGCACUCAAAGAAGAAUGCAGGGAGUGGUUCUGUAAAAAGAACCAAAGAAAGAAAAGGAAAGCAGAUGGAGCCACCGCCAGUAGAUCCAAGAAAAUUAUAAUUUUUUAUUAAGAUGUCAAAAGGAGCCAAGAAGAUGAUUCCACAACUAUCAAACUACGACCGGGCGUUAGUCAAGGCUGAUGAGAGUUAAAAAAGGAAAGGAAAGUCAUCUUCAAGUGGUACUGUCCCCCACCUCGAGGAUCUACCAGAAAAAGACGCUAAAAAGAUAGUAGCAAUGCUCUUGGAUCAACAAACACAUAUAUCAUGAGAUUCAUGCAAGAAACAGGUAUGUGCCUUGCUGAAUGUCUAGGGCAAGUUGAUAUGCUAGCUCUAGAGCCAUUUGUACCGAAAUGGACCUUUGAGCUAGGCAAGCCUCUAGUAAGGCCUGAGCUGGUACAGAAGCUAUCCACAUAGCUAUAUGAAUACCAUGAAUGGUACAUGAAGCAGUCUGCCAAUGAGAGGAAAAUGUUCGGUCUCAGGGAAAAACUGAUAUUUUUUUUCGGCGAAGGCGAGAAAGUCUUGUGAUGGAAUUCAAGGAUAUAUAUGAAGUGUACCAUCAGGAUGCCCUUGAUGUCUCUCUCAUCAGCGCCUAGGUUAUGUAAGUGUAUGUUUAUCUAUACGUAAUUUUUGUCUCAUAUCAUUAUUUCUUUUGCGUGCGUCACCCUACUAACUUCGUCUUCCAUUUUAUGUAGGAUGCUAAUUCAGAUGUGCCGCAUAGAAGCGCACUUCCAUGUUGGCUUCAUGGAUCCAUCCCUAGUUAACCAAAAGCAGAUACGGAAGUAGCUAGAGAAAAUGUUGGAGGUGGUAUACAACUUCCUGGACAAACAAAACUAUAGAAUAGGGGCAAUAUGUGAAGGUCUUGUAGGAUUCCUAGUGGACAAGGUGAUAAAUCCAUAAGGAGAAUAUCAUUACAACGGACGAGCAUUAGACACACUGAGCAACACCUAGACGGGAGGAUCCUAGGAAUGACCUAGACAGAUUUUGGUAUAAAUAGUAAUUGUGUAAAUACUAGUUUGAUUUGUAUAGGAAUAUACUAAGAAUUGUAUAUAUAGUAAUUGUACAAAUACUAGUUUGAUUUGUAUAAAUACUAGAUUGAUUUUAUUAUAAAAAAGUUUUAAGUCGUACGUGCAUGCGCCUACAAAGGCGCGUAUGCCCUUUAAUCCCGGUUGGAAAAACAAACCGGUACUAAAGGGGCUCGUGCCGCACCUGGCAUGACCGCCCCUUUAGUCCCGGUUGAACGACCCAGGACCAAAGAUCUGCCCCGUCUCAUAAAUUUUAUCCUGGAUGCUUUUUAGAGAGAUUUGAGGCCUAUCAACCAAGACUAAUAUCGAGUUUUCUACCAGUGGAACUAACUAACGUUCACAUGCUUCUGACAUUCACCUGCCAUUUGGUGUAGACAAGGGCACCCUAACAUAUGGUUAAUAUUAUUCAUGAAAGAAAAUCCUUUGAUUCAAAAAUACUUCAAACCUAAUAAUACAAUACUUCUCACAUCUGAAAAAUAUGAGAUGGCCCGACAGUAUUCUAACCGACGCAAUAAUAUUUUGAGGGCAGCACUACUACAGCGACCCUCAUUCGUGCCGGUGCUGGAACCCCUAUCACGACCCUGAUACAAAUGAGGGUACAUUAUUGUUGCCAGUGCUAGAAUAGCCACGAAUAACUUGCUAAACAUGCUGUUACACUCACUACUAGAAAAAUAACCUCUCGUCCUGAGGCUUAGUACCGGUCACUUUUUUGCCCAGUACUAAUGUUAGUAUUAGUACCGGAUCCAAAUUUGGGAUCCCCCAGAGACCCUUUAGUACCAGGUGGAGUCUCCACCCGAUACUAAAGGCUUUGUUACCGGGUGAAGGAUCCUCCCGGUACUAAUGGGGGAUUUUUAGUACCGGGUGGGAACCCCACCCGAAACUAAAAUCUCCCAUGCGGACCCCUCCCCCCCCCACGCGUUGCCUCUGUCCUCCCUCCUCCUCCUCUGAGUAGUUAUCCCUUCCUCAUCCCUCCUCCUCCUCCCACACGUGGGGUGAGGUGAGGUGGCAGUAGCAACGACAGGUGGUGUGGCGGGUCACGGCGGGCCGGAUGCGGAGCCGCAACGGUGGUCGGCGGGAUGGGGUGGGGCAGAGCGGCAUGGCAGGGCGGAGCGGUGGGACGGGGCCGAGGUGGAGGUGCCGGGCGGAGGUGGAGUGGCAGGACAGAGGCGGAGGCGGAGCGGCGGGUCGGCGAGCGGGUGGAGGGUGGCGACGAUGGGGCGGGCAGAGGCAGAGGGGUGGGUGGAGGGGCGGCGUGGUCCACCGGCGGGGGGGGGGGGGGGAGAGGGAGGCGUGGGGGGUGCGGUUGGUGAUUUCAAUUUUCUUUUAAUUUUUUAACACCCUUCAGUACCAGUUAUUUUAACCGGGUCUAAAGGGAUCCCCUCUUGUACCGAAUUGCUAGUACAGGAUGCACAACCGGUACUAGAGGGAGGUUCCCAACCGGUACUAGAGCCACUUUCCCCGGUAGUGACUUUUUCACCGAUUAGAAUAUGUUAUUAUUCUAAUCAGCUUUUGUUGAUCUCCUGUAUAAUUUAGUACCUAAUUCUACUAGCAAUUGUUAACGCCGACACGUAUUGGGUAUAGUCCUAACAGUGUCUAACUAGGGCACUACAUUUGUUAACCUAUAACUACUGGUAUCGAUUAGCCCUGGUUAGAAUACUGUCAAGGCAGCCAGAAAAAAUUGUUUGCCAAUUCUGCUAUCCAUCAGAACCAUGACUAGUACCGUAUUGUAAUAAACGAAUUACACAAAUAACUGAUGCACACAAAGGAAUAUGCACUCGCAUGUGCUAGACGUUCGUAGCAACAACAAAUUACUCUCAUCAUCAAUUAAACAUAAUAGAUUAAACAUUAACUGAACAUAGUUCAACACGUACAUCAACAAGACAAAGCAGUUUAAACAUCAACUGAACAGAACUGAAAACAUACAUCAACUGAUGAUAAACUUCGACAUGAACACAACACAUAAACAUCAACUUCAAUAGAACUUAAUAGAGCAUAUUAAACAACAACAUCGACAAAACAUAUAAACCCAGCUCAGUAGCUCAAGCAUCAACUAAAACUGCUGAAUUAAAAUAACAUAACAUAGUGUAGUUCAUCAUGAUGAUAACUAACAGAACCGAAAAGCCUAACUGGGUAAAAGAGCAAUUCAUUCAUAAUGCUUCAGCACUUACAUCACCGGAGUAUGCAACUGGCGGCGUCGCUUACGUCACUAUCACCGCGCUUGGCGAGUAAAGGAGGAGGAGGUGGCAUAGUAAUCGAAGAGGAGGCCGCUGUCGGCGGGUUUAGACUACGUGGAGGUGUGGGUAGGGUUAAGGUGGCUCUGUGGACGAGUAUAUAUAAGAGGUCUGGGCUUGUUAGAAUAAGAUAACAUUCUAACUGGCCAAAUUCGGAUCCGGUUAGAAUAAAUUGUUCUAACCAGCCUUAAUUCGAGGUGGUAAGGAUAAGUUAACAUUCUAAUCAGCUCUAUUUGGAGCCCGAUUGAAUGUUCUUGUUAUUCAAAAAAAGAUCAAGUUCAUCAAUUUUUUUCUAGAAAAACAUCAAGAUAAUUUAAACACGAUAUAUAACAAGAUUAAUACAUUUAAAAAUUGUUUUCUCCAAUAAUUAACGAUAUUUAACAAAUUCAAAAAAAAUCCAAAUUAACAGAACAUAAUAACCAAUUGUUCGAAAAAAUCAAAAUAGUCCACACAGUAUCAUAUUACAAAUUCAGAAAAAUAUCAAAAUAAUCCCUGAUCCACUCGAUACCGUCGUAGAACUUUGAAAUACUGAGCUUCUUGAUUCAUCUGAGGUCCACGUACUCGUCUCAGUAACACUAGUGGUGGCCAUGCAUCUUGUAGAUGUCUUCUAAUGAAUUAAGCUUGACAUACAAGGUCGUGCCUUCCACUCCUUGAGGAUUGCUUAUGACGUUUCUGCAAAUAACGAAGCAUUGCUUUCUCCAACAUGAUUAUUUUCUUCGGCUUAUCCCAAGGGACAACUAUGGUUUUCCCCUUGCCGGAAGAGGAACGAUGAUCGCCCCCACCAUCGCCACUUCCUCCAGUAGCAGAAGCCAUCUAUGUACAAAAAUUCAUACCUUAGCACUACAGAACUUGUUGAACUUGAAGACUGUGAUCAUUAGGCGAGCAUGUUCUCAACUAGGUGGCACCGCACUUCGUCAUGGAAGAGCUUCGAUUUUACAAAAAAGGGGACAUGAUCUUCCAUGAUGUCCGUAUCCGCUCUUUCUCGUAGAAUCAGAGCUCCUCCUUGAUAUACGAUGCUGCUCGGCGGAGAACAUGCUCACCGAGAUGAACACGGUAUGCAAGUUCAACAAGUAUGGAUUUGAAAAACCAUAUUGAAUUUGACAAGACAAACUAUCUAGAUAAGCGUAGCAUCAUUCUUAAACCACUGCAAGGAUACGUACUAUAUAUGACACAUCAAUCUCCCUCACAUUCUAGCUCAAAAUACCUCUCCAUUUUCUACUUCACAUUCUAGCAAAUAAACUAUCUAUCUCCAUUCUACACAUCAAGUUGUUUUAACUAAUACAAAUCGUAUAUAACAAGCAAAAUAUCCAUCACAUUCUAGCUCAAAAACAUGUAUAAAUACAAAUCCUCUUCAUUCUCCCUUUUUCUAACAAACAAACUCAUUUUUCUCCCUCUCCAAAGCAUAAAUUAAAGCGUAACAUGAGGAUGAGGUAGCAAACCUUCACAACACAUUGGAUGAGUGAAAUUCCCACGAAAAUGAGGGAAAAAAAUUCGGGCAGCACCUCCCUUGCUUCGGCACCUCUAGAGAGUAGGUGAAGCUCAGUUCUCUAUUUUUGUGGUGGACUAGCUUGGGCUGGAGGAGGAAGAAAGGCCUCUGUCUUGGUAUAUAAUGGGGGAUGAGUUUUUAUCCCAGUUAAAAGCUCCAACUGAGACAAAACGGCCAAUCUUUUGUCCCGGUUGGAGCCUCCAACCGGGACAAAAGGGGCACGCCAUCGACGCACGGGAGCUAGCCGUUACAACCGGGACUAAAGGGGGGCCUUUAGUCCCGGUUGCAAAUACCAACUGGGAUUAAAUCUCCCCUCCAUUUUUGCCUACCGUGGUGCGCCCCCUUUUAUCCCGGGUCAACUUUAAACCGGGACAAAAGGGGGCGUCGAAGAUCAGUUCUCUACUAGUGACCCCUCCCCACCUAUCUCUCUCCCUCCAUGCUCCUCGAUCUGUGCCUCCCCUCCCCUCCCCUUCCACUCGCCCCUCACCGACGGUAAGGAGCAGCGGCGGGGCGAGGUGAGGUGGCAGCAGCAAUGGCAGGUGGUGGGUCGCAGCGGAGCGGCUACGGUAGGCAGCCGGACGGGGCAGAGCGGCGGGGCGGGGUGGAGGCGGAGGUGGCGGGUAGAGGCGGAGCGGCGAGGCGGAGGCGGAGGUGGAGGCGGAGUGGUGGGACGGCAGGGCCGGGCGACUAGUAUAGGUGGGCGGGCGGAGGGCGGCGACGGCGGAGCGGGCGGAGGCAGAGGGGCAGCGGGGGCCGCCGGCGGGGGGUGUGAUCGGGGAUUUCAAUUUUUUUUAAAUUUUUUAACACCUUUUAGUCCAACUGGUUCUAAAGGGACCCCUCUAGUAUCAAAAUUGCUAGUACCGGUUGCACAACCGGUACCAGAAGUGGUUCCUAACUGGUACUAGAGCCACUUUCCCUGGUAGAGACUUUUUUACCAGUUAGAAUAUGUUAUUAUUUUAAUCAGCUUUCGCUGAUCGCCAGUAUGAUUUAGUACCUAAUUUUACUGGCGAUUGUUACCGCUGACACGGAUUGGGUAUAGUCCUAACAGUGUAUAACUACGGCACUACAUUUGUUAACCUAUAACUACUUGUAUCGAUUAGCCCUGGUUAGAAUACUGUCAAGGCAGCCAGAAUUUUUUUUUUUUGCCAAUUCUGCUAUCCAUGAGAUCCAUGACUAGUACCGCAAUGUAAUGAAUGAACUGCACAAAUAACUGAUGCACACAAAAGAAUAUGCACUUGCACGCUAGACGUUCGUAACAACAAAUUACUCUCAUCACCAAUUGAACAUAAUAGAUUAAACAUUAACUGAACAGAAUUCAACACGUACAUCAACACGACAAAGCAGUUUAAACAUCAACUGAACUGAACUGAACACAUACAUCAACUGAUGAUAAUUAUCGACAUCAACAGAACACAUGAACAUCAACAUCAAUAGAACUUAAUAGAGCAUAUUAAACAACAACAUCGACAAAACAUAUAAACCCAGCUUAGUAGCUCAGGCAUCAACUAAAAUUGCUGAAUUAAAACAACACAACGUAGUGUAGUUCAUAAUGCUUCGGCGCUUACACCACUGGCGGGUCGCUUACGUCGGCAUCACCGCGCUGGCUGAACCUCCGACACCCCCACCACGGCAAACGGAGGUGAUGGCGGAAGGUGAGGCAACGACAGUAGCUGGUGAGCUCCCGCUCCAAUGUCUCGCGAGUAAAGGAGGAGGAGGUGGCAUGGGAAUCGAAGAGGACACUAGUAGAGAAACGACUUUCCAUCCACCCCCUUUUGUCCCGGUUUAAAGUUGGCCCGGGACAAAAGGUUCACCAACCGGGAUUAAAACUCGGUCACUGGUGGGGGGCUCACCAACCGGGACCUUUUAUCCCGGUUGCAAAGGCUAGUGGGAAAAAAUUACUCUGAGAGGCCUUUUAUCCCGGUUUGAAACACCAACCGGGAUAAAAGACCCCCCCUUUUAUCCCGGUUGGUAACACCAACCGAGAUAAAAGGGUCAAGAGCCUUUUAUCCCGGUUGGAAACACCAACCGGGAUAAAAGGGGGUCUUUUAUCCCGGUUGGUGUUUCCAACCGGGAUAAAAGGGUCCCCCACGAGUUAAUACAAAAGGAUAGUAUCCCCUACAUAGUCAGAUGUGGUGUGUAGGUGGGAUGGUAAGGAAGCUACGCGCGAGGCUGGAGGUUGUGGGUUCGAAUCCCACGAACCGCGCACGCGCAUAUUUCGCGUGAAAAAUCGCGUGACUUGCGACUUGCGCGUGUGGGGGGGCCUCCUGGGAGCUCGGGAAUUUUUUUUUUUUGCAGCGCCGGCCGUGGGUGAACCCUUUUAUCCCGGUUGGUAUUACCAACCGGGAUAAAAGGGGGUCUUUUGUCCCGGUUGAGUGACCCGGGAUAAAAGACCCCCCCUUUUGUCCCGGUUGGUUUAUCCCGGAUGCAUUUUCGAGAUCUUUGCACCCUACCAACCGGGAUAAUAGGUGAGUUCUCCACCAGUGGGAGGCCGCCGCUGGCGGGUUUAGACUACGUGGAUGUGUGGGUAGGGUUAAGGUGACGGUGUGGACUAGUAUAUAUAAGAUGUCUGGGCUUGUUAGAAUAAGAUAACAUUCUAACCGGCCAAAUUCGGACCCGGUUAGAUUAAAUUGAUAUUCUAACCGGUCCUAUUUCUAGGUGGUAAGAAUAAGUUAACAUUGUAAUUGGCUUUAUUUGGAACCCGAUUGAAUCUUCUUGUUAUUCAAAAAAACAUCAAGUUCAUCAAUUUUAAUCCAGGAAAACAUCAAGAUAAUUUAAGCACGAUAUAUAACAAGAUUAAUACAUUUAAAAAUUGUUUGAUUCACAAAUUAACGAUAUUUAACAAAUUCAAAAAAUCCAAAUUAACAGAACACAAUAACCAAUUGUUCGAAAAAAUCAAAAUAAUCCACACACAUUAAUAUAUUACAAAUUCAGAAAUAUAUCAAAAUAAUCCCCGAUCCACUCGAUACCGUCAUAGGACUUUUAAAUACUGAGCUUCUUGAUUCGUCUGAGGUCCACCUACUCGUCUCAGUAACACUAGUGAUGGCCAUGCAUCUUGUAGAUGUCUUCUAACGAAUCAAGCUUGACGUACAAGGUCAUGCCUUCCGCUCCUUGAGGAUAACCAUCUUUGGUGAUCUUGAAAUGGCAGACGGUGGAUGUGCCAAAGGUACGUGACGAUCCUUCUAAAUGUAUGCCACCACAACUUCCGUCUGAUCGCCAUGGGUGACACCAAGAAGAGCUACCAUGCGGCAAGGGACGAACAAUUUAUCAAUUAGUGCCGCUGUCCAUCGCCAUCAUCUAAUCCAGCCAUAUCUUGUUGUAUAUUUAAGUAUAGAAAUUAAGAUUUAAAAAUAAACAGAAUAAAUUGAGAUCGAUUAUGUAUGUAUAUCAGAACAUUAGCUUUUGGAAAAAGGGCUUCGAUGGAAGAGAGGCACGGGGCAUAGAGACAACAACGAGUGACAAUAUGUCAGAAGAAUACCCGAUCACAAUUAUUGGCACACACAGCCGAUAUUUACAGUAGUCAAUACCCCUGGUAAAUAACCACACCAUCAAGAGUAAAUAGUGACAAUAUGCAGUAUAUACACGACAUAGCCUUGGCUGCCGUGGAAGCACCAGAAGGGAGACAAAUAACAGGGACCACUACAUCAAGUAGAUAGUGACAAUAUGCAAAAGAAUACCCGCGCCUGUUAGCAUGUGUGAACUGACCACACCACGAAACGUGAUACACGGCAAGCGUACCAAGGCCUUGCUGUGCAGACUAUGCAUGGACAACACAUGGUACCUGACCGCUUUUGGCCUCAGACACAUCAAAAACUGCAUCGUUCCACGUUGUACAUCCAUUGCUAGUUUAUCUAUAUUACAUAAUAUAUUAUUAGCUAUUUGAAUAGAAUGAACCAAUUAAAAAAUUACGUUGUAUUUUAGUACCGGCUGCAGGAUGGUGUUACCAACCAGUACUAAUUGGCCUGUAGGAGUGAUGGUUAUUAGACUUGGUACUGUUGUUAGCAUCAUUAACCUAAUUGUGCGCCGUAUGAAUUUGGGGAUGCAAAGCUAGCUCUCUAUGAAUGUGAGGGAUGGAAAGCUAGUUCUCUAGUAGUAAUUAUAUAUAUGACAGUCAGGAAAUCGAACACUAUGCUGCUACGAGUCACCAUCAUUUCCUUCAUUGACAAUCUGACAUAGGUGAAGCUGCUUCAAUAAUUUCCUUCGCGCAGUCGUGGAGCUUAUUGGAUUAUCACCAGGACGGGACACGGAAAUGGCCAGCAAUGAAGCUGAUUGCCGUCUGAGGAAGACUACAUACUUACCUAUGAAAUGAAGCGAUUGCAUAGACUAAUGAAGCAUUGCAUAUUUGCAUGUGAGUGUGGCAGAUAAUUCUGCAGGACAUGAUUGCAAUCCACGCACCAUCGAGAAGACUGGGGCGAUGGGGUUGCCUCAUCAAUAAUCACGUGGAUGCAUGCAUGCAUGUUCCCUCAACCGGACAAGGGUCUGAUAUAUGGCUAUAGUAUUACUGAGCCCACAUCAAUAAUUUCCGCUGGUGUAUCGUGUGGGAAGAAUCAACAUACUACACCUCUGAGUUCUUGGAACUAACUGACGUUCACAUGCAACCUCCACAAGGUGCUGUAUGCUUUUGACAUUCACCUGCCAGUUCGUGUAGAGGACACCCUAACGUAUGGUUAAUAUUAUCCAUUUCAUGAGUAAAAUACUGUGAUUCAAAAAUACUUCAAAUCCCUUGAGACAAUACUUCUCACUUGACUAACCACUAACCAACCCCGAAACCCUAACUCAACUCCGAACCCUAACCCCUAACGGCAUAACCACUCCGUUUUGCCGGCGAGAUGGAGGAACUGGCUGGAAGGUAGAGAGGGCAGCGGUCCAGGGUUGAAAACGACGGGCGAGCGCAGUAACAUGUGGAGGAGGAAGUGCCACGUAUUCGUUCACCGCUAUUGGGCAGCGACACACGACACGCCCAAUAAGAUCUUCGCACGGUAGAAGGACGUCAUGUAUUCAAUAAUGUUAUUGGUCCCCCAUGUGCAGAAGGGCGCGCGCGUAUGGAAUAACAAGUAGGGACACUGCAACUAAUCUACUCUGCUCGUCCAGUCCCUAGCCUAUAAAUAGAUGCCAUGCUAGCUCUUGUUGUGCUCACAAUUAAUCCGAUUACACACGAGCUUCUCUCCCUGGCCAAGACACAACCAUAGUAUGAUGAAGAACAUGGCACUAGCCGGCAAUGGUAUGAAGAAGUUAAUCCUCGCUGUUCUCUUACUGUGUCUAGUUAUAGGGCAGAUACAAGUGGAAGCUAAGAGCUGCUGCCCAUCCACCACUGCAAGAAAUGUCUACAAUACCUGCCGUUUCACGGGUACAUCCCGUCCAACGUGUGCAAAACUGUCAGGCUGCAAAAUUAUCAGCGGGAACAAAUGCAAGCCCCCUAACGACCACCUCACCCUUGACCCGGACACUGGUAAAUAAUAAAUUUAUCUCACUUGAUUUCUUCGUGAUUUGAGUCGUUAAUGUAUUUUCCAUCUGAUGAAACGUAUUGGUUUUGCAUUGAAGAGGAAGUUAAUGUGCUUAACUUCUGCAAGUUGGGGUGUGCGUCGUCUGUGUGCAACAACAUCAACGCUGGUAAGCAACUUUUGCUCAGACAGAGAAAACAAUAAUCAUUAAUUAGCGGCAGCUAGAAUCCUAUAAUCUAAUAUAUAUAUAUAUAUAUAAUUUUAUCAGCUCUGGGAAAUGAAGAGGCGAACGAUGCCGUUGAGAGUUGCGACCAAGCCUGCUCUAGCUUCUGCAGCGUGCAUGUUGGCAGCGCCACCGUGGUUGCUUAAGCAAAUGCAUCCAACUAGAUCGUCCUUGUGCUGAAUAAUUGGAUAUCGUAUCCACUUAAAGCUGCCUUGUGUAGUACGUCUUUGUGUCUCUCUUUAUAUUCCAAUAAGGUCGGUGAUCUUGAUGCCACACACUCAGAUGUGUGUUCAUCUCCAGAUACUACUCCAUGCUACCUGCCCUUUGUGUUUUGUUCAAUAACUGGGUAUCAUAUCCCAGCCAGUAUGCCGUCUGUUUUGUGUUUGUUUCCUUCUAGUUCCAAAGGGGUCAUCAUGAUGUUACCUUCUUUCAAUAUGGUGCUUUGCAUGACUACUGUUGUAUGGUACCAUCUUGUGGCCAAUAAGUACAUCUUAUCCUAUGACCUUUGCUAUGACCCUUUGCAAAUAAGUAGAAGAUUGUUAUAAGCGUCAAUACUCCGUAUAAAUUGAUCGCUGCUGUGAGUUCCCUUUCAGCUUAUCGUAGGCAUACAUUAUUGCUAGCACGGUAAAGCCAACCAACACGAAUGAUGAAGUAAACGUAGCGGUACUUCUGUAUACCAACACCCUUACUUAAAUGUACCGGUGUCAUUCCCUACUGGCACAUAUAUUCUUAUAUGCUAGCCAGCUUGUAAAAUUAACCAAUUAAAAUAAUUAUUUCAAGAUAGAAAUAACUUAUCGGUUUCUGGAAGCAUGUGUAAUGUGAAUUCAAGGACUCGACGGAAGUUGAAUCACUUCAUCUAUAUUGCUUUCAGUAUUUUGGGUAACUAAAUUUAACAUUUGCACAUACAAAUGUUAAAGUACAAAUGUUAAAUCUAGUUACCCAAGCAGAAUAUGAAGAUAGUUUAUAGUAUAUAUAUACUAUAUAAAUCUAGUUAACAUUUAGUCUAAAUGUUAAAUCUAGUUACCUAAAAUCCUGAAAGCAAAAUGUAUAAAUAUAUAUCUUUUAAGGCAGUAUAAGCUUCGAUUCCUAUUGCUGCUCUGUUAAAUCUCAUCUUUCGUUGUGGCCCAACACUCUAGUAUGCAUGUUGCACCAAGCUUCUUUGAGCCGCUCUGCCCUCUGAUUUUGCUGCGUAGGGGAAUCUUUAUCAGGUUGGGCUACUUCCAGUUGUGCGAUGUAAAGAUUCGUAUUUUCUAGAAGGUAGACAAAAAACUCGCGUUCUCUUAAGGCAACAACCGGAAGAUUCUGCAGCGCACAGGGCAUACCAUUAUUGUAGAAACGACCUUUAGUACCGAUCUCCAACCCCCUUUAAAACUGGUUUUGCAACCGGUACCGUUAUGUCGGUCCUUUAGUACCAGAUCAAAUAAGUACCGGUUGGUAACCAGUAUCAACUUGUUUUGCGGCCAAAAAAAUAAAGAAAAAAACAGUCAGAAGGCUCGCGCACACGCGCAUCACAUGAAAUAUGCGUGUGCGGGGUCCAUGGGAUUCGAACCCAUGAAAUCAAGCUGCGCGCGACCCUUCGUUACCAUCUCACCUACAUAGCGCAUAUGCUUUCCUGAAGUAACCCGUGGAGGAGGCUUUAGUACCGGGUCAUAACACCACCCGGUACUAAAAAUGACUCUUCAGUACCGGGUCAUAACACCACCCGAUACUAGUAUCGGAUGGUGUAAUGACCCGAUACUAAAAGGCCUCUAGGGACCCUCAAAUUUGAACCCGGUACUAAUGCUAAUAUUAGUAGCGGGUCAAAGUGCAGCCAGAACUAAAGCAUGGGAUGAAAGGUCAUAUUUCUAGUAGUGUAUAGUUGUUGUGAAGGACUGACUUGGCUGUCCUCUCUCUUCUCCAUCCCCUUGGUCUUACGCCGCCGCUCGCACGCGAGCCGGUGCCCAACCAGAGGAGUGAGAGCUAGGGGCAGGUUGGGAGGUGGGGAUAGUGACUGGUGGCCAGGGUGAUGGUUGAUCCUGGUGGGGUUAGGGUUUUAGGGUUUUCGAGCUUCCUAUGGUCGGCGAACCUAGAGGAGGAGCUCAACAUCAGCUGCAACCCGCGAUGGUGGUGGUUUGGCCGGCGCCCGAGGCGAGGCAGCGCGGGAGUGCUGCCGGUGGGUUGGUGUUGGCACUCAUUAUUGACAACUAUUUUGUUCAUAAAAUAACACUCAAACUUGCUGCUGCUGCUGCUGCUGCCAUCGCCACCCUAGCCAUAAUAUAAAGGCAAAAUUUGCUAAAGGACAUGCAAAAUGAUGCUAGUUUGCUGGCGGGCAUCGUUGACCUUGUAAUAUGCUACAAGACACUCUAGUUGUGUAUCAAUUUGCUGAAAGACAUUGCUAUGACUAAAAUAAUGUUUCUGGACUGAGUUGGAGAGAGAGAUGGAGUGAAAUGUCUGUUUUGCCCAUGACCCCACUGGUCAGAUCCUUCUUCUUCCACCCUCCUUUGUUCUUUCUUCAACCAUUACCCAGCUCCAGCGUGUUGCAGAUCUACGAGGGUGGCGGCCUGGGGCGAGGGGCAUCGCUCGCCCUUGGAGGAGCGCUGCGAGCGACGGCGCGGGGGCGGCAACAGCGCGUCAGAACCUGACUGUUCGUUAGCUCCUCUCGCUGCUGGGGAAGGAGGGGGAUGGGCCAUGGACGGGGUUCCCUUGAAAACCUCAGCGUCGAGCUCGGGCGGCUACGCGCAGGCAGCACUAGGCUGCUUCACGGGGAGGGGGCGCGGCCAAUCAUUGGCACCCCACUGGUCCAAUGCUGAUGAAGAUGGUGCCAGCGUCGUGUGAGGACAUCUCAUCUCCUCGAGUUCCAUGGCCAGCACAGGUGAGCUGCCGCUACCACAAAACAGAGGUUUCGUGAGAGUCAAAAAACCUUAUGAAAAUAGCUAAAACCAUCAUGAAAAUAAUCCGUGACAUGACACUCUCACGAAAAUCCUCUCACAAAUAUGGUGCCAUGAAAAUACCAUUUUCAUGAGAGUGAACUGUCAUGAUUUUAUUUCGUGAGAGUAUUUCCUAUCAAUGACCUCCACGAAAUACUUUGUGCCACCAGGUCUUCAAGAUCAUUUUCAUGAGAGCUGAACAUCAGGAAAAGUCCGCCACAAAUGUUUUUCUUGGAGCCCCUAACUCUCAUGAAAAUCAUGCGGGCCGCCACGAAAAACAGCAUGACCAAAUGACAAAUUUCAUUUUCAUGUGUUCAUACCGCCAUGAAAAUGGUCAUUUUCAUGAGAGUUGAUGAAACAAAAAAUAGUGCCAUUUUCAUGAGAGUUCAAGCAACCAGGAAAAGACACUAAUAAACAUCCAGAUCCCAUCCAGCACACAUCCAUGCACAUAUAUAACCCACAUAUUGCUCCAGCACACAUCCAUGCAUAUACAAGAUCCAAAUGUUAAUAUAGUAGACAUCCAUGCCUGAACUAGUCUGCCACACAAGUCAUUGAUGCUACAAAUCCUACAAUCGCAGCAUGUGCAUACAAGUCACAGAAUGAGACAAUGUACCCAAAACUAAAAGGUUAGCAUCAACUGUGCUUCAACCAAAGUUGUCAUCCCAACUCUCCUCUUCAUCCAUGCCAUUCUUGUCGUGGCCGUCACUGUCAGUCCCCAUGGCAUUGCCAAUGCUGUGCAUGUCUUGGUAGGAACCUACAUGUGAUGAACUAGUAACCUGCAAAAAGAGCUCAAAGGAUCUUGUUCUCAUAUUGUAGCUGUGAAAUUCUUACAAGUAGUGUUGCAAUCAGUUCACUUUGAACCAAAAGAGCUCAAAGGAUCUUGUCCUAAAAGUUCCUCAUAAAGCUUAUGGGUUUGCUGGUGGAACUGGAAGGGCUUGAUGCAGCAGAUGCCAUUCUGCAAUAGAGAAAAAUUUAGAGAGCAGUACUAGUUAAAAUUGGAUGCAGAAGAUACACAUGAAACUAGUAUUUAUACAAGUCUAUACAAUUAAAAUCUAAGGAGACUUAUCAUCGUUUUCAUGUGUUGUGAAUUAAAAUAAUGAAGGAUACACUGUUAGGUGAAAAUUCAAGAAACAAAAUUUUGCAUAGAGAUAAAGGUCCAACAUUAUUACAAGUUAAGGUAGUUUUAAAUAUCCUUGUAAUCUUCCUUUGGUUUCCUCAACGAUUCGAAGACAAUAACCUUGCUUCUAUCAAUGAUAAUUAUAAGGAGAAUCCAGUGGAAACUGUGUAUUCGUAUUAGAACUACCUAAGGUUAAUUAGGUUAGGAAAGGAAAUUGAAAAUAGAUGGUACCCACACUUACUUAAAGUUGUCGGGCAAUAGUAUGUAAUGCUUGUAAUUCCGUUGCUCCAAGAAUUUGUAUAUGUGGUCCAAUGUAGACUUUGGUUGAUCCCGUAUCUGCUGUUGGUUAAAUAAGUGUUUCUAGCCAUUUCUAGCCAUUAGAACCGGGACUAAAGGGGGCUCUUUAGUACGGGUUGAUAUUACUAACCGGGAUUAAAGAGCCCCCAUUAGAGUUGGUUUUUGGAUGCGGAACUAACAACUCCUUUAGUCCUGAGUACGAAAACAACUGACAUAUUUGUUGCUGGAUGGAAGGUCCUUUCUCUACCGUGAAUAUUGCCAGAAAGAAUUGAAAGAGACUGCUUGCUAAAAAUAUGUCAUAGAUGUAGACCAAGCUACCAAGGAGGUAGACCAAACAUGAUACACACCAUGCGUACCUUGCUGUGCAGACUAUGCAUUGACAAGAUACCCGACCACAUGUUGGCCUCGGUCACAUCAAAAGAAUCAUGUAGGCCACCAAUAAACUACUUGAAGCGGCAUUCCGUAUCGUAUAUGCAUUGCCGGUUCAUCUGCAUUACAUUACAUAAAGCACUAUUAACUAUUUGAAUAAAAUGAACCAAUUUAAAAGUAAUGUGUUGUACUCUACUAUAGAAAGCCCUAUCACUGCCGGAUCCAAAAACAUCAUUGUUAAUGGUGGUUAAGUACCAAAUAUGACGGUCAAUAUUCUCAAGAAUAAUGGAGAAUUAGCAUUUCUUAGACACAUAUUUGGUUUUGAACAAUGUAGUUCCACAUGUCUUUGGAGAUUAUUUGGGUGUGGGUGAAAUAAUACAAAAAUAAGGAGAAAACACACUCCCAUGGCGAAGAAACACAACUCCAACCAAUGAGAGAUAGCCACAGGGGCAGCACACGGAUCCAUGGGCCCACUAACCGCAUCAAACCAUCUUACCAAGGCAGGUAGCACCCACAACCGUCAUUAGGACCCACCUGGAAGUCUACCAAGAAGAAGGUUGCGAGUGGGGCCAGGAGGGGUUCGGUUGAAUCAUCUCUAGCUAGCUCCCCUCAUCCCCAGCUGGUGGGUGGUGGUGGUUGAUGGUGUCCCUACAUCAGUUAGAGGAGAUUCCCCCAAAUAUUCCUCCUGUAAACCACCUCUAUGGACCUAUACAUAGAGGGGUGUGCUCUCCAUUCCAACACACACCACAAGUUGAAUCACUCUCUCCCUCUUUAGUUUCCAAGUUUAUGGAGUUAGGCUAGAGUAGCUCUGCUCAAGGUUCCAAGUCCACUUGGAGUUAAGCAUAUGUCUCUUGUAUCGUUAUUUCCUAAAUUGACUUUAUGCUUAGUUCUUAUAUGCAUGAGUUAGUCUAAUACCCUUGCUAUAUUGAUAUGCUCGGCUUAUAUGCUCGUAUGCUAGUCAUAUACCCUUGCUGUCGUAGUAUAGGCUUAUAUGCUCUCAUGUGUGCCUGUAGACCUUGCUAUAGUAUAUACUUGUUGUGCAUACAUACCAUGUAUAGGCUAGUCGAUCUAUACCAUGGCAUUGGUUCAAUAGCCAUGUUUUUGGUGGCUCCAACCCUAGUCACAAUAGCUCGGGACAGCUGGAGUGUUGUUAAAAAUGCAAGAGUGGUGCUUGGGUUGUUUAGCAUCGUUGGAUAUGGGUUUGCCCCACGGGUUUCUAACGGUAGGCGGCAGCUAGUGACAUCCCUGUCCGUCCUUCGUAAUCCCCCCACAUUCAGGUACGCCAUAAAUGUUCGUAAAUUAGCAGUAACUACGCCGGUACACCUGUAGGGUAUUGUCUCCCUGUAGUACCUUGGUGCAUAGAACUAAGUCCUAUACACUGUGUGUGUAUGUUUACGCUGAUAUGAUCUGUGCAGUAUAUAGGAUGUAUAUAUGAACCUAGAGCUAACUCCUAGUCCGUUCUCCAUAGCUUAGUUAUCUUGAGAUGAUUCUUCUGUAUGUGUAACACUACCCAUCUUAUCAUUAUCCUUGAUCCUGUCUUGUGUAAUAUAUCUACUCAUCCUAUGAUAUACUCAUAUGCAUAGUAAACUAUUUUGACCUACCCGCCUUCCUUUGGGAAAUAUGAUACCUUGGAAUAAUCCUAGGUGAAAUCCUACAACGGUAUAUCCAUGUAAAUGCGGAUUUAUUCAUGACCAUUAAAUAUACCAACAAUCAUCACUGUGAGUUUUGGGCGUCGUUAGUGAAGGGUUGGUAGUGAUGGGCAUCCCCUUCACCAAUGGACCUGGAACCGGCGGUGAUGGCUAUUAUAAAAAAGGGGACACCACCCAGCGUACCCCACGACCCGGCCGGCCGCACCUCCCAUCAUCCCCGCCAGCCGCCCUUCCUUUUCGCCGGCCGAGCAUGGUCCCGGCCUUUGUCCCUACCACCUCGCCUCCACCGCGACCCCCCGCCGAUGCCCUCGUGCCUGGCCCCCCUCAUCUUGCCGGCCACCCUCCCGAUGCGUCCACUGGGGCCCUCGCACCACCAACCGCCCUUGCUUAGAGAGGGAGAGAGAGGAGGGAGGUGAGGCCACGCACCUCGUCCUACACCGCCGCUGUUUCUCCUCGGCCCACCGCGCCUCACCCCACACCACAGCCGCGCCUUGCCAUCUUACCGGCUGUGACGCCUCAUCUCACCGGCCACCGUUCCUCACCCCCACUUCGGUCGUCGCCGCUCCUUGCCCUACCGCUGCUCUUUGCCGCUGCGAAUGAGCGCCGAGUGGAGGAGGAGGGAUGGGGCAGGAGGAGGGCAAGAUCCGGGAGGAAGGGAGAGAUCUCGGGAGGUGGAGAUGGAAGGAUAUGGCGGAAGGGAGAGAUCCAGAGGGAGAGAGCAGGGGAGAGAGGGGGGCGUGUGGGGAGAGAGCGCGUGUGGGGUGGGGCCGGGCUGGUGGGAUGGAAGGGAGAGGGGCUAGACGGGCGCAGUGCAUUCAACUGGAUGAAGUAAAUAUUUUGGAUUCGAGACCCCAGCUUUAUUAUCACCGCUGGUCCGUAGUACCAUCCGGUGCCUGCUCGUAAUUUAAUUUGAAUCUGCGGUGAUGUUUUAUUAUCACCAUCGGAUCAUAUAAAAAUCCGGCGGUUAAAAAUCCGCUGGUUUCGAUGAAAACCGACGGUGAUAGGAUGACUGUGAUAGUCUCUUCUCUAGUAGUGGUAUAUUAGUACCGGCUGCCGGAUGGUGUUGCCGACCAGUACUUCUCCGGGGGCGAUUCAGUACUGCUGUUAGCAAAGCUUGUUCUCUAUGAAUUUGGGGAUGGAAAGCUAGUUCUCUAGUUGUGAUUUGUUACAUAUAUAUCUAUGAUAGUCUAGAAAUUGCAUGUCCUUCGUUGACAUAGUUGAAGCUGCUUCAAGAAUUUACUUCGUGCAGUCGUGCAGCAUAUUGGAUUAUCACCUAGACAGGAUACAUAGGUGAAGCAUUGGAUGUGAUUGUGGCCGAUAAUUAUGCAGGACGCUGUUGCAAUCAACCACCAAGAAGUCUGGAGUGAUGGGGUUGCCUCAUCAAUAAUUUUUAUAUAUGGCUGCAGUAUUAUUAAGCCCACGUCAAUAAUUUUUUGUCCGCACCAUAUAUCGAUGGGGUUGCCUCAUCAAUAAUUCGCGCAACCAGACAAGCUGCAGACUCAAUAUGGUACGAAGCUAGUUGCUCAGCCCACAUGCUCUGAUAUAACAUUGACAUCUGCUGAUCUACAGUAUAUAUGACCAGAAAUAUUGUGCCCACCUCAAUAACUUUCUGAAGUAUCGUGGGGAAGAACCUACGCGUACUAUGCCUCGGAACUAACUGACAUAUCGGCCCAGGCGGUCUAGGCCGAUUGGACUGGCUCUUCCUUGUGGCUUCUCACAUCCCCUUCGUCCCCAAGUAAUUUCAGGUGUUCUGUAGUUUUCUUUUCACUUGCAUCUGAGCCUCCUAUAUCAAUAGCUUCGGGAUAAGAAUGCCUCUUGAUAACCUUCCAAAUCCUCGCUUGAUUCACAUUGAUUCCGAAAUCAUCUUGCCAUAUCUUCAGAGACUUAGGUCCUAAGGCAUCAUGGAGGAUUGCUCGCCAAGAAUGAGCACCAUUGGGCUCCUGAGGACCCUAGGCCGAUCAGCCCGGGCUCUAUAGGUCGAUUGGCCCAGGCCCUCUCUGGGCCUGUUGGCCUUCAUCUUUCUUUGAGUCGACGCUUAUUCAGGGCUUUGUCCAAUUAUAGUCCAUUAUAGUCUAAUUUCCUAAAAAACAGAAUGUCCUCCAAAAUACAAUGCAUAUGUGAAAACAACCCAAUUAUUAGGUAUGAUCAAUAGUUUAGGUAUUAAAUUAAUAUUAUUAUUUAAGAUAAACAGGGGUAAAGGGUGUCAUUAAUAACAAGCGCCAACAAGCGUCCUAGCUGUUCAAUAAAUUUUUUCUAGUACCGAUUGGUAACACUAACCGGUGCUAAUAUGUACCCUUUAUUACCGGUUAUUUUACCAGGUACUAAAGGAGACAAGAGCAUCCUAACAUAAGGUUAAUAUCAUCCAUUUCAUGAGUAAAAUACUAUGAUUCAAAAAUAAUUCAAAUCCCUUAAGACAAUACCUAUCAAAUGAGUAAAUUGUAAAUAGAGUAAUCUUGAUCAAACAAUGUCCUAAUGAAACGGAACACUUCUGGUUCGUGUAGAGCACAAUAUAGAAAACAGUAGGGUAGCUGUAUGAUUGACACGUGGUCCAUUAAUUAUUGAGCCAACACUAUGGACAUGUCUUCAUGAGUAGUGUACUAGUCAUAAUACAUGGUAUGCAGUAGGUGGAGGUAUUGACUUAGCCAUGCUAUGAGCACUUAGUUACAACAAACACUUUGCCAUUAUCGAGCAUCCCAAAUCACUACAAAAUCCAUAGUUUACCAUAUACUACAAAAUCUGAGUUAAAAUAAGAGCAUACACGGAAGAGUCCGAAUGCACGGCACAUUGAAUUACUAGACAAAAUUUAUGGGACAAGGUUUUGGGUAACCGCAUGAAAAAUAUUGGAUUUUACUGAACACUUAGUUACAAUUACCAUGCCCGUGAGCACUUAGUCACCACAAACAUUUAACCACUUUAGAUCAUCCUGAAUCCCUAUAAAUUCUAUACCUUACACCGUACCAUGAAAACGACAAGAACAGAGACAGAUGCGGUGAAAAUCUCCAGAGCAAGCCUGAAAUUAAAAUAAGAGGAGGCAGUCACUAUCGACAGGACACGGAGAUUGCUAGCCAUGACAGAGGAAGACAUGAUAUGAUAUUCACCUCUGAAAUGCAGCGUAGACUAAAUGAAGCACAAUUGCAAGUGAGUGUGGCAGAUAAUGGACCAUCGAGACCAUCGAAUGGUAUGAAGCAUGAUUAUCACCUAGACAUGAUAUCCUAGACAGGACGGUGAAUUGUAAAAAGAGUAAUCUUGAUCAAAGAAUGUCCUAAUGAAACGGAACAUUUUUGGUACGUGUAGAGCAAAAUAUAGAAAACAGUAGAGUAGUUGUACGAUUGAAACUGCAUCCAUCGACGUGGUGCAUGAAUUGUUGAGCCAACACUGUGGACAUGUCUUCAUGAACACCAUCUAGUGAGGACAGCAUGCAGAAAAAUAUAAAAACAUGUCAUAGGGAGGCAGACCAAUCUUGCGAGGUAGACGAAACGUGAUACACGAUCUGCCUACCUUGUCGUGUGGAUACCCCAAGUGAAGAUGUCAUAGAGGUGCAGACCAAGCUAGCAAGGAGGUAGAUGAAACGUGAUACACGGCCUGCCUACCUUGCCGUGGAUAUUAGUCCUGAUAUCAUUCUAUUGUUCAAGGAAUAACACUCAAUGCUGCUGCUGCUGCUGACCUGGCUCCAUAAAGUUAUAUUCCUCUAGCCGCUUGCACUAACUUUAUCUGAAGUAUUAUUCUCUCUGCACUGUAUAUAUGGUUACGGAGUUUGCUGGAGUAUCCGGGGGGAAGAACCUACAUAAUAUGUCUUGGAACUAACUGACAUUGAUUCACAGACAAGGUGCUGUUGUUGACAUGGUACAGUAAAUAAUAUAGUUUACCAUAUACCGUAUACCAUUAUAUGUUAGCUAAAAUAAGAGCAUAACAUGUCGCAGGAGUCCAAAAGCACCGGUUGAGGACCAGGUACAUUAAAUUACUAGAAAACAAAAGGGGACAAGGUUUAGGUAGCCACAUGAAAAACAUUUGAAUUUACUGUACCAUGAACACUUAGUUACCAUGCCGGGAGCACCUAGUUAACACUAACAUUUAGCCACUUUAGAUCAUCCCGAAACACCAAUGACCCUCAAUAGCGACAAAUUUUGGUUUAAAUGCCGUCACCAAUGAUCCUCAAUAGUGACGUGUUUAGGUUUAAAUCCCAUCACUAAUAACCCUUGGUAGUGACGUGUUUUGGUUUAAAUCUCAUCACCACUGAUCCUCACUAGUGACGUGUUUUUAGCAACACACGUUAUGAAUGACUUGUCAUUGGUGACAUGUUAAACGCGUUAUCUCAAUGGCAAAUCAAUGGUGACGUGUUUAAAAAAACAUGUCACUGUGAGAGUUAUUGGUGAAGGGUAAUUAAAAUGCAUCACUAAUUUUGUAGCAUUAGUUAUGAUAUAAUUUUGUAACGCAAAAAUCUACCAUAGUAAUGAGGUUUAGAGCCAUCACUAAUGUGGGUUUCUUAUCGUAGUGAUGCAAGCUCUACAAGGUGCUGUUGUUGCCAUUUUAAAGCAUCCCAAAUGACUACAAGAGUCCGGUUGAGGACUAAACAAAUUGAAUUACUAGAACCAAAUGUAUGUCCAGAACAAAGAAAGGGGUCAAGGUUUGGGUAACCGCAUUAAAAACAUUGAAUUUUACUGUACCAUGAACACUUAGUUACCAUUACCAUGCCUUGAGCACCUAGUUACCACAAACAUUAAUUUAGCCACUUUAGAGGUUCCACAAUCACUAUAAAUAAUAUACCAACACCGUACCAUGAAAACAUCAAGAAGAGAGACGGGUACAUGGACCACCAUCAAGUGAGUAGUGACAGCACGCACAAGAAUACCCGGAACCUUUUAGCUUGUCUGUAGUGAUCUGUUUUCUUCGCCACAAAUAAUGAAAGAGGCUGACCAAGCUAGCAACGAGGUAGAGCAAACGUGAUACACGUAGGUUUCAUUCAAGACAUCCAUGUAAGAUUCAUUCAAAACAUUCAUGGAAAUUUCUUGUAAGUUUUCAUGUAAAUUUCAUUCAAGACAUUUGUUAGAGGUGUUGUAUAUACACUUAACGUACAUAUAUCUAUGAUUUCAUGGUUGUUAGUGAUGGCAGAUGAGGAGCAUGCAAGGUGUUUAAUGGAGCAGAUUAUUGCUAGUGGUAGUGGCUCCAACCUGCCCGUAACGUACACCGACGAAGAGGGCAGCCAGGCGGACAUGUUCCUCAACAUGUCCGGUGAUGGCAAUGAAGAGCCCGAGCAAAACCUUGCCGUGACGGAAGGUUCCAUCGAGGUAUAUAUCAUUUCCAUUAUUUUACCCCAUCUAUAAUUUCAUAUUCAUUAUUACUAUGUGCUAAUUAAUGAAUCUUGAACCGUUAGUCCUCUAGAUCAACGAACCGAAAUAAGCCCCGAGGUCUUACAAAGAUAAUGCAGGGAAGGCUUCACAUCAUGGAAGUCACAGAAGAGGGCACAUCGGUUGCUCCCGAACAUGUGGCAAGAAAGUACGUGAGUCAAACCGGGGCAAUCGUAAGGGACAACAUGCCCAUCAGCAUCAGGGAAUGAAAGAGCAAUAGAAAUGAUCUAUACGCACCCCCGGAUACACAAAAGGAUAUGUUGUGGGCAAAUAUCAAGAAACACUUCACAUUUCCCAAAGGAUAUGUUGAAAAAUAUGUGAAAGCGUGGAUGUUGAAGAAGAUGGCCACCCAAUUCCAGACAUUCAAGAAGAUGUUGGAUGCCAACUUCAUCAAGAAGGGUCGAACUCCGGGUUUCAAUGAGUGGCCAAAGUUAAGGGACCACUGGGAGUCGUUUGUCGAAUACAAGACGAGCGAAGGUGGUGCGAGUAAGGUUCACAUCAAUGUUGCCAAUGCUAGCAAGGAGUACCAUCAUCAUCUAGGGCGACGUGGUUACAGCUCUGCAAUUCCCAGAUGGCGCAAGAUGGAACAAGACCUGAUCGAUCGGGGUAUCGUACCAGCAACUCUUGACUGGAUCGAUUGAAAAAUUGGUAUUAUGCUCAUGAAGGCAAUCUGAGCCAAGAGGAUCCGACAUUGGUCUUCAAUAAAACAAUACGUCAGAAGGUCGGAAGGCUUAUUAGGAACAUUGAAGAUGCUAAAGCUGGGAGGUUCAAGGUGGAUAGAGAGAAUGAUGAACUCACAUUGGCCCUCGGGACUGUCAUCUCUAGCACUUCCAGCUCCAGGACUAUCGUCACCACCGGGACCGUCGCUUCCUGCUCGAUCACAGUCUCCAUCUCCAGCACAUCCUGGUGGUGCGAGCGACGACGACAACAACACCCCUCCCUGCCCACCAUUGCCGGGACUAAGACCCGCAUUGAGUAAGGAACCUGCAACACCACUGAAGAAGUCGCGACCACCACCUUCAAGGCAAGUCAGCAAAAGAAGAAAGCAGAGAAGCCUAAACCCACUGAGAAGCCAGCGACUGAUAUGACCGAUGCGGAAAGAUGGAAGGCACUCAAAGAAGAAUGCAGGGAGUGGUUCAGCGAAGGCGAAGGUGAGAAAGUCGUAUGAAUCGAAUUCAAGGAUAUAUAUGAAGUGAACCAUCAGGAUGCCCUUGAUGUCUCUCUCAUCAGCGCCUAGGUUCUGUAAGUGUAUGUUUAUCUAUAAGUAAAUUUUGGCUCAUAUCAUUAUUUUUUUUGCGUGCGUCACCCUACUAACUUCGUCUUCCAUUUUAUGUAGGAUGCUAAUUCAGACGUGCCGCAUAGAAGCGUACUUCCAUGUUGGAUUCAUGGAUCCAUCCCUAGUUAACCAAAAGCCGAUACGGAAGUAGCUAGAGAAAACGUUGGAGGUGGUGUACAACCUCCUGGACAAACUAAACUACAGAAUAGGGGCAAUAUGUGAGGGUCUUGUAGGAUUCCUAGUGGACGAGGUGAUAAAUCCAUAAGGAGAAUAUCAUUCCAACGGACGAGCAUUAGACACACUGAGCAACACCUAGAUGGGAGGAUCCUAGGAAUGACCUCGACAGAUUUUGGUAUAAAUAGUAAUUGUGUAAAUACUAGUUUGAUUUGUAUAGGAAUAUACUAAGAAUUGUAUAUAUAGUAAUUGUACAAAUACUAGUUUGAUUUGUAUGAAUACUAGAUUGAUUUUAUUAUAAAAAAGUUUUAAGUCGUACGUGCAUGCGCCUACAAAGGCGCGGAUGCCUUUUAAUCCCAGUCGGAAAAACAAACUGGUACUAAAGGGGCUCGUGCCGCACCUGGCAUGACCACCCCUUUAGUCCCGGUUGAACGACCCAGGACUAAAGAUCUCCGCGUCUCAAAAAUUUUAUCUCGGAUGCUUUUUAGAGAGAUUUGAGGCCUAUCAACCAAGACUAAUAUCGAGUUUUCUACCAGUGAAACUAACUAACGUUCACAUGGUUUUGACAUUCACCUGCCAUUUGGUGUAGACAAGGGCACCCUAACAUAUGGUUAAUAUUAUUCUUGAAAGAAAAUCCUUUGAUUCAAAAUACUUCAAACCUAAUAAUACAAUACUUCUCACAUCUGAAAAAUAUGAGACGGCCCGACAGUAUUCUAAUCGACGCAAUAAUAUUUUGAGGGCAGCACUACUACAGCGACCCUCAUUCGUGCCGGUGCUGGGACUCCUAUCACGACCCUGAUACAAAUGAGGGUACAUUAUUGGUGCCAGUGCUAGAACAGCCACGAAUAACUUGCUAAACGUGCUGUUACACUCACUACAGGGACCAAGAAGGUAGAUAAAUUACACGACAUAGCCUUGGUUGCCGUGGAAGCGCCAAGAAGGGAGACAAAUUACAGGGACCACACCAUCAAGUAGAUAGUGACAAUAUGCAAAAGAAUACCCGCGCCUGUUAGCAUGUGAACUGACCACACCACGAAACGUGAUACACGGCAAGCGUACCAAGGCCUUGCUGUGCAGACUAUGCAUGGACAACACAUGGUACCUGACCGCUUUUGGCCUCAGACACAUCGAAAAACUGCAUCGUUCCACGUUGUACAUCCAUUGCUAGUUUAUCUAUAUUACAUAAUAUAUUAUUAGCUAUUUGAAUAGAAUGAACCAAUUAAAAAAUUGCGUUGUAUUUUUAGUACCGGCUGCAGGAUGGUGUUACCAACCAGUACUAAUUGGCCUGUAGGAGUGAUGGUUAUUAGACUUGGUACUGUUGUUAGCAUCAUUAACCUAAUUGUGCGCCGUAUGAAUUUGGGGAUGCAAAGCUAGCUCUCUAUGAAUGUGAGGGAUGGAAAGCUAGUUCUCUAGUAGUAAUUAUAUAUAUGACAGUCAAGAAAUCGAACACUAUGCUGCUACGAGUCACCAUCAUUUCCUUCAUUGACAAUCUGACAUAGGUGAAGCUGCUUCAAUAAUUUCCUUCGCGCAGUCGUGGAGCUUAUUGGAUUAUCACCAGGACGGGACACGGAAAUGGCCAGCAAUGAAGCUGAUUGCCGUCUGAGGAAGACUACAUACUUACCUAUGAAAUGAAGCGAUUGCAUAGACUAAUGAAGCAUUGCAUAUUUGCAUGUGAGUGUGGCAGAUAAUUCUGCAGGACAUGAUUGCAAUCCACGCACCAUCGAGAAGACUGGGGCGAUGGGGUUGCCUCAUCAAUAAUCACGUGGAUGCAUGCAUGCAUGUUCCCGCAACCGGACAAGGGUCUGAUAUAUGGCUAUAGUAUUACUGAGCCCACAUCAAUAAUUUCCACUGGUGUAUCGUGUGGGAAGAAUCAACAUACUACACCUCGAGUUCUUGGAACUAACUGACGUUCACAUGCAACCUCCACAAGGUGCUGUAUGCUUUUGACAUUCACCUGCCAGUUCGUGUAGAGAAGGACACCCUAACGUAUAGUUAAUAUUAUCCAUUUCAUGAGUAAAAUACUGUGAUUCAAAAAUACUUCAAAUCCCUUGAGACAAUACUUCUCACUUGACUAACCACUAACCAACCCCGAAACCCUAACUCAACUCCGAACCCUAACCCCUAACGGCAUAACCACUCCGUUUUGCCGGCGAGAUGGAGGAACUGGCUGGAAGGUAGAGAGGGCAGCGGUCCAGGGUUGAAAACGACGGGCGAGCGCAGUAACAUGUGGAGGAGGAAGUGCCACGUAUUCGUUCACCGCUAUUGGGCAGCGACACACGACACGCCCAAUAAGAUCUUCGCACGGUAGAAGGACGUCAUGUAUUCAAUAAUGUUAUUGGUCCCCCAUGUGCAGAAGGGCGCGCGCGUAUGGAAUAACAAGUAGGGACACUGCAACUAAUCUACUCUGCUCGUCCAGUCCCUAGCCUAUAAAUAGAUGCCAUGCUAGCUCUUGUUGUGCUCACAAUUAAUCCGAUUACACACGAGCUUCUCUCCCUGGCCAAGACACAACCAUAGUAUGAUGAAGAACAUGGCACUAGCCGGCAAUGGUAUGAAGAAGUUAAUCCUCGCUGUUCUCUUACUGUGUCUAGUUAUAGGGCAGAUACAAGUGGAAGCUAAGAGCUGCUGCCCAUCCACCACUGCAAGAAAUGUCUACAAUACCUGCCGUUUCACGGGUACAUCCCGUCCAACGUGUGCAAAACUGUCAGGCUGCAAAAUUAUCAGCGGGAACAAAUGCAAGCCCCCUAACGACCACCUCACCCUUGACCCGGACACUGGUAAAUAAUAAAUUUAUCUCACUUGAUUUCUUCGUGAUUUGAGUCGUUAAUGUAUUUUCCAUCUGAUGAAACGUAUUGGUUUUGCAUUGAAGAGGAAGUUAAUGUGCUUAACUUCUGCAAGUUGGGGUGUGCGUCGUCUGUGUGCAACAACAUCAACGCUGGUAAGCAACUUUUGCUCAGACAGAGAAAACAAUAAUCAUUAAUUAGCGGCAGCUAGAAUCCUAUAAUCUAAUAUAUAUAUAUAUAUAUAAUUUUAUCAGCUCUGGGAAAUGAAGAGGCGAACGAUGCCGUUGAGAGUUGCGACCAAGCCUGCUCUAGCUUCUGCAGCGUGCAUGUUGGCAGCGCCACCGUGGUUGCUUAAGCAAAUGCAUCCAACUAGAUCGUCCUUGUGCUGAAUAAUUGGAUAUCGUAUCCACUUAAAGCUGCCUUGUGUAGUACGUCUUUGUGUCUCUCUUUAUAUUCCAAUAAGGUCGGUGAUCUUGAUGCCACACACUCAGAUGUGUGUUCAUCUCCAGAUACUACUCCAUGCUACCUGCCCUUUGUGUUUUGUUCAAUAACUGGGUAUCAUAUCCCAGCCAGUAUGCCGUCUGUUUUGUGUUUGUUUCCUUCUAGUUCCAAAGGGGUCAUCAUGAUGUUACCUUCUUUCAAUAUGGUGCUUUGCAUGACUACUGUUGUAUGGUACCAUCUUGUGGCCAAUAAGUACAUCUUAUCCUAUGACCUUUGCUAUGACCCUUUGCAAAUAAGUAGAAGAUUGUUAUAAGCGUCAAUACUCCGUAUAAAUUGAUCGCUGCUGUGAGUUCCCUUUCAGCUUAUCGUAGGCAUACAUUAUUGCUAGCACGGUAAAGCCAACCAACACGAAUGAUGAAGUAAACGUAGCGGUACUUCUGUAUACCAACACCCUUACUUAAAUGUACCGGUGUCAUUCCCUACUGGCACAUAUAUUCUUAUAUGCUAGCCAGCUUGUAAAAUUAACCAAUUAAAAUAAUUAUUUCAAGAUAGAAAUAACUUAUCGGUUUCUGGAAGCAUGUGUAAUGUGAAUUCAAGGACUCGACGGAAGUUGAAUCACUUCAUCUAUAUUGCUUUCAGUAUUUUGGGUAACUAAAUUUAACAUUUGCACAUACAAAUGUUAAAGUACAAAUGUUAAAUCUAGUUACCCAAGCAGAAUAUGAAGAUAGUUUAUAGUAUAUAUAUACUAUAUAAAUCUAGUUAACAUUUAGUCUAAAUGUUAAAUCUAGUUACCUAAAAUCCUGAAAGCAAAAUGUAUAAAUAUAUAUCUUUUAAGGCAGUAUAAGCUUCGAUUCCUAUUGCUGCUCUGUUAAAUCUCAUCUUUCGUUGUGGCCCAACACUCUAGUAUGCAUGUUGCACCAAGCUUCUUUGAGCCGCUCUGCCCUCUGAUUUUGCUGCGUAGGGGAAUCUUUAUCAGGUUGGGCUACUUCCAGUUGUGCGAUGUAAAGAUUCGUAUUUUCUAGAAGGUAGACAAAAAACUCGCGUUCUCUUAAGGCAACAACCGGAAGAUUCUGCAGCGCACAGGGCAUACCAUUAUUGUAGAAACGACCUUUAGUACCGAUCUCCAACCCCCUUUAAAACUGGUUUUGCAACCGGUACCGUUAUGUCGGUCCUUUAGUACCAGAUCAAAUAAGUACCGGUUGGUAACCAGUAUCAACUUGUUUUGCGGCCAAAAAAAUAAAGAAAAAAACAGUCAGAAGGCUCGCACACACGCGCAUCACAUGAAAUAUGCGUGUGCGGGGUCCAUGGGAUUCGAACCCAUGAAAUCAAGCUGCACGCGACCCUUCGUUACCAUCUCACCUACAUAGCGCAUAUGCUUUCCUGAAGUAACCCGUGGAGGAGGCUUUAGUACCGGGUCAUAACACCACCCGGUACUAAAAAUGACUCUUCAGUACCGGGUCAUAACACCACCUGAUACUAGUAUCGGAUGGUGUAAUGACCCGAUACUAAAAGGCCUCUAGGGACCCUCAAAUUUGAACCCGGUACUAAUGCUAAUAUUAGUAGCGGGUCAAAGUGCAGCCAGAACUAAAGCAUGGGAUGAAAGGUCAUAUUUCUAGUAGUGUAUAGUUGUUGUGAAGGACUGACUUGGCUGUCCUCUCUCUUCUCCAUCCCCUUGGUCUUACGCCGCCGCUCGCACGCGAGCCGGUGCCCAACCAGAGGAGUGAGAGCUAGGGGCAGGUUGGGAGGUGGGGAUAGUGACUGGUGGCCAGGGUGAUGGUUGAUCCUGGUGGGGUUAGGGUUUCAGGGUUUUCGAGCUUCCUAUGGUCGGCGAACCUAGAGGAGAAGCUCAACAUCAGCUGCAACCCGCGAUGGUGGUGGUUUGGCCGGCGCCCGAGGCGAGGCAGCGCGGGAGUGCUGCCGGUGGGUUGGUGUUGGCACUCAUUAUUGACAACUAUUUUGUUCAUAAAAUAACACUCAAACUUGCUGCUGCUGCUGCUGCCAUCGCCACCCUAGCCAUAAUAUAAAGGCAAAAUUUGCUAAAGGACAUGCAAAAUGAUGCUAGUUUGCUGGCGGGCAUCGUUGACCUUGUAAUAUGCUACAAGACACUCUAGUUGUGUAUCAAUUUGCUGAAAGACAUUGCUAUGACUAAAAUAAUGUUUCUGGACUGAGUUGGAGAGAGAGAUGGAGUGAAAUGUCUGUUUUGCCCAUGACCCCACUGGUCAGAUCCUUCUUCUUCCACCCUCCUUUGUUCUUUCUUCAACCAUUACCCAGCUCCAGCGUGUUGCAGAUCUACGAGGGUGGCGGCCUGGGGCGAGGGGCAUCGCUCGCCCUUGGAGGAGCGCUGCGAGCGACGGCGCGGGGGCGGCAACAGCGCGUCAGAACCUGACUGUUCGUUAGCUCCUCUCGCUGCUGGGGAAGAAGGAGGGGGAUGGGCCAUGGACGGGGUUCCCUUGAAAACCUCAGCGUCGAGCUCGGGCGGCUACGCGCAGGCAGCACUAGGCUGCUUCACGGGGAGGGGGCGCGGCCAAUCAUUGGCACCCCACUGGUCCAAUGCUGAUGAAGAUGGUGCCAGCGUCGUGUGAGGACAUCUCAUCUCCUCGAGUUCCAUGGCCAGCACAGGUGAGCUGCCGCUACCACAAAACAGAGGUUUCGUGAGAGUCAAAAAACCUUAUGAAAAUAGCUAAAACCAUCAUGAAAAUAAUCCGUGACAUGACACUCUCACGAAAAUCCUCUCACAAAUAUGGUGCCAUGAAAAUACCAUUUUCAUGAGAGUGAACUGUCAUGAUUUUAUAAGCGUCAAUACUCGGUAUAAAUUGACUACUGCUGUGAGUUCCCUUUCAGCUUAUCGUAGGCAUACAUUAUUGCUAGCACGGUAAAGAGAACCAACACGAAUGAUGAAGUAAACGUAGCGGAACUUUUGUAUACCAACACCCUUACGUACCGGUGUCAUUCCCCACUGCCACAUAUAUUCUUAUAUGCUAACCAGCUUUGAAAAUUAAGCGAUUAAAAUAAUUAUUUCAAGAUAGAAAUAACUUAUCGGCUUCUCGAAGCUUGUGUAAUGUGAAUUCAAGGACUCGAUGGAAGUUGAAUCGCUUCAUCUAGAUUGCUUUCAGGAUUUUGGGUAACUAAAUUUAACAUUUGCACACACAAAUGUUAAUGUACAAAUGUUAAAUCUAGUUACCCAAGCAGAAUAUGAAGAUACUCUAUAGUAUAUAUGUACUAUAUAAAUCUAGUAAACAUUUAGUCUAAAUGUUAAAUCUAGUUACCUAAAAUCCUAAAAGCAAAAUGUAUAAAUAUAUAUCUUUUAAGGCAGUAUAAGCUUCAAUUCUCUGUUAAAUCUCAUCUUUCGUUGUGGCCCAACACUCUAGUAUGCAUGUUGCACCAAGCUUCUUUGAGCCGCUCUGCCCUCUGAUUUUGCUGCGUAGGGGAAUCUUUAUCAGGUUGGGCUACUUCCAGUUGUGCGAUGUAAAGCUUCGUAUCUUUUAGAAGGUAGACAAAAUACCCGCGUUCUGGAAGAUUCUGCAACGUGCACGUUGGCGCUGCCACCGUGGUUGCUUAAGCAAAUGCAUCCAACUGAAUCGUCCUUAAGCUGAAUAAUUGGAUAUGGUAUCCACUGCUUAAAGCUGCCAUGUUUAGUACGUCUUUGUUUUUCUCUCUUUAUAUUCCAAUAAGGUCGGUGAUCUUGAUGCCACACACUCAGAUGUGUGUUUAUCUCCAGAUACUACUCCAUGCUACCUACCCUUUGUGUUUUGUUCAAUAACUGGGUAUCAUAUCCUAGCCAGUGUGCCAUCUGUUUUGUGUUUGUUUCCUUCUAGUUCCAAAGGGGUCAUCAUGAUGUUACCUUCUUUUGAGGUGUCUAUGAUGACUUCGUUAAUAUCAAUAUUAACCAAUUCAAUCUGUCUUAACUAUUUGUAAGGGGUAUGAUGUAUGCAUGAUUAUAACAAUGAUUGCGCAUACAAUCGCCGCCAAAGAAACGGUCAAUACCAUUAAGACAUAUUACAGACAAUUCUCAUAAUCUAUAAUGAAUAUACAUAUUCACUACUGCAGAAGACUGUCAUUUGUAUCGGCUCAUACGUGCCAGGGCAAAGGUCACCCUUGCAUUAAGUACAUUUGCACGGUAAAGACAACCAACACGAAUAAUGAAGUAAACAUGCCGGUGCUUUUGUACACCAACACGCUUACUUAAAUGUACUGGUGUCAUUCCUCACCGGUAGCCGGCUUGAAAAUUAACCAAUUAGAACAAUUAUUUAUUGUAUCGGUGUGAUUUUUGACCUAUUGGAAUAUGAAUUUGACCGUUACUGCAUUCGUCAAGACUCAAGAGAGAAAUAACUGAUCGGCUUCUUAGAGCGUGUGCAAUGUGAAAUCAAGGACUGGAUGGAAGUUGAAGCGCUAGCACUAGUAGAGAAACGACUUUCCAUCCACCCCCUUUUGUCCCGGUUUAAAGUUGGCUCGGGAUAAAAGGUUCACCAACCGGGACUAAAACUCAGUCACUGGUGGGAGGCUCACCAACCGGAACCUUUUAUCCCGGUUGCAAAGGCUAAUGGGAAAAAAAGACUCUGAGAGGCCUUUUAUCCCGGUUUGAAACACCAACCGGGAUAAAAGACCCCCCUUUUAUCCCGGUUGGUAACACCAACCGAGAUAAAAGGGUCAAGAGCCUUUUAUCCCGGUUGGAAACACCAACCGGGAUAAAAGACCCCCUUUUAUCCCGGUUGGUGUUUCAAACCGGGAUAAAAGGGCCCCCACGAGGUGACUGGAAGGUGACUGGAAGGGGAUUAAAUCGUGGGGGACCCUUUUAUCCCGGUUGGAAACACCAACCGGGAUAAAAGGGGGUCUUUUAUCCCGGUUGGUGUUUCCAACCGGGAUAAAAGGGUCCCCCACGAGUUAAUACAAAAGGAUAGUAUCCCCUACAUAGUCAGAUGUGGUGUGUAGGUGGGAUGGUAAGGAAGCUACGCGCGAGCUCCGGAAUUUUUUUUUUUUUUUUUUGCAGCGUCGGCGCUCUCUACCCUUUUAUCCCGGUUGGUAUUACCAACCGGGAUAAAAGGGGGUCUUUUGUCCCGGUUGAGUGACCCGGGAUAAAAGACCCCCCCUUUUUUCCCCGGUUAGUUUAUCCCGGAUGCAUUUUCGGGAUAAAAGCACCCUACCAACCGGGAUUAAAGCUCACUUCUCUACCAGUGUAGCUUCAUCUUCCGCUGCAAGUUAAUUGCUUGGAUAAGAAGUUGUAGCCGCUGCAAGUUAUAAAUAGUCCCGCUGAUGCUGUGCUCCGAAGUCUAUACUAUAUAUGCGGAAACUAGAUUGCUUUCAGGAUUUUGGGUAACUAAAUUUAACAUUUGUACAUAAAAAUGUUAGUUUACGAAUGUUAAAUCUAGUUACCCAAGCAGAACAAGAAGAUAGUAUAUAGUAUAUACUAUAUAAAUCAAGUUAACAAUUAGUCUAAAUGUUAUAUCUACUUACCCAAAAUAUUGAAAGCAAAGAAAGAAUAAGUAUAUAUCUUUUGUUGGAAAAUUGGUCCACGGAGAGGCCCAUUUAGGCCUCGUUCGUUUCACCGGGAUGGGAUUCCAGUCAGGAUUACUUCCAAGUUCGGUUUGAGUGAUUCCACCCGUGUCACUCAAUCCGGCUAGGAUUCAUUCUAUGGGUGAGGAGGUAUGGUUUCAAUCCAGGCCAUCUAAUGUAGAAGGAUUCCAAUCCAGGCCGGUUUUCGUUCCAGGCCAGACUAAAACGAACAACACUUUCAAUGCAAGUCUGGUUUCAAACCGGGCCAUUUCAAACCACCCGGAAUGGACCUCGUUCCAGGCCAAUCCGGUGAAAACAAAUGAGGCCUUAAUGGAAUCCCAAAGCAAGAGUUCAGUGGCAUUCUAUAGUCCCAUGCUGCUAGUUUGAGUUGGUCGAAGCCAACUUAAAUAGGAGAGCUCUCUCACUUCUCUAAAUACGUAACUGAAGGAGAGAAGGGGGCUUGGGUUACACAACGCACGCACGCACGCAUAUUUGCGUUCUUUUCGCGUAACCAACCGCGUGACUUGAAACUUGCGACGUAGCGUGCUGCUAAGUCAAGUUGAUAUAACCUUUUUGCCGUUUGCAUGUAAUCUUUUGACAACGGUCAUUGGAGGUGAUAAGCACGCAGUCAAUACCUUAAUCUUGAGUUAAUAGGGUGGUUACUACUGCCAAUUAGUGGGGCAAUUUUGUAGGGGAAACGGUUAGCAGAGGGCUACCGUCUUCUCUAUAAGAAGUUCUGGAGACGUCCAGGAACACACAUGUACAUGUGAGAGACCCACAAAUUCCUUCCCUUCUCCCUUUUCCAUGUGGUGAAGUGUGCUGUGGUACUGAGCUGCUUGAUCUCGCCGCUCUUCUCCUUGGCAUGCACCGAGGAGGAGGGUGAGCGGUAUCUCCGAGCUAUUGCCGUCAGGAAGCCUGCACGAGGGACAACAAAAAGUUUUUGGGUAGCGCAACUGCCAGCACAACUCUCCCUCCGCCUCUUCUUCACGGUUGAUGGCCACCACAAGCAUAAACCUCGCCUUCGCAUCCACGCAAAAGGGUCGCUGGGGUGCCUUCUUGCAUCGCUUCUCAGCCUCCUUGACUUGCGGCCAGCCAAGAACUGCGCCACCACCUCGGGUGCACGCCACCACUCCAGGGCUGCUACCCCAUGCCUGCGGCCGCCGCCGGCCACCACGCGUGUGCAACCGCGUCGCACCGCUUCCUUGCUUUGUGCCACCACUGCUGCUGUACCACCAGCUCCACCACCUUGGGCUGGUCGCCAGAGUGACUGAUAACUUAUUAUCUGUAACUACUAUUAACUCAGGGAUACAUGCGUCUUUUGCUUCUCCUACUAAUAUGUCCUAAAAUAUCUAGGAUGCCUUAUAUUUCUGGACAGAGGAAGUAUUUGAAUAAAAUGAACCAAUUUAAAAAAAUGUGUUGUACACUACUACAGAAAGACCUAUCAGUGUCAAACCCAAAAAUGUUGUCACCGCCAGUUUUGGGCAUCAUUGGUGAAAGGUUGGCGGUGAUGGGCUUUCCCUUCAACAACGGCACUGGAGCCGACGGUGAUUGACAUUAGAAAACAAAAAAGGGGACCCUACCUAGCCACCCCUGCAACCCGGCCGGCCGUGCCUCCCCUCAUCCCCACCACCUCGCCUCCCCAUGACCCCCCGCCGGCGCCCUUGCGCCUAGCCCCCUCAACUGCCCAGCCGGCCACCCUCAUCACGAGAGAGAGGUGCAUGUUGUAUAAUUGCGUGAAUUUUUUAAUGUUUAAUUUCAUGUAAGUUCCGUGUAAUAAAUUGUACAAGUUUUAUUGUAUAUAUGAAUUCCAUAUAUAUAUAUAUAUAUUUAUAAUUUAAUGUAUGGUUUCAUGUGUAUAUUUCAAUCAUGUGUAUAUUUAGUAGAUUGCCGAUUUUCUUUUUCUACUAGACAAGGGUUGAUGUAUAAUUACGUGUAUAUGUUUAUUGUACGGGCAAUUAGGACAAGUUUUGUAUAAAUUUCUUUUAUUUGAUGGUUGUUGUAUGGUUUCAUGUAUAUACAUUUAUUGUACUACUUUAGACAAUUUUUAAUUUAAUGUUUCUAUGAUUAGAUGUGUGUAUAACUAAUUGUAUUAUUAGUUAAGAUGGGAGCUAAAGAGGAUGAAAGGUAUAUAAUGGAGCAGAUUAUUGCUAGCUCAAACGUUGCAAGAACCUACACCGAGGGUGAGGGUAGCUAGGUGGACAUGUACCUCAACAUGUCCAGUGAUGGCAAUGACGAUGAGGAGCACGAGCAUGACAUCUAUGAUAAUGCGGAACAAGACAUUGCAGAAUUGGAAGGUUCUAAUGAGGUGUGCUUCAUGUUGACAAUCUAGUUGGCUUUUUUUCGUUGGUCACACCUUAGUUACCAUAGAACUUCGUCUCGGGAGAAGAUUGGUGGUGGUAUGGUGAUUGGAAUUUUAUUUCCACGAAAUCUGAUUUCCAUCGAAUCAUAUCCCUUGUAUUUAUCUUCUUUUUAUUUGUGAGAGCAUCUUCUUUAUGCUUGCAAAACAAUUCAAGUGCACAUACUACCCCUAGGGUGACGAUUGGGAGUAGAAAUAAUUGCCAACAAAACAACACCACAUCCUAAGAUUCUUAACUUGUGGCAUAAUUAGUCUAGUAAAAAGAAAGAUAAAAACCUAAUGGGUGUAUGUGAGUGCAAUGUGUAUAUGCAUAUGAGUGGAAGGCAUAUAAGCAAAGACAAUAUUUACACAUAGUUCUAAACACCAUGUUUACAGCUAGGUUGCUGAAUUUCUCCAUAGCCAUAGAGAUUAAUUAACCAAGGUCAAAACACGAUGUCUAUCCCAAGAUCAGUAAUUAUUUAUAGCACAAGAAAAAGAAAGCGCAUUGCAAAGUUUAUAAACCAACCAAUACAGCAUGAAAACAAGAUGAAUAGCUAGCAAGGUUUAUUAAACUGAAUGAUGACGGUCUGUAAGCAAGUUUAAACACCAUCUUUACACAAGAUUGCAAAUGGAAAAUGCCCAUAUGAAGCACUAACAUGGAUAUGAAAUCAUUCAUCAUAAAGCGUAAAGAACAACCAAGCCAACCAUAUGCAAAGCAUGAAUGGAAUGCAAUGAAGGUGCAAGAGAACAUUUUUGGAUGAACACAUUAUGAUGAUGGCAAAAUGCAAUGCAUGCAGAAAAAAUAAAUAUGAACAUGAAUAUGAUGAUCAGGGGCGGACCCACUAUUGUGGCCUGGGUAUUCCUCGGCAUACCCAAUAUUUUUGGGAAAAUGUUUAGUAGUUUUUAAUGGCAUAUACAUGUAUAAUAUAGUUUAGGUGUUAAAAUUGAUAUUCACAGCUAUUUUGGGCUCCAAUUCGCGUCCAAACCAACCUGGCCCACAGACCGCACCCGGCCGCCCGGCCCAUCGGCCCAUCUUGUCACUGAUCCUCCCACCACCACACUCAGCCCGUCAGUUAGUCAGGUCCCGAGCUCCUGCCUGACCUAGUCCGCUACCACCGCCAGGCGCCAGGCACAGCUGUACACGCCGCCCCCGUCCACCCACGUCCGCCGCACGGCCGCGUCGCGCCCCCCCCCGGCGCCCGCUGCUGCCAGAACCCAUUAGGCCUCCACCGGCAAGUCCACCCACAGUCCCGCGCGACGCGGCAGCCUCUUGGCUCUCGGCGCUCGCGGCGCGCCAAUGCCUGCGCAGCCCCAGCAGGCGACUGCCCCCCCCCCCCCCGCAUCGGGCCUCGGCCCCUCCCCAGCUCCCCCUCCCCCCUCCACCAGGACUGCCUGCUGGCCCCCACCGCGAGGUAAUCGAAAUGGACUGCUCAAUCUCUCAAUCUGUUGACAUGAUGCACACGGUUGCAAAAAUAGAUGUGUCAAAAUAGAUGUAUUGCCAAUUGCUAUAGAUGCAUAUGGUUGACAUGAAGAAGUCAAAAAUGACAUUUGGUUCCUUGUAGGCAGUCAAAAAUGAAGAAGUCAAACAAUAUUGAUCUGAAAUCAAUGCGGGAAAGGGCUACGAAGACACACGGGUAGAUUCCCUUGUGAACUUUUUAUGUCGUUCGUCUAAAUAUAUUUUUGCAAUGGGCAUACCCUACUCUGAAAUCCUGGGUCCGCCACUGAUGAUGAUGGUCUAAACAUAAAACAAGCCUAGAUUAAUUAGCUACAACUGAAAUUAAGCAAAGGUUAAUGUCAUUGACCCUAGCUCUAUCCUAGCUUUUACUAAAGUCCCGGCACAUAUAGUGGUUGGGCCCACUCUCUCUACUUCCCUCUCUGCUGCAUGCACACACACGAGCAACUGGAGGCCCAACAAAGCCCAGAAGGGUUCGGCCGAACCCGUCCGAUCCAGUCUGAGCGCCGCUCCCUCCCAGCCUUCGCGCAGAUGCUCCUCCAACGUUCCUUGACCCCUCCCUCAGUGUCCCAUUGGGUUUAACAUUGUAGGAGAGGAGUCCCUUUUUUAAAAUCUCAACCACCUCCUCUCCUCAUUCACUCCACUCUCAUCUCCAUCAAACUCACCAAGAUCCACAUCGGAAAUACCUGCUUACCACCAUGGCUGGCAAAGCCCUCGUCCCUUUCACCAACUUGGGCUUGACCAUUGAUCUCGAUGGGAAAAUCACUCCAGCAAAUGUCAUUGUCCCUGUCGGCGAUCUGGCGAUGGAGGAGGUCCAGGCACUAGAGGUCGAGCCCCUAGCCAUCAUACCGCCCAAGGGGUAAAGCAGGAGCAUGACAGGCGCUGCUAGGGGUUCAGCCGAACUCCCAGUUCAGCCAAACGAGGACGGCGUCGCCUCGGCCUCCCGCUCGACUGCAUGCUUCCCCUUGCCAAGGAGGACUCCAGAACAGCGGGCGCGUGCGUCAAGUCCCUACAAAAGGCUGAAAUACAAUGAAUAUCCAGGGUCACCCUUGAAGAUGGGUGAACGCUACGCCGGGUCCUUGUUUGACUAGUACGGCGAUGCAUUCUGCCACCGCUAUGUCGUUGUCGAGAUUAGCGGAUCAAGACUUAGACUAGUAAAUUUCUUUUAUGCGCGUAAGGCUUCAGAUGGUGGCGUGGGAGACAUGGGUUUUAUACUAGUUCGGGCAAUGGAAUACCCUACGUCCAGUGUCUGGAGCUGCUUGUGUUGCCCACGCGGGGUUCUGUAGUAGGGGUUACAGGUGUGCGAGAGAGGGAGCUAAUCCCAGGUCUCUUAGGCGUGUUCCGGUCCUCUAGAUGGGAGAAGUGUGUUCUGUUUGCUUGGGAGUAUCGGUUGUGUCUGAGUUGUCUCCGGAGCCUCCUCCCGUCUCAGGUCCCCGAUUCUCCUUUCAUAGCACAAGGAGACCAUCGGGGUUACAGACGAGACCGAGCGUGGGGAGGAGUAAAGAGAUAAACAUAGCUAGGUAAAAAUACAACAAGAAAGGGGGGAACCAAGUUUCUAGGUCACCGGCGUCCUCGCCGGCCUUCGACUUCCGCCGGCGCAUUUGUCGGAGGAGGGUGGCCGCCAUCGCGUUCUGUCGAUGGCUUCCUCGGUGACUGUAGCCACCGGGCGUGAUGAUGGCAUUUCGUCGUGACCCUUUGUCUGUUGGGGGAGGCGGCGGAUCCUGCCAUUCUGCUGACGGCUCGCGGAGUGCGAACGUCGCAUCCCUGCCGCUGGGCACGCGGGGCGCGAGAACGUGCGAGGCUUCCCCCUACCCCAGGCGGCGCAGGCCAUGAGUGCCCUGUGGCAAAUCGGAGGAGGCCGCAGCUACUGUAGCUUGUACUGUGCAGCCACGUAUGGGUACUUGUGGCAGGUUGCGUGGUGGAUGCGGAUAUCCUUCUCCCUGACAGAUCUGCGGCGCAUUUAUGGCGAGAUCGACAUGGGGACCCACAAGACCCGCGCCCAAGGCGGAUACUUGUCUGGAGGGCCCGGGUUAGCCUGACCCCCUACGCUUGGGGUCGGGCGAGGCGGAGACUUGCGGCGGGGCGUCGGACGCUCCCGACACUAGACCUGCGGUCGCGCAAGGCGGAGCUUGGUCUUCCGGGGGUCGGGGGUGCCGGACCCCAGGAUGCGGGGUCGGGCGAGGUGGAGCGUAAUUCUUGCCUCCCAUGUUGGGCCGAUGGCAGUCUUUGUUACCUCUAGUGGGCUUGGGCCUUUAUGUUUUGUUGUUUCCAUGGGCUUCGAGAGGUCGUUAAUAUUUCCCCCCAACAGUAGCCCCCGAGCCUGUGGUGGAGUGGGGGCGCUCCUCCGGAGGCUACUAUCAUCGCCCCUAGGGAAUCCUCGCAGUUGAUCCGGGAUAGGAGGUGUUGUUUGCACGGCUUGACCGAGGGGGUCGAUUAGGCGACGCAUCCUGUGAGCGACUCGGUGCGGGAGGGUUUCUUGUUGUUCCCUUCUGUCUGAGAGCCUUAAGUCGAGACCACCUGCGUGGCCUUUGGUUGCAAGGCCAGCCCCCGAGCCCCCGCACGUUGCAGGGGACCGGUCGGAGGCUAGGUCGACUUUUGUUCAUUACCCUCAAGCGUCUGUUCGCUAGGACGGAGGGGGCGAGCCGUGCCAUGCUAUCCUCAUCGGACGAACCAUGGUGCUCAUUGAGUUACUAACGGGUUGAUUCGAGUGGGAUCCCGGUCCCCGUUCGGGGGGGGUCCGGCUUGGGCCAAGCUGGUGGCGUACCCCAGGCUCCGGUCGGCCAGUUCAUAUAGUUCCUGAGUCCGUUCGGUCGGACCGGGGGCUCAUUGCCUUUCUUCGGGGAAAAACCAUGAACUUUGAUGCCGGUCCAGACUCGAAUGUGAGAUUGAGACGCCCGGGGCUGUCGCGUGCCCGGGUGAUGGCCGCUAGCGGACCCGUCUCCUCUCACCCCUCACUCGGGGGUAUCCUGAGGCGGCUGUCGAACCCGUGGCGGGCCAGCCUUCGAACCUCUGGAUCGUAAUGGGCCGUAGGGGCGUUUUCAGCCCCGUAUCCCUUUUUACCUUUUGGUGGGCCUUGGGCCGAAUCAUGGAGGAGGUCGGGCCUUGGGCCGGAUGCGGAGGAUGUCGUGCCUUGGGCCGGAUGUGGGGGACGUCGUGCGUGUCUUCCGGGAGACGAAGUGGUGGAGGGUGCCAACCCGCGAAUCGAGGGAGGAGGGGAUGUUUCUACUGCAGGUCAUGCGCACGGUUUCCGAAAAGGCAGCGGGCGUGACGGGACGUACCUCGCGCCGCAUUUAUUGCGAUGGGGGCGUCUGUUCUGCUUCCCUCGUGCCUUCCCUAUAAAACGAGGACUUCGCCUCGCCGGUUCCGCCCGCCAUCUACCUUCAAGCCUUUUCGCCUCCUCGCGCGCCCUUAGCUUUCCUGUGCCCGCUUCGUCUUCCUCCGCCCAGUGCCGCGCCCUUUCUCCCCAUCCGCCGUCGAGUUCUUCUCCCUCCGGCGAUGGGAUCCUGGGCGCGUUCCCACUUCGGCCCCUCACGCGCCGAAGGCCUAGUGAGGAAAGGCCUCCUUUGCGAGAGGACGGAGACGGAUGAGUGGGGGUUCCCUGAGAUGGAAGAGGUGCCGACUCCGCCCACCGGCUACGUCGUUUCCUUUGCCCACUUCCACGAGAGGGGGUUUGCGACUCCGCCGAGCCUCUUCUUCCGCGGGCUUUUGUAUUACUACGGGCUUGAGCUGCAGCACCUCAACCCCAACGGGAUUCAGCACGUCGCGGCGUUCGUUGCGGUGUGCGAGGGGUUCCUGGGCAUUGAGCCCAACUUCUCGCUGUGGAAGUACUUCUUCACGGUCAGCCUAUACCAGAAGGCCGAGAAGAGGGGAAGCCAGCAGCGGUCGACCCCGGUGCCGAUAGGGUGCGUCGGAAUCCACCUCUGCCAUACUCGCGCCAAGGAGUAUAUCGCGAUGAAGACCGCGGCAUCCCACAAGGGGUGGCACCAGCAAUGGUUCUACGUGAAGAACUACUCCAACCCCCCCUGCCGGAGUUCACCGGCCGCAUUAUUGAAGCGGCGCCGGAGGUGUGGGUGUACGGCCCGGUGGAGAAGGAGAAGAAGCGGAUCACCGGCCUGCUGCAGGCCAUCGAGCACCUGAAGGAGAGGGGACUGACCGGAGCCGGAGUCAUCGGGGCGUACCACGCCCGGCGGGUGGCGCCGCUGAUGCUCCGGGUCCGCUCGCUCGCCGACAUGACCCCCGGUGCUCUCACCGAUGGCACUGUCCUCGCGACGGGUGCUCUCGCUGCCUCCGAGAUCCGGCAGCGGAUCCGGGAGGCGCUGGAGGACAAGGACGCCGAUUACCCGGUGCCCGGCCACCCUCCGAUGCGCCCGGACGAGAAUUUCAUUGAUCUGGUAAGGAUUUUGCGCGCCAGUUUCCCUCUCUUGCGUUUCUUGGUAUGCCGUUCUGACGCGAGGCCCUCUGUGUUUGCAGGGUAGCAUGACCCGGGUCGUCGACUUGCGUCCGCCAGUGUCGGAGGACGCCGAGUGGCGGUAGCAGAACCGUCUCCUUGCCGAGAAGCAAAAGUGACGCAAGGACAAGAGACAGCGAAGAAGAAGAAGAGGGCCGCCAAGGAGUUCCAGCGGCGGCGGUGGGGAUAGGUCGUGUCGGAUGACGAUGACGAUGAGAAGGAGGAGGAGGAUGACGAGGAGGAGGAGGAGUUUAUCCUGUCCCCCCGGUCAGGGGCGCUUGUUAUCCGGGAGCCGCGCUCCCAAGCGGCCAUGGGGGACAAGGCGGGCGAGCUGCCUGCCCGGACCCGAUCCUGCGAAGCUUUGGGGGCGCGCCCCAGGGGUCGGCGCAGAGCGCCCCCCGGGGGUCGACGGAGCCGACCCCCAUCCCUACACCUGCAGCCCAGGAGCAGAGGAGCAGCGACAAGCGGCCGUUGCCAGAUGCCCCGGGGUCGGCGUCCAGCUCAGAGGCGAAGCGCGCGCGCCGCCCUUGCGCUGGGGGAACGUGAGUUGAAUUUCCUUGCGAAUCUCGUUCCUUUCCAUGCAUUGUGUUUGUUUCCGCUGAUGCUGUUUGUUGUCUCACAGCACCGCCCCUCAAGGCCUUGUCCCGCCGUUGGCGCCAAAGAAGGCGUUGCGGUGUUGUCGCCUCUGCGGGGCGGACCGCGGCUCCGCCGGCGGCGAGUGGCGGGGUCACUGGUGAGACCGCGGGUCCUACCGCGGAGGUGGCCCCUGCGGCGGCAACCGGUGGAGUGGUGCCACCGCCGGGCAUGGGACAGGGUCUGGACCCCGCUCCGUCCUCCGCCUCUUCGGCCGACCCCGCGGUGCAGAGUAUCGCUCCUGGGGGCCCUCAGGCCGGGGAGGUGAUUGACCUCGACGCCGACGAGGUGGAGGAGACGGCGGCGGUGGAGACGGGGGCGGUUGCCCCAGCGGCCAUGACGGGGACGACGACGGCGACGGGGGAAGGAGAGUCUACCCCCGCGGCCACGGCGGGGACAGUGGCGACAGAGGAGGCGGGGACGCCCGCCCCGGCGGCUGCGACGGAGGAGGCGGCGGUGACGGAGACGGGGGCUUCCGCCCGGGAAGCCACAGCCGAGGUGGCAGCGGCGACGGAGGUGAAAGUGCCUGUUCUGGAGGCCACGGUGGGGGUGGGGACGCCUGCCUCGUGGCCACGACGGAGGGCGAGGCGGCCCCAGGGACACUUGCUCCGGCACCCGCGUUGGAGGCGGUGGCGCCGACGGGUUGGCCCGUGGCGGCCUCGACGGGGGCGGGGGUGCGUGCGCCGGGACCGUCGGUGAGGCCGGCGACUUCCGGGAUGGUGGUGCCCGUCUUGACGGCGGCGGCGGCGCGGUCGGCCCCCGCCCUUGCCUCUACCACUCCCAUUCCCAAGGCGUGGAGCGGAUCCGUCCUGCGUUGGUCGUCUCGUGACGACCCGCAGAGGCCCCUCUUCACGUUGGAUGAUGCCACAGAAUGGGGCAAGUGGCAGGCGCUGCAGGGCGGACUCGCUAACGUCCGCGCCGCUCUAUCUUCGGCGUUGGGGGAGCUGGACGGCGUCAUCUUCCCCGGUGGCCGGGUAUGGUGCUUUCUCCGUUGGUUAUUUUCUUCCCGUUACUUCGUCCCUGAUGGCACAUUGUUCUGCAGGCCCUCCAAGAAUGUAGCCGGGGAAAAUCUGAUUUCCUUUGGCUCGAGCAGGGGCUCUGGGAGCGCUUCAACUUGGAGUUGCAGCGGACCGGGGAGCUGACCAUGCAAGUCGCCACCGUCUAGCAUGUCAUCGACGAUCUGCGAAGGCACGAGCAGGCGGCACAGGAGGACGCGCGGCGGGCGGAGGCCAAGUUCCAGGUCGUUGCCGAAAGGGCUCGCUGCGACCGCGAGGAGUUCCAGGCCGUUGCCGAAAAGGCCCGCCACGACGCUGAGGAGCUCGCACGGCUGAAGGUGCAGCAUGAAGCUCUUCAGAAGAGCGGCAGAGGGCCUGGCAGGACCGGGACGCCGAGAAGGUCCGGAAGGAGGAGGCUGAGAAGGUGGCGGCCAACCUUGGGGCUGAGGUCAGCCAGCUCCAAGUGCAAGCGCGAGAGCUUCAGGCCUCCGUGGCCCAGGGGCUCGACCAGGAGCGCCAGCUGAAGGCCUAAUCCGAGGGUAUGACUCUGUUUAUUUCUUUGUCUUUGUGAUGUUGCGGUGAUAUUUUAUUUGGCGGGUUCUUCUGGAUGAUCCUUGCAGAUGAGCUCAACUGGCUGAGGGAGGUGCUUGACGCGGAGCGCGCUGAGCACGGCGACCUGCGGGACGCGGUCCGCGUCAUCUGUGACUUCCUUAGUGUGGUCCAGGGGGAGGGGACGAGCUCGCUGGCGGCUCGUGUCCUCGGGACGUACCGCCGGACCAGCGAGAUCGCCCUGGAAGCGCUUCGCACCGGCUUGAGGCAAGCCUUUGGGGUCUUCGGCUCCCACUAUUCCGGCAUCAACUUCGCCGGGAUGAGCGGGGGAUACGCCACCGGCUACUACGAGGCCGAGCUGGAUGAGAUCGACGUGUCGGUGCUCAGCCCGGCGGAGGCCUUGGUGAAGCUCCUCGAGGAUGAGGCCGUCCCGCCCGAAGAUCCCCGGACGAGUUAACUAUAUCGGGCUGGCGCCCCAGAUGUAAAUACGUUAGGGAAAGACUUGUUUUUUGUGAGGGCCGUAGAGGCCUUUUCUAUGAAUUGUCGUAAAAAAGUUUUUGAUUCCCUUUCUUGCUUUUUGGACUUGGAAAGUUUAGAGCACGUUGUCGGGCGUGUCAGUAAGCUUUGAUGAGCGAAGGCACCGUAGCCGCUGGGGCGUCGUUUUUUUUGCAGUCCGAUCAAUCUUGCCUGAACACCGUUCGUGCACUUUCUCCUUUUUAUGCCCAAAAGUUCAGAAAGAGGGUCGGCUCGGAAAGAGAAAGCGUUUUGAGAGGGUGUCAAGUGGCUUAGGUACUUGCGGCAGGUUGCGUGGUGGACGCGGAUAUCCUUCUCCCUGACAGAUCUGCGGCGCAUUUAUGGUGAGAUCAACAUGGGGACCCACAAGACCCGCGCCCAAGGCGGAUACUUGUCUGGAGGGCCCGGGUUAGCCCGACCCCCUACGCUUGGGGUCAGGCGAGGCGGAGACUUGCGGCGGGGGGUUGGACGCUCCUGACCCUAGACCUGCGGUCGGGCGAGGCGGAGCUUGGUCUUCCAGGGGUCGGGGGCGCCUUACCCCGGGAUGCGGGGUCGGGCGAGGCGGAGCGUAAUUCUUGCCUCCCAUGUUGGGCCGACGGCAAUCUUUGUUACCUUGGGUGGGCCUGGGCCUUUAUGUUUUGUUGUUUCCAUGGGCUUCGAGAGGUCGUUAAUAUUUCCCCCCAACACUAUGAGGAGGACUUGUGGGCAGAAAGUCAGCUACCACAAACUUGCCUCUGAAUAUUUGGAGUGCAAACAUUGGAUGGUGGUUGUGGAGAGCCCCAGCCAUACCUCGCACCCGUGGAGAGGUAAUUGUCGGAUUGCUUGGUUCGUCUCUAGAAUGCGACAAGGUCAGGCGCCACCUCUCACUGCUGCCAGUCAGAAGGCCGAGGGGCCAGUUUCAACAUAGUAAUGAGAAUCUCCGAAGGCCAAUAUGGUUAAGCAGCUAACCUCCAUGAUCAUAGACUUACGUUUAGAAAAUAGGAGGCUUAGCGAUGCGUUAACAGAGCAGAAGUUAGAAACAGAAGAACUUAAGGACGACUUCCGUGUCCUCCGCCUUGGUCUUUGUGCUAAGAUAAAGCGCUUGUACAAUGCCACGGGGAAUGACGGUCUCUACGAUGCAGCUCAAUAGACGUGCCCCUUGUAUCCUUUCCUUUAGGCACUUUAGAAUAUGUUUAUUUGUUUUCCUUCAUUUUAAUUUCCAAUAGAUUGUUAGCGCCUCCAAUUUAAUUUCAAUAAAGUGUAGACUCACCGGUCAUCCAACUUGAUGGAGUCCUUUUGUCACCUAGUUGUCUUUGGAAGAAGUAGCUGGGUACAAAAUAAGUGUGGGGGAGAGCCACAGACUCUCUAGAGCUGAAACAAUGCACAACACCCACAAAUAGAGAAAACCACGCUGCACCAGCACGUACGUGAAAGUGGAGCCAGAGCUGGACCCAUAGGGGUUUGGCCAACCCAAGGGGUGGCCCACUCGGGCCAUCUUCAUCCACCGCGUCGGUUUGUGUCUCUUUACCCCUGAUCUCCCUGAUUCAUGAGUUUGAAUGAAUUUUAAAUCUGAUCAACUAAUUCAAACUCAACUAAAAUGAAUCAACUGCUCCACCUGCUCUACAUGUUUUCUAUGGUUGGCUUGCAUAUGUUUUAUUUCAUGCUUAUCAUCUUGAUGCUUGUGAACAAAUAUCUUUAGGACAGCAUGCUCAUCUAAGUAGUUGAUGUGUAUGAUAUGGUUCGAUGAUAUGAUCUUCACUCUUAAUGCUUAAGUGCUUGGGAAAAUCUAUUUGAAAAUUUAAAAGCCUUUUUGAAAUCUCCUCUUUGAUGUGCCAAAGUCCUACCAAAGCCAUAUGAUAAGUUAUCUUGAAAAACCAUUUGCAUAUGUUGCUUGUCUUUGCAUUGAGCUUUGUCAAAUUGGUGUGACCCUUGUCACAAUUCUUUUCAUACUUUCAUGAUCAAGACUCAUGUGCACGCCAUAUACCCCUUGCUAUGCUUCUAUGAGAUGUUAGCAUUGUACCAUCCAUUCAUUCCACAAAAUAAAUGCUCCACCAUAUGUGUUGGUCUCCUUCUAAGAUUAUUGUUACAAAAGAGAUAUGGGCUAUCAAAAAAAAAUAUGAAUGUCCAAGAAAGUUGGACACAUGAAUGUCCAAUAAAAAGAAAAAGAAAGAUAGCCAUGUCCUCAGAAAUAUUUACAAAGGGAGAGAGAUCAUACAAAAAGGAGUUUCCAUUCCAUCCACCACAUCCAUACAUGUGCACAUCUUGAUCUGAUUGUAUGACUUAUUUUUCUCUUUGGAUCUGGUCUUUGACUUUGCAAUAUAUGUGAUGCAAGCAUGCCUUAUCCUUCAUAGCCUACCUUGAGCUCCACAUAUAGCCAUCAUUAGAAGUAGGAUGAAGAAAGGCAAGUCUAAUGCCUUGGUGAGGACAUAUACACAUUGAGUGAUCUGAGAGAAUCAAAUGAGGAGCUAAGCAAGGUUUUGUUUUGAAAACUAAUUGAAAAAUCCCAAGCUACUUGGCAUAAGGAGUUGAGGUGACUUGAUUCAAGACCAUUACAUUCCUCAACUACCCAAGAUGGCAUGAUAGACACUCCAAAGUUCACAAGUGCAGGUAUGGUUUGGAAUAUCUUUUAGGCUCGCUUCAUACCUUUGAAAGUUAUGUUUCACCUUAGUCCUUUCUCGUUCACUCAAGGAUAAGCAAAGGCUAAGUGUGGGGGUGUUGUUGAUGGCUCUUAAGUACAAAAUCUGCGCCAUCAACUCUUGCAUAAACACAUAAAAUAUGAGCAUCAACAAUAGUGGUAGGAGUUAUUACAAACGAAUUCCACAAGUCUUGGUGAAUAUUUGUAUGCAAGCCCAAUAGGAGAGAAAAGACACCUCAAAAGCAAGGAAACACACUCUCAACCAAUCAAGAGCAAGCACAUGGAACCAUGGGCCCACAACCAAAAGGAAAUCGACUACAUUCCAAACACCCUAUACCCACAUGAGAACCCAUAGGGCAGUGACCCAGAGCAAAGGUGAUGCCAGAGUGUAGAUGGUAGUUAGCAUGCCAAAUUUUGAACCGCAAGCGCUCGGAUUAGUUGUUUCUUUUCCCUUAGAGAUUCCCCCAAGGUUUAUCAAUCCAUGGAACAAGGGAUUUGCACGUUUCACUAAGCACUAAUCAAUGUAAUUGAAAGCUUUUCGAAUAAGAUAUGAUUAUGCUAACAAAGGAACUAAGCAAUCUAGAUUAAGAUGGAUAGAGAGUACAGGUUGUGAACAAGAUAGAUUAAACGCUUGUAGAUGCAAUCACCAUGCAUGAAUGAAUUAGAUCUAGGUGUUAUUGUGAGUGGUUGUGAACCAUGCCCAACACUUUCCCACCCGCAACAUUGUCACUACAUGUGGGUACUCAACUAUCGGAACAUAAGAACACAUCAAGAUGAUCAUUCUAGGUAAGCAAAUAAGCAACCCAAAGUAGCGCUGGCCAGCCUUUUCAUGAAAGAGCAUCAUCAAGAUAAGAUUGAUAACAAAAUAGAUCUCAACCAAAGGUUCAGCGAUUACAAAUCAAGAUCUUCGUAUAACCCCGAUGACAAAUAGAGGUAUUACCCCCAUGAUCUUACACAUGUUGAUGAAUUUUAGGGUAAAGGACACCCUGUAGAUCAACUGGACCAAAGAUGAUGAUGAACGGGGGCAGGGAAGGCCCAGGUUGAUCAGCCUGCGCACUUUUGAGCCGAUCAGCUCAGGGGGUUUCCUCCUCCCCUGGUGCUCCUCUUCGCGUGGCCUCCUCUGGAUCCAAUCUUCUCUUCAUUUCUCCUACUUGUGGCGGCAAUGGAUGGUGUUUGCAUGGUGAUUUCCUCUUCUCCCCAACUCUCCCUCCUUGAAGUCCAUGAGGGGGUAUUAAUAGUCUCCAAUAGGCGGCAGCUCUGGGUCAAUGUCAGUGAAAAAAUCCUAGAGAUCAUCGUACACUUCAUGCUGAGGAAACAAGAGGUUGACCGAGCCCUGGGAUAGACCAAGAGGAUCAUCCUAGAGGGUCCCAGGCUAAUCGGUCUAGGCCCUUCCUAGCCCUUCUAGUCCUCUCCUUCCUCGUGCUGGCUUUUCUCGAUGACCCUUGUCCAAAUAUCCAUGAAGCUCUAUAUACAUACCCCCUUGAUUAUGUUGUAUUUCCUGUCAAAAUACAAUGCUCCAAAAUACAACACAUAUGCAAUAAUAGGGUUAUUUCAGGUGCCAAUUGGUGGGUUAGUAUACGAAUAAGCAUGAAAAUACUGUUUAAAUGACACUAAAAGUGUGUCAAUAACGAGCACCAACAAUCCCCCCACGCUUAGAUCUUGCUCGUCCUCGAGCAAGUCUAGCGACUAAAAGAUCUUGAAUUAAACCUGAGCAAGCGAGUCAAGUACCUAGCCUUGAAACAAAAGAUUAGAGGAGCAGCAAAGAUAAUCAAAGUCUGGGUGUUCAAAGAUUUAUCUAAGCAAAGAUUCCCCUACAACUAUUAUUCAGAACCAAGUAACUUCAAAAAUCAACUACACUUAUUUUCUGGCUUUUUUCAGAGGGUUUUUCUUUCAUCAUAAAACAAUCUCCCUGCAACAAAAUUGAAAAAAGAAUUAUUUUCAAGGUGCUUACAUGUCGCUUAAAUGAAUGUUGGCUAUCCUACUUAUUUGCAAGCUCUCAUCUCUCAAAAUUCAUUCAAUUAUAUGGUGGAGUUUGGGUAAGGUUAGCUAGAAUCAACACGUAUAUUAUUGAAUUAAGAAAACCCUCUAACGGUGGCCUACCUUCCGAGCCAUUGAUCAUAAGAAUAUCCACAUAAUGUGAAGUUUUCAAGGAUGAGAAGAUAUAGAAUGGUGGACAUGUGCAAAGGCAAAGAAAUAUAGUGACUCUGAGGCACAAGCAAUGUCCUCGUCGUUGGAUUGCAUAUGGUUGUAAUGAAAAUAUGUUCCUUAAACAAGUCUAUCUUUUCUUUGCACCACUCUUGAUCUUCAUGACAGUAAAAACUCCUCCUUUAUUUCUUUCUCUCUUUUCCUAUUAUUUCUUUUUAUUUGUCUCAAUACUUUUAUUUCUUUAUUUCUUUAUUUUAAUCUCUUCUCUGAACCUCUUCUGAACACCACAUAAUAAAAAUAAGUUUUAGAUCCUUCCAGAGACCUUCCAGGAAUUUGCUACAUGAAAACCGAGGCAAGGAGACCCCAGGCCGAUUGGCCUAGCCACUCCUUUGCUCUCCUCUAGCUCUUCUUUCUGGUGAAGCUUCCUUAUCUUGUAUCUUUCCAAAAAUUUCAUAAAGCUCGACUAGAAACGGAACAGAUCUUCAUAUAAUGAGUUGUGUUCAAGGAAUUGGUAAUAAAAUUGAGAAAUUUGUGGUUCGGGUUUACGAAUUCAGUACAAAAAUAUGAUUGUUCCAAUGAAGAACUCUCAUUACUGAAUAUUGACGAGGCAAGCAUUCAAAGAUGGUAAAAAGGAUAUGAUCAAUUCUCAAAAUUAAAGCAAACCAAGAGAGAGCGAUCCUAAUUCAAUUCAAAGUGUCAAAUGUUGCUUAUGGUGGUAUGAAUAAAUAUUUUUAGGCAUUGGGUAGGAUAAAUAAAAACUCUCAACCUGGUUAAAAGAUAUUGAUCAAUCUUGUUUUUGCAGAGGUUUUAAAUAAAAAAUAAAAUUUUAAAUCACCUCCAAUUCAAAGCCUUACUCAUAAAUCAUAAUCAAAACUGAAGCACUUGAUCAUCAUAAAGCAUGGGUAUUGCAUAAACAAAUCGAUUACUAAAACUCCACAACUACGAUUUAGAAUUCAAGACAAUGCUCAUAAUCUAAAGUUGCAAAGAUAAAAUAAAAGACAACCAAGCCAAGGUAGACACUAAAAACACUUGCACGAUCCUUGAAUUUUAUUCAUGCUUCUUCUCACAAAGACGCUAAAGUAGCCAUGUAGGCCUAAGUCUUCCCAAAAGCUUAAGAAAACUACUACUUUAUCUACUUUUGGUUGAAAUAAAAAGACUAAUCUAGACUCUCACAUGAUUCGACUCGACCAAAUUAGAUCCAAAAACUCAUACGAGCGACGAUCUCCCCCCCCUCACGCUUAAAAUCUACGACCUCCUCGUCGUAGCCAUAUGGAGUACAAGGAAAAGAAGCUUGUAAACGCUCUAAUGACGCUACCCGCACUACUUGCACACGGGAUGGUUGCUGCUUCCUUCGCUUUGUUCUUCCUCAUGUUGCUGCACAUCCCGAAGAGCUUCCUCACGUUCCUCUGCAAGAACUUGAACUCGUCCUCCUGACGGCGAUCAUUAUCUUCUGCCUUUUGAUCCAGAGCUUGUAAGGCUUGCAUGAUGUCAUCGAACGCAUCGAAGAGGUAGUGGAUGUUCUUCCUGCAAGCUGUGGAACAUGUACGAUCAUGCUCCUCCGAUUCUGGCCCGUCGUCUUCUAGAUCCUUCUCUUUGCCCUUGUCUUGACGGUGGCUAUCUUGCUCCUUGCUCGCCUUCUUGCCUUCAGCCCAAUCCCAGUACGUGUUGUCAUCUUCUUCAUCGUCACGGCCUGCAGCACCCUAUGAUCCAUUGUCUAUCUUGUAUGAAAGAAUCAGAAGCUUGUUCUCCUCAGGGUGUCUUGCGCGGUGCAGCGUUUGCAAGUGCAAGACUUGCUAGUUCCUUUUACACAUUGUAAUGUUCAUUGCAUGCUCUAAUUGUUCUACAUUUGUAAUUUCUUGGUGAAGUUUGGUUACUGAUCCACUGUUUGAUUAACUCUUGGGCCCAAACACUGUACUACUUCUGAUUAGAUAUCUGUAUCUUGACUUUGACCAAAAAAAAUAUCCGGCAGUUUUUGCCAUUAAAGUUUCAUAAAUCAUCUUGCAAAAAUCGUACUAUACAACAAGGGACGGUUUAUUAUAAAAUAUACGUUCCCCUUAUCACAUGCCACUUCCACUCAAAAGGCAACGAAUCAGUUUUCAAUCCUGAGUGAGCAAUUUGCUUUUAUUACCGAUGCCUCCUAUUCCCUUGUGCACCAAGUUUAUUUUGGAUAGGGCUGCAAAAAACGACUAACCAGCUCGGAUUCUCCACCUGCAAAACCGCAUCUGCAGCAACCAACCCCACGCGGUGGAAAAAAAAACAAAACCUAGAAACCGGACGGGGGUGGAUGUGGGGCUCGGAGCCCAAGCAAAAAACGGAUCGGGAGCGCCGGAGCAGGCCAUCACCGGAUGUUAGAGAUAGAAAAUGGUUGAAGUUUGGAGUGGAAAUCAAACAAGCCUUGGAGCAAAGGAAAAAAAAAGAUCAAACCACUCAAGCAUUCAUUUGAUUUAGAAAAGAGAACAUUUGUUAAGGUGGGGAGUUGAAAUCAUCUUUUAAUUAGUUCCACGUAUCUGGUAUCAUUACAGUUGGUUUACUUGUGUAAGUAUAAGUAGCUCUGCCGAAGCCUUUGCUCCUAUAAUUUAGUAACUAGUACAAAUGGAUCAAUAGGAAAAUCAAGUUGCAAUCAUUUCUCAGCCAACCAAACCUAUGUAAAUCAAAUUAUUGUCCAUGCCCGGCAUGCACAGGUGCCUGCCAUGCAUGCAUUGUUGCUCCAUUGUAAUAACCAUUAUUGUCCAUCGAUGUUGCAGCGCAUGUGUGCACUGUGCAGACACCAAGCAUCGAGAUUAUGUACUAGUAAGGUGUUGAAAUAAUGGGCCUAGCCCAUAAGUAAUUUCAGAAUUUCAAAUAAAUCUCAAAGGCCCAUGUGGGCAAGAGGUGGAGUGGUGCAAGUCUUUAGUCCCACAUUGCUAGUCGAGGGGAGGGAUGACCAACUUAAAUAUGGAAGUUGUCUCCACUCCUCCAAGCUAUGUGUGAAGGGCGCGGGCGCGAGGCACUUGCGUGAAUGGUCCGCCGAAAUCUGGCCCCCCUUGCGGGGGCGCGGCUUCCUUUUGCCGUUUUAUUUUUUGGUUACUUGGUCGUUAAGUCAUGGAAUCCUAACCGGUUUAGAUCACGAUCGUGAAGGUUUUUGGGAAGCGCUCUGCGCGACUGCUCGAUCGCUUCUUCCGCUUCGUCAAGUUCUUCGUCGACUCCUUCACCACGGCUCGUCUACCUCUUCGUCGCUCGGGCCUCACUCGUCGUCGCGAACAACGUCAGGCUGCUGAUCGUCGUCGCCUGCUGUAUCCGGUAGUCGUCCAGGAGCCGGUUUUCAUCAAGAAAGAAACGUACGGUCUCUUAACUCACAUUAUGUCUUCCAUACUAGCUAUUAUGAUUGUUGCAGUCUGAUAGCUCUGGAUAGUAUGGUAGAAUGUCUGAUUCUAUUUGCAAUGAUAGACUUGUCUAGAUCUUGCGUAGACAUGUCUAGUUUAAUCUGCUGCUUGUUCAUCAUAUUCAUGAUUUAUUUCUGGAUUAAGUUAAAACUAAAAGUGCUUAUAUAUCCAACAUAAGGUACCAAGAACACGUGAAGCACCCGGGGGAGGCUGCUCCACUCCGCAUGCACAGGUGGGCACGGCACCACUACUCGUCUCCUUCAGGCUGAGGAUAAGUGAUGUACGCUGAUCAACAGACCACGACGGAACCAGCAAUAAUAGUUUCAGCCUGCCUCACAGUAAUUAAUAUAUCCUGUAUCCUCCGAGGACCCCUCCCCUUAAUCUUGGCCUAUUGCAUCCAAUAAUGAUAUGUGUGUUUAUCCAAAUUUACGGCACCUUUGGCGGGGGUUCCACCCAGCUCCGCCCUCUCCACCUUCGGUACUCCAUGGGAAACCAUUCCUUUGGAAUCAAGGAAGCUUGAACAGUAUAACGAAUAAAGUUUCAUAUAUCCAUUUGAUUUCACAUGAAAUAAAAUAUUCUGUCAGAACCAAUGGUUUCACUGAAGCUCCAGGCAGCGAGCGAAGGGGUGAGAGAGGAUAACGCUUACUGUGUGUUACCAUCGCGUGCACCAUGGAUGACCAACGCGCAGCCGAGAUGAAACGGCGGACCUAAACAGGUCCUCGCUAUUUUUGCAGGUUCUCGACCAGGCCAGUUCUUUAGGCCAACCUAUCAUUCACGAGUUAAACAUACGGUGGCUGGAGAAAUGUUCUAUUCUUUUAAACAAUACCAGCUGGUUCCUCCGUUUUUAUUCCACCAAUACAAGCACCACCUUGUAACAUUUCCUAUGUUUUUUUUCCUUUCGUCUGUUUUCUCACUACAUGCGUUGCUCUUUCAUGCAUUUUUUUCCAUUCCUGUAUUCCAAAUAGGUCUACAUGAACACAAAAUGAACUAGGGGACAGAAAAAGCCAGUGAAGUUAGUUUUGAGCUUCACCAGCUACUUGCUACAUAAAGUGUGCUAUAGUCGCAGAAAAGCUAAGCUGGAUCAGACGUGGCCGAAACAAUGCCAAAGAGCUAGGUCCCUAGCUGAUGGCAACACAUCAGAUGACUAGCCUGCUUUUCUGUAAUAAUGAUAUUGAGCAAUACACUGCAUGGCUAACCUGCUUUACAAUAAUUGUCAUUUUAUAAUAUUGGUCAUCACGAGAGAUGCACAUUGCAUACACCGGCCCAUCCCUAUAAAUAGCCAAGCCUUUCAGCCAUCUUGGGCACCUCCUCUCAGGGCCUCGUCUCACCAUCAGACAUCUCGUUCCCAGUUAUAAUUUGCGAGGUUAGAUCAGGCUGCGCCAUGGCGUCCGCAACUGCUGUCAAGAUCGUCGCCACCUUCAUGCUGGUGCUGACCAUGGGCCACCUGAUGGCCGAAGCAUCACCGCAGCCUCGGCGUGUGCUUGCAGAAACGGAGCAUGCUGCGGUGUCCGGGAAUCCUGGCCUCCCAGGUGAUGCUAGCGUCAUGCAGGUCCUCGAACCCGCCCUAGUUUCUCGGCUUGCCUGCAAACCAGAGUGCACAGUCCCUUGGCCUCCUUUUGUAUGUAUCUGCUAGAUCCUCUUCCUGGCUCAACGGAACUUCAGGGAAAUGGCUGUGACGUCGGCCAAAGAAUAAAUUGGAUGAACAUAAUAUACCCCGGGUAGUGUAGCUUGGGCUUUUGUUGAGCGUCUGGUGCUAGUUGUAUUUUGUUUGCUCAUGUGGCUUUGCUUCUGGUUGCAUAUUGGCUUUCCUAUCGCUCUCUGUUGCAGCUAUGGUUUCUGCCAGGUGUGUGUUAAUGCGGUUUGUAAGCGGUGCUUGUUCCUACCUUCUGUUUUCAAUAAAAGAAGUCGGAGUCUCCCUCCGACUCUUGUUAUCAGUCAACAAAAAUGAGUUGUAUCAUAUAUAUCUGCGUCUUUUUUCUACGUAUCUUUGGGCUGCUUCAGCUGGAAGUUUAUCGUAAGUACGUGUAUCAGGAUGAUCGUUUGAAUUAAAACGAAAUGAUAAUGUGUGGCUGCUAGAAAUGGAAUGAGCAUCUUACUAUAUUACUAAUUGGAAGCCUCCACGUGAAGCCACCUAGAAAUUCUAGGUGGACGUUUUAAAAAAAACAAAACUCAUAGAAGCCUCCACCACCUAGGAAUCCUAGGUGGACACUCUAAAAAGAGACAAAUCCUAGAAAUUCUAAAAAAAGAAAAAAAUAAUAACAAUAAGAUUUUUUUGCAGUCAAUUACAUAUAUUUUUUUGAGACACCGUGCUGCUAGCUCUUGCCAUUGCGACCAGUAAAGCAAGCAGAUAGUAAGAUGACAUGCGUGUGGAUUGAUUAAAACAAAUUCAGUUAGUUGAUUCUAAAUCGUAUGUAUCCUAAAAGGAAGAUAUGUGCGUGCAUGGUCCCUAGCGAUGACAUGUAGACAUGUAUUGCAAUUUCUUUUUUAAAAAACAUGUCUAUCUCUAAACCAACAAACAGAAAAAAUAUCAAUCUAAAUCUAAAUCUCUUCCGUUCUCACACGCCUAUUAAAGAGAAGACAACCAAUCCCAUCCAUGUUCCAUAGAAUCCAUCUAAAAGCUUGCUCACUGCGGACGGCAUUUGACGGCAAAUCAAUGAAAGAUCAUCCUCUCCAAAUAGCUGGACGGCAUCACCAUCUUUAUCUCACCAACCUACAGAGCUACAACGAUGUUGUAGAGAUCAACUAGGUAACCUACCAAUCACCCUCCCCUUUUCUAUAUGCUCUAAAGAACACGUGGAGUAAUUAUAGGCCUAUAGGAGCCGACUAACCUAGAUUAAUAUGAAAAAUAUUCCAAUAUUAAAAGCAAGCAGAUAGUAAUACUUGCCUUUGACCAUUUUUCUAGAACUGUUAUUCCUAUUGAAUGUUCAAGUGCUACGGCCAGGCAUCGAAUGCCUGCACGGAACCUUCCUAUUGAAUGGUUACUCUAGAGAUCAACGCACCGCGAGACAUUUUUAUGGAAUUUGUUUGAUUCCCCUUCUACAAUUAGAUUAAUUUUUCAUGGCAUAUAUUACUACUAUUAAAUUAUUUGUUUAUUGUCGGGCCUGCUGCAUGUGUGGUAUAUAUGACUUGCUUCUCACCAUUGUUCUCAAACUAUUAUUCCUAUCGAAUCUUUCUAUCGAAAUAUAUUUUAAUUACUUGAUUGUUGUUUGUGUACCAUAACUUCUGUAUAGAAAAAUUCCAUGUUUGUAGAUAAUGUCUUUUGUAUAGAAAAAUAGCCCAAUUAGAUCCAUCACCAUCUUUUGCUUAUGUAGUUGAACAAGUUGCAAUGUUGAACAAAACUUUAAGUGAAAUUAGACCAGGAAAAGGAAUUGUGGAACAUUAAGGCAAGGGUAACCAGAUUGUGGAAUGCAACCUUACUCAGUAGUGGCGAACAAUUAAGUCUUGACAUGAUCCUUAUUGAUCAAAAGGUAUGAUAGAUGUUCACUUUGAUUGCAUUAUUGGUAUAAUUUUUGGUUUACAAAUUAUUAAUGAUGAUGCAAAAUUAGGGAACCAUGAUCCACGGUGUUAUCAAUAAGCCCUAUAUGAAAAAGUUCAAACCAUUGAUUGAAGAAGGCAAUGUGUACAUAAUUGCAAAUGUCAGAAUCACACCAGAACCACAGAAGUAUCGGCCAGUGGAAAAUGACAGGAUAGUCAACUUCUUACCCACAACUGCACUAAAAACGAUCAAAGAUACUGAAGACAUUCCAAAGUAUAGUUUUAACUUCAUGAGCACGGAUAUGCUUUCAGCAAGAAUAAAUGUGGACAUGUACCUAUUAGGUAAAACAUUACUGGCUUUUCAAUUUUUACACUUCCACUCAUUAAAUGACCAUCUAAUAAUAAUACAUAUUUAUGUUUCAUAGAUGUUAUAGGUAUCUCAGCUCACAUUGGACCGAUAGAAGAAACAAGGACAAACUUCGGAUUUACUAAAAUCCGUGAUAUUGUGCUCCUGAUCGAGUAAUUCUCUUUUCUUUUGUAGAAAACAACUACAAAACUUUCAACAUUUACAUGUAUGUUAUAGAACUUCUGUUGAACUAAAAAAUAUCUUCUACAGUGCCCCUACAAAUAAUUAAUUUCGUAGUUGGAUAUUUAAAAUAUUUAUUAUUCACUUUUAAAUUUGUGGCCAUGAAGUUAAAGUUAGAUUUUGGGGAGACAAAGUUGAGGAAGUUGAUGAUAAGACAAAAUCCCAUGUCAUUGCAAUAACAUCUACAACUGUGAGUAAAUUUGGCAGUAAGUCUUCAUUCAAUAUGAGUUAUUCAAUAUUAGUCAUUCAACAAACUAACCUCGUAAGAAAAAUAAAUAAUUGAUGUUUUAUCAGGGUAUUCUCUAUCGUCAACCAAUGCAACAAAACUUUAUGUAGAUCUACCUAUUCCUGAAACUAAGGAUGCACAUGAUAGGUGAGAAAAAUUAGAUAUUGUUUUUCUAUUUUAAUCUAUGUAGCAUGCACUCUAACAUGAUACAUUCUUUCAUAUGAUAAAAAAAUGUUAGUUCAAUUGAAAAUAUUGUCAAAGAGAUUCAUAUUGAGGACCAUCUAAAAGGGACAUUGGAAGACCAAAUGCAGUACAAUAGAAGAACUUUAGAAGAAUUAAAUUUCAUAUUAUUUGAAACAUCAAAUCAGGUAUGGAUUAGUAUGUUCAUUGUACACUAUACUAUUUAAAGACUUACAUACAUAAUGAUGGUAUUGUUCCUACUUUCAGGAUGAGGUAUUUACUAUUGAAGCAACAAUAAAUGAAAUUAAUGCAACAUAUGGUUGGUUGUCACACCCGAUUUUAAGGACAAAAUUGAGUGCAUUAAAUACAUGUGCACCAGGAUCAAGUUACACACAUCCUAUGAGUACCGUCCUUCUUUGGCACAAAGAUAACCGGUGCUCCCCAUGGUGAUGAACUAGGCCGAAUAAACUAUUUUGCUGAUAAUUCCUCUAGUUGUUGUUUCAAUUCUUUUAAUUGUUCAACCAACAUUCUAUAAGGACGUUUGGAGAUAGGUGCAGUACCAGGUAAAAGAUCAAUAGCAAAUUCAAUGUCGCGGUCAGGUGGCAUACCUGGUAAAUCGUCGGGGAACACAUCCGGAUAGUCACACACCACUUUGAUAUCUUCCAAGGAUUUUCCAGCCAACUGAUUAACUGCACAAUCUGCUGCUGAGGGUAGAGUAGCUACAAACUCCACUUUCUCUCCAUCAGGACCUGUUAGCAGAACUGUCCUCUUGGCACACUGAAUCGUUGCAUCAAAAGCGGCUAACCACCUCAUCCCCAGAAUUACAUCGAUUCCACUGGACUCAAGGACGAUAAGAUCAGCCGGAAACUCUAUACCCAUUAUUCUCAGUUUAACUUGUGGACAGAUGUAUUGAGCCUUCAUUGACCCCCCAGGUGAACUCACUAGCAUAUGACGCCUCAUGGUAUGCAUGGGUAAAUUAUGCUUUGCUACAUAAUGACUAGUGACAAAAGAAUGCGAUGCUCCAGAGUCAAAUAAAACUGAUGCGGGGGCAGAGUUGACAAAGAACAUACCAAGCACUACAUCUGGAGCCUCCUUAGCAGUCUCGGCUUCCAUGUGGUUCACCUUGCCACAAACAAAGCUUUGCUGCCCCUGAUUGCCUUGUGGGGUCUGGUUCCCAUUCCUCGGUUGCUGCAUCUGAUUCUGCCGAGGAGCACUGCUGUUCUGCACGGGGGUAGCUGGCCCACCUCUCUUAGGACAAGAGCUGGCAUAGUGACCAACCUCGCCACACUUGAAGCAGGUAGGACCCACUGGAGCAUUGGGCCUUGUUGGAGUGCCAGUAGGGGUCAUCUGGCGGUUCUGCGUAAAGCUUGGGCGCGGAGUCUGCAUAGUCUGCAUCCCUGGAUGCUGGAACUGAGGGCUAGGGCGCUGGAAUGACUGCUGAGCAGGGCGCGGAAAUGAGUGCUGCCAAAAAUUCCCACUCGGGCCCCCUGCGCGGAACGGCGUCCCUUGCUGUGGAGCAAAGCGAGGGCGGGUGUUGCUUCCUGAAGACUACUGGGAAUUGAAUUUCCUCUUCAUCUCCCCGAGCUCGUUCCUCUUGUGUUCCAGGCCAAUUGCCUUGUCUAGCAUCUUCUGGAAACUGGGGAAGGUGUGCGACAUAAGCUGAUAUUGGAGUGGUCCAAUCAACCCAUCCAAGAAUAGCUCCUGCUUCUGCUCAUCAUCAGCAACAUCUUCGGGAGCAUAUCGGGACAACUGGACAAACUUGUCCCUGUACUCUGCCACUGUCAUGUUCCCCUGCUUGAGAGCAAGGAACUCCUUCUUCUUAAGCUUCAUCAAUCCGGAAGGAAUAUGAUGACUUCUGAAGCUAGUCCUGAAUUCAUCCCAGGUGAUGCCAUUAGCAUUGGCAUGGGUGGUGGUGUAAGCAUCCCACCAAUCAGCAGCUGGCCCUUCCAGGCGUCCUGAAGCAUACAGGACCUUCUCCCUGUCAGUACAUUGGGCGAUAUCCAGCAUCUUCUCCACUGUUUUCAGCCAAUCAUCAGCAUCUAAUGGAUCCGGAGAAUGUGAAAACGUCGGGGGCUUGUGGCUCAUGAACUCCCUAUGCCUGUCCCUUGGCGGCGGCUGCUGCUGGUUGUUGUUGUUGUUAUUGUUCAGCUGAGCUUGUAAAGCUGCCACGGUGUUGGUCAGUCCGGCGAGAAGCUGAGUCUGAGCUGCUAGAAACUGCUCCAUCCCUGCAGGUGCUUGUUGGUUCUGUUGCGGAGCGGUGUUGGGAUUGCUGCUGUUGUCCCUGUGGCGUGGCACUGUGGGACGGUCAACUCCUGAUCCGGACCUGGUGUUUACCAUCUGAGCGUUAGAGACAAUGGAUUUAGAUAGAUGUGUGAAAGAAUAACUGAGAAAGAUAAAGCGACCAGAUGUAAAAGUAACACAGAUUCUGUUAGCUCCAUUUAAUUAGGUGUGGUCGUCAGAAGAAGUGUCCAUAAAUUCUGAACAAUUACCAAGUCGUAACUUAUUAAAUUUGUAAACCAACCCAACUGGAAUCAUCUCAAUCGGACUUCUGGAUCUCGAGUUACAAAAUUAACAAGCUGACAGUGUCGGUCGAUAGGUUCAGAUUCUGAGUGCUUUACUAAUUCGCAUACACCUCCCAGACAGAUACACCAAAAAUUCUGAAAAAUUUACAGAUAGUACUCCACGAAAUUCUGAAACUAACCCCACUGGUUUCAUGUCAUUUGGACUUCUGUAGCUAGAGAUAUAAAUAAAAAAGUACUGGCGUGUCAGUUAAUGUCGAGAACAGAAUUGAAUGUCGCUUAGCUUGCGUGAUGGAUAGAUUUAGACAGAUGGUAGAUCAUGAUUAAGGAAGAUUAAAUACUGAUUUAGAACAGAAAUAAAACCCAACUAAGCACUUUAUUUAUUAAGACCAGUAUCGUGUGGCAAUUGCCCCACAUACCGCACUCAUUACAAAAUCCAACUCAAACAUGUAGCACAAAACCAAUCAUCUAAGCACACUUUAACUAACACACUCGAACGACGUCUAACGAUUACAAGAAUUUAAACUAAAACACUCCUAAUUUCCUAGAGGUCUUCUGCGGCGGUGCCGGGCGAGUCGUAGCGGGGACGCUUAGGCGACGGCGACGAAGCGGGAUGAACAGCAAACUCCUGCGGCGGCGGUGCUCCCGUCGCGGCAGCCAUAUUCGCAUCCCUCUCCCACCGGAGUUCCUGAACCUCCUGUUGAAGCUCCUGGAUGUGGUUGUUUGCUUCAUUCAAUGCGGUGAGAGCUGCCGACGUGUACUUGCGGAGGAAGUCUGUAGCCAUGUCAACCCCAUCGUUAGUAGCGAUGAAGGUUCUUGCUUCCCCACUAGCUCGGUAAGGAAGGAACCGAUGGUAAGUGUGCUGCAAUCGCGGCCGUUCCUUGUGGGAGACGACCUCAAGUGCCCUCCUGGCGGCCUCGGCAAUGCCGGAUUCCAUGGUCCUCCUUAUGGUCACAUCAUGGUGAAAAGCCUUCACCUCCCAUCCUCCCUCGUGCUCCUCACGAAGGACAACCUUCACCUCCCAAAAAGUGGGAUAGCGAGGGUGGGUGAACCGGGAGCACUUGUAGAGUGGCCUCAUGCCGUACCCCAAGCGGUGACAAGUCCACCUGAGUAUGUCGGCCAUGUGCACUCCUUGGCCAUAAUCUUCCUUCACCCAUUUGAUCCAUGUCUCGGGCUCGGGAUCUGCUUCGGGCUCAUCAUCCGUCAAGUCGACGACCGGUACGGGCGUCGGGGCUGGUGCAGGAGCGGGCGCCGGUGCUGGCGACGGUGCUGGUGACGGCGUGGUCUCCUGCUCCACGGUCACGGCGUCCCCGUCAGAGUCAUCCCCCGGAUGCUGGAAGAUCUCUUCCUCUUCUUCCUCGUCCCAAGGCUCCAUGGGGGCGUACGACGGCGCGAUGCCAUGACGCGGCGGACGGGUGCUCUUGCGUGCGGUCAACCGGGUGCGAGCCAUCUAACAGAAAGAAAGAAGAAAAUUUUAGAAUAAAAUUUUGAACAAAGCUAGAUAAUAAAAUAGCAAUAAGGAUGAGACAAAUCAAGUUUAAGAAUAAUUAAGUAGAUUUAAAUUAAGAAAGGUAGGAAUGGCUACUAGAUUAUUAUAAUCCUUAAAUACGACCAUUUUCUAACUAGGCUAACGUCCUACAGUCAACACGGCUCUGGUACCACUUUUGUCACACCCGAUUUUAAGGACAAAAUCGAGUGCAUUAAAUACAUGUGCGCCAGGAUCAAGUUACACACAUGUACGACAAUAGUGAAUAGUAAAGCCAGUGCUAAAUCGAAUAAAGAGAGUAUUAACCAUUAUUACAUGACCGAAUGUCUCAAAUAAACCACAAAGUCUAAUUAUUACGCAGCGGAACUCCAAAGAUGACGACGACUCCAUAGGCAGCUGACUGAAGAAACGUACGCCUAGAACUCCUCGAAGUCGUGGAAGUACUCCUCUUCCCAAUUAACUUGGUCUGAACAGCGGUUUUGCAAGGGUGAGUACACUUAUGGUUGGUACUCAACAAGUCGUGGGAAGUAGUGUAGUGUAAGGCUAAUUCAAGGUAUGGCUAAGGCGUAAAUAGCAUUCGCUUUUAAUUAAGUUGGUCAAAUUUUAUUAGCAUUUACUAAGUAUAAGUUCAUACCACCCGAAAUUAAACAUGAACAUAAAGUAAACCACAUGUGCAUGAAAUGAUAACAAAUUAAAUCCAUCUUCCGAUAAUAUUAUCAUGUGAGGGUCCAGGCCGCUCUUAACCGUGAGCACGGCUGAUUGAUCAGUUUAACACUCUGCAGAGGUGGCACAUCUUUACCCACAAGUCGCGUAAAAGUUCAAAAGAACUUUGGACCCAACCAUGCGGUGUUUGCAAGGCACCAUACCACACUUCCGAGGUGUGAUUGCAUAGGGACGCUACGAGGCCUUUACAAAGAUUCAUUAAUCAGUGGUAACCCGCUAAGGUUUCGGUGUCUGGCGUGCACCACCCAUCCCAGGUAAAAUGCAACGACUCAGUCCCCCCCCUUGAAUCAUCACGAGUAAGGUCACCCCAGACUAAGGUUUCUAAUUAAUCAGCCAAGACCAGAGCUAUUUAGUCUUGUGGUAGCACUGUUUUCCUGGGUGGUCGCUCCAUGUUCUGAUUAACAAAUAAUGAUCUUGUCUUAAUGAAAGGUAUAACAGAAAUAAGGCAAGAUUAAGCAUUGUUUUUAGUUAAACCACCAUGUACCAAGUAAGCACUAAGCAUGAGCUACCCAACAUAAAGUAAACCGGUUGGUCAAGGCAAAGGUAAAACAAUCUAGGCCAACCUUAAUUGGGACCCAUCAAUUUAAUCUUAAUAUGUGCACAGCAUAAAUGUUGAGUACGAGAAAGUAAAGGUGUAUAGGACAAAAAGGUAGUGAUCAAGGACACGACUUGCCUUCUUGGCCUUGCUCCUGCUGUUCGUACUCCUCGAAGGCUUGAUCGGCAACUCCCUCGAACUGCGGGGCGUCUACACGCAUCACACGAGCACAUACAAGCAAACAUGGGCAAAAGUAAGAAAACAGUAUACCAAACAUAGUCAAACAGAGAAAACAAGCUUGAAAAGAUGAUCUACGCUUUAAAACGAACACGCGGAUAUAAAGAACGCGAAAAACGGAGUUAAGAUGCAAAAGAUAUGAUUAAAACAAAAUCCAGGGACUUUUCUGUAAGAAAAACAAAACUUUUAGGGCCUAUCCGCGAAAACCGAGGGCUUAUACGUAAUUAUGCGUAUAAACCGAGGGUCUGAUGCGUAAAAACAUCAAACCCGGACGGCGGGUUGAUUUCUGGAAAGGUCAAGGGUUAAACCGAAAAAUGCGAGGGCAGAUCUGUAAAUACUUUCAACGCGAUCUGGACCGCGGGUUGAUUUGCGAAAAAGGCGGGGGCUAAAGUGCAAAAACUGCACGGCGCGGCUCGGUUGACCGGUACGCGAUCUUGAUUGACUCGCGUCCGGCCGUCGGAUUAAGAUCCGACGGUCGCGGUGAUCCGCGACAUCGCGGCGGCGGCGGCGAGCGGCGGCGAGCGGCGGCAAGCGGCGGCGGGUCGCCGGAGUUAGGCAAAAUAGCGCCACGAGGCACGGUUUAACGCGCGGGUUGCACCAAAAAAGAGAGGGGAACACGUCGAUCCCGUUUUGGGGGUUCUUGUCGACGGGGGCUCACCGGCGACGGCGAACGGCGGCGAGGAAGAGGCGGCGGCGCUAGGAGCUCGGGCGGCUAGGGUUUCGGGGAGCUGCGGCGCUGGUUUUGGGCGGAGGAGACUGGGAGGAGGCGGCGGCUUUUAUAGGGCUUGGAGAUAGAGCCGGCGCGGGUUCAAAUCCCCCGGAGGAGUCGGAGCGGAUGGAGUCCGGGGCGGAGACGGCGCGCGGCGGUUGCGGAGUUCUGACCGGAUUCGGCCGGAGGUGGGAGACGAUGGGUGGGGUCCACCCGUCAGUGGCGGAGGGGAGCGGUAGACGGGCCGGCGCGACCGUGGGCUGGCGCGCGCUCGUGGGCUGCGGGGAGCGGGAGAGAAGCGGCGAGCGGGCGCUGGCGGAGCAGGCCGAGCGGAGGUAGAGCUGGGCCGCGGAGAAAAAGGAGGAGGCCGGCGGGCUGCUUCGCAGGCCGGUAAGGAUGAGGCGGCCGGGCCGAAGAAGAAAAAGAAAAGGAGGGACAAGGAGCUUUCGGCCGAGGGAAAAGAAGAAGAAAAAGAAAAGGAAGAAGAAAAGGGAAAAGGUUUUGGAAUUUGAAUUUAAAUCUGAAAUUCAAAAUUUGAUUCAAACUCAAGCAACCAAAAAUUAUGCUCCAGCAUGAAUGCACAAAUAAUUCCUAUGAUGAAUUAAUUGAAUUAAAGAAAAUGAAUUUAAAUGCCUAGAAAUUAAAUAACACCCUAAUUUGAGCAAAUUUUAAUGAAUUUGAAUUAUUGAAAUUUUGGGUGUUACAUUGGUACUACAUCUCAUGUAGUAGAGGCGAUUGUAAGAAGCAACUUGAAAAGAAGUUUGAUCACUACUAUUGCAAUAAAUGUGACAAGAGAGCCGAACCUAAAGCCCAGUAAAUUAUUUAGUAGUUUACAAUCUUAUUAUAAUACUUCUAUUUCUAAUAGGAGAAUAAUAUUUUCAGAUUCAAAUUAAGCUUCAAAUAAGUGAUCCAACAACAAGUGCAACUUGUGUACUUUUGACAAGGAAGCAGAAAUGAUAAUUAAUGAAUGAGCAGAUUCGAUGAUCACCUCAGUUGAUCAUGAUAAUAAGUAGCUACCAAAAUCAAUUCAGGAAAUAUGUGAAGAAACAUUGAUUUCUCAAUUCAGAUUGACCGAGUACAACUUGACAAGUUUUAGACCUGAUUAUACUGUUUCAAAGAUAUUUUUUCCAAAAGAAAAGGGCAGUUCAAGAAUUGGUAUGGAAAGUGUAAAAAAGGUAACACUUUAUUAUUAAUUUUUUAUUGCACUUUUUUCUUUUGAAUCCGUAAUACUUAAUAAUUUUACUAUAUCAAUGAAACAAAUUCUAACCUAAAUUUAUUUUCUUUUUUAUUAUUUGUAGGAAGUAGAAGACAACUCAGACAAAUGCUACACGAUAACUACCGAGAAUGAAGAGGUAGACACUGAUGACUCUUUUACCGAGAAAGUAACAUUCGUAGAAGAAGCCAUAAGGACUGGGGAAAGAUUGGCUAGAAAAGUAUACUCACUUCCAUGUCAGUGUUCAUUCUAUUUACAAUACAUGCAAAAAAAAUAUUAUUCAUGCAAAAUUGCAGGUCUACUAAGCAUUAAAGGAAUAGCGGAUAGUGCAAUAUGUAAUCUGAGCAGCAUGCAUUACAAAGUGCUCUACUGCAAUUAAAUUAAAAAACAUGAUAUAUGUUGAAUUCUUAGACUUUAUUAUUAUACUUUUCUACGUGACAAUUCACAAUUUUUUAGAAAAAAGAAGAUCCCAGAAGAAGUGACCAUGAAAAAAGGUCUAUGACCAGCAAUAAGAAAAAAUGCAAGCAUAGAAACAAAUCCGUAGAAAACAUAGAAAAUAAGGUACUCCAUAAACAAAAGUAUUCUCUUAUAUUUUUAUUAAAUAUUUUUUUAACACUUGACAAGUUCUUUUUUAGGAUCAAUAUAUCAGCAAUUCAGAUGUCAUUGGAGAUGAAACCUUAGUUCAUCCAAAAGGUCAAAAAAAAACAUCUGAAGAAAGGUGUUUGGCUGAAAAGGAAAAGCAAAAAAGUGGUAAUGCAGACAAACACAUGCAGAAAAAUAUAAAAACAUGUCAUAGGGAGGCAGACCAAUCUUGCAAGGAGGUAUAGACGAAACGUGAUACACGACCUGCCUACCUUGUCGUGGAUACCCCAAGAAGAUGUCAUAGAGGUGCAGACCAAGCUAGCAAGGAGGUCGAAACGUGAUACACGGCCUGCCUACCUUGCCGUGGAUAUUAGCCCUGAGAUCAUUCUACUGUUCAAGGAAUAACACUCAAUGCUGCUGCUGCUGCUGACCUGGCUCCAUAAAGUUAUACUCCUCUAGGUGCUUGCACUAACUUUAUCUGAAGUAUUAUUCUCUCUGCACUGUAUAUAUGGUUAUGGAGUUUGCUGGAGUAUCCGGGGCGAAGAACCUACAUAAUACGUCUUGGAACUAAUUGACAUUGAUUCACAGACAAACUCUACAAGGUGCUGUUCUUGCCAUUUUAGAGCAUCCAAAGGACUAUAAAUAACAUAGUUUACCAUAUACCAUAUACCAUAUACCAUAAUAUGUUAGCUAAAAUAAGAGCAUACACAUGUUGCAGGAGUCCAAAAGCACCGGUUGAGGACCAGGUACAUUGAAUUACUAGAAAAAGACAGGGGACAAGGUUUAGGUAACCACAUGAAACAUUUGAAUUUAUUGUACUAUGAACACUUAGUUACCAUGCCAGGAGCACAUAGUUAACACUAACAUUUAGCCACUUUAGAUCAUCCCGAAUCACCAAUGACCCUCAAUAGUGACAAAUUUUGGUUUAAAUGCCAUCACCAAUGAUCCUCAAUAGUGACGUAUUUAGGUUUAAAUCCCGUCACUAAUAACCCUCAAUAGUGACCUGUUUUGGUUUAAAUCUCAUUACCACUGAUCCUCAAUAGUGAUGUGUUUUAGCAAAACAUGUUAUCAAUGACUUGUCAUUGGUGACGUGUUAAAACGCGUUAUCUCAAUGGCAAAUCAUUGGUGACGUGUUAUCUCAAUGUUAUCAAUGUUCUAUUCUUUUCAACAAUACCAGCUCGUUCCUCCGUUUUUAUUCCACCAAUACAAGCACCACCUUGUAACAUUUCCUAUGUUUUUUUUCCUUUUGUCUGUUUUCUCACUACAUGCGUUGCUCUUUCAUGCAUUUUUUUCCAUUCCUGUAUUCCAAAUAGGUCUACAUGAACACAAAAUGAACUAGGGGACAGAAAAAGCCAGUGAAGCCAAUUUUGAGCUUCACCAGCUACUUGCUACAUAAAGUGUGCUAUAGUGACGUGUUUUAGCAAAACAUGUUAUCAAUGACUUGUCAUUGGUGACGUGUUAAAACGCGUUAUCUCACUGGCAAAUCAUUGGUGACGUGUUUUAAAAAAACAUGUCACCGUGAGAGUCAUUGGUGAAGGGUAAUUAAAAUGCGUCACUAAUGUUGUAGCAUUAGUUAUGAUAAUUUAGUAACGCAAAAAUCUACCAUCAGUAUUGAGCUUUAGAGCCAUCGCUAAUGUGGGUUUCUUACAUAGUGAUGCAAGCUCUACAAGGUGCUGUUGCUGCCAUUUUAAAGCAUCCCAUGACUACAUGUUAAUAACAUAGUUUACCAUAUAUCAUAAAAAUAUUAGUUACAAUAAGCACAUACGCAUGUGGAAGAGUCCGAAUGCACCGGUUGAGGACUAAACACAUUGAAUUACUAGAACCAAAUGUAUGUUUAGAACAAAGACAGGGGUCAAGGUUUGGGUAACCGCAUUAAAAACAUUGGAUUUUACUGUACAUGAACACUUAGUUACCAUUACCAUGCCUUGAGCACCUAGUUACAACAAACAUUAAUUUAGCCACUUUAGAGCUUCCAGAAUCGCUAUAAAUAAUAUACCUACGCCGUACCAUGAAAACAUCAAGAAGAGAGACGGAUACAUGGACCACCAUCAAGCGAGUAGUGACAGCACGCACAAGAAUACCCGGAACCUGUUAGCUUGUCUGUAGUGAUCUGUUUUCUUCCCCAUAAAAUCCAUGAGUAUUGCCACAAAUAAUGAAAGAGGCUGACCAAGCUAGCAAGGAGGUAGAGCAAACGUGAUACACGGCCUGCCAAGAUUGCCCUGGAUACGCCAAUAAGAGCGACAGAUACAUGGAUCACACCAAUAUGGUGAAACGUAUAUUCAUCACACAAGCAAAGCUGGUCAGUUUAUCCAUGGUCAAAUUGUGGUCUUUGUUUUCACUUGAGAGCUAAUUGAGGCACUAUAAUAUGGGCAGGCCUAUCUUCAACAGACAUGACAGCUACAGGGAACUUGACAUAAUUUGCUGGGCCGCCUGUGCACAAUUAUUUGUUUUAUUGUCCUUGCAUAGAAUGCUAAAAUACUCUUUACAAAAUGUUGGAUCUAAUAUUUGAAAUAUAGAGUAGUAAUCAUAUAUUGAUCAACAACUUGAAAUUAUCUGUACAUUCUCGGUGAAGCUGUUGAACUAAUUUUUGCAAAUUAUUAAUUCAUCUCAUUACGUAAAGAAAAAAGUAAGUGGAUAAGAUAUUUCGUGGACCACAUCACUGCAAACAUGUCAUGGAGAGACAGACCAAGGAGGCAGGACGUGAUACACGACUUACCCUAGGUUGCCGUGGAACCGCCAAGAAGAGAUACAGAUACAUGGACCACACCAUCUUGGGAGUAGUGACAGCAUAUAUGCAGAAGAAUACCCCGUGCCUAUUUGCAUGCAUGUCUCAAGUGAUCUGUUUUCUUCAGAAAAUACAUGAGCAUUGCCAGAAAGAAUGGCAAGAGACAAACAUGUCAUAGAGACUUGCAUGUCUUGCCUUGGAUACGCCAAGAAGAGGGACACAUACAUGGAUAACACAAAUCUAGUGACACGUAUAUUCAUCACAAAGGCAAAUCUGAUAAUUUUAUCCAUGGAGCAGACCAAGGAGAAAUUGAUGACGGACAUGUGAUCUCUGUAUUCAGUUGAAAGCUAAUUGAGCUACACUAAUAUGAGCAGGACUAUAUUCAAGAGACUUGUUGAGAGCUACAGGGAACUUGUAAUAAUUUGCUGGGCGGCCUGCGCACAAUGAUUUGUUAUACAUAGUUGAAAUAUUUCAAGAAUUUAUCAACCUCAUACUCUGAAACCCUUGGUGCAAUGUACUCUGCUUUCCGAGGUAGACUGUUCACGUAAAAUGAGGUCAUGCGUAAGACGGAAUCGGAUUGGAUUCACAGGGAAUCAGAUUUGGAUAGCACCUUUUAGCAGGUUUUUAGUCAAAUGCAAAUUCGGAUCCACAUGUGGUUGAAUGCGAGUUCAAAAUUCUACUUGGAUAUCCAUUUAAUUUAGGUGAUAGCAAUUAGCACAAAAUGUUGGAUGAACAAAAUCAUAGUUAGACAUACAAUUACAUGUAUGGUUAAAGUAUAAUACAAUACACCAAGAUUAUUCCUUGAAAAUAUUUCUUAAAAAUAUUAUAAUAAAUGAAUAAAUAUAAUUGUGGCCACCAACAAAUAGUCGGUGGUCGCUAAGUUGGAGCCAUUUCUGGUUACUAAUGCGGCCUUCUCCUCGACCAGCGACGACAGCUGAGCUUGUUCCUUCUGACACUAAAUCAUCAGAGUCUUCCCUCCACUACUAUAGAAUGCACCUUUAGCACCAAUUGGGAAAUCCCCUUCAGUAUUGGAUGCUGCAACCAGUGCUAUAUAUCAAAAUGGAGACUAAAAGCCUCGGUCUUGGGUACCGGUUGCAUAACGCAUUACUAAAGGAGGCAAAAGAGAAAUGUAACAAAAAAAAUAUUUUGAAUUCCAAGAAUGUUUCACUAUUCAAGAUGACUAGCUGAGAGUCAACAGACAAGAUACUAGGAAUGUGGGUGCUUGAAUGCAUUUGUACAGAGGUCAUACUAUUUACAAACUCUUCUAUGUUUCCAUAUGACUACCUACUUCAAUGUCACGCGAGCCAUUCAGCUGGACACAUGGCACACUAGCUUGCAUGUCGAAUCCAUGAUUAAUUAUUUGCACUUGUGAUCUCUUACCAGUAUUUGUCCAGACUAGAAACGUGCAACACAUUUUUAGGAUAUGGACACGCAUAUAUUUGGACUAGUAUACAGGUCACCUUUGGAUGCGUACAAGGAUGACCGGGAGGGACUAAUGGAUACAAGGAAGGGACCAUCAGGAUUAAUAUUGACAUAUGCCACAUGACAAUCUUCAUUGUCAUGCAAUCCCUAUCAACAAUCAUGGAAUCCCUAGUGUACUAAUCCCUGGAGGGUUGUGUGGAAAUUUAUUUUACCUUGCGGUGAAAAUCUCAUGAGCAGUCAUUAGUUAAGCUGACUAGCUGAGAUAUAAUAGACAAGCUAGUAAGAUUGGGAGCAUCAAUGCAUCCAUACAGGGUCACAAUAUCCUUUCCAUUCACUUUUAUAUAUAACCCUACGAAUACAAGUCCAACGAAAUGCGGGCCUUUCGAUCAAGAUAAAUUAAAUGGCCCACUUGUAUUUCUAAUCCAGGAUUAACUAUGCCCUCUGUUCAUCUCUUGCAAGCACGUGCAACACAUUUUCACGAUAUGGACAUGCAUGGAGGUUAUUAUACUGUUUGGACAAACUCUGAUGUGCCAUGACCUAAAUGCUUAGGGCCUGUUUGGUUUGAGUUGCUUAUUAUAAGCAACUUAAAGUUGCUUAAAGUUGCUUAUUUGAAGUUGCUUAUUUUUAGUCUAAACUGUUUGGAUACCCUUGCUUAUGAGCAUUGAAUGAGUUGGACAUUGUCAAAUUUGCCCCAUGUGUUGCUACCCCUCCAAUUUGCCUCCCCACCCUUCUUCUUCCUGCACACGUCCGAUCCCGGGGGCCGACGGCGGGCAGGGAGCAGCAGCAGCUGGCCAGGGCGGCGGUGGGGCGGGAGCGGCGGCGCACACCAGCACGCGCUCGCACGCCAGGUGCUAGGGCGCGGCGAGGCAGUCGUCGUAGCCCACCGGGAGCGGGUGCUCGGGCGCGAGGCGGUACUCGACGGAGAUGCCGAGCGUCGGGCGCGCGGCGGCGAGCGCGUUGAGGAAGCGAUGGUAGUGCGGCGACGUCGCGGACUCCGCCACGAAGCCGCCGCCGUGGACGUACACCACCACGGGCAGCUUCGUCUUGCCGUCGGCGGCCGCGGCCGCGGCCUGGGGUGGCAGGUAGAGGCGGACGGAGCAGGAGCCGAGGUCGACGUCCCUGGAGUCGACGCCCGUGGCGGCGUCCAGGCUGGGCCCGACCGGCGGCGGCACGAGCGGGCGCUCGAUGCGGCCGCUCUUGUAAAUCCGACGGGUCUGUGCGGAGGCGGGCGGCGGGCGGGAGCGGCGGGUGGGAGCGGCGGCAGGUGGUGCGGAGGCCGGCGGCGGCGGGUGGCGCGGAGGAAGGGGAGCUGGUGAGUGGUGACAGGGGAGGGGGGGAGAGAGAGGGGGGGUAGGGUGCAUUGAAUGAGGGCAGGAGGUGUAAAGUGCACCUUUUAGUCCCCAUGAGCAACCAUAAGCAGCCCAAGAGUUGCUUAUUUGCUUAUAAUAAGCAACCUCAUAAGCAAGAGUGAUUGGUUUCAUAAGCAACUUAUUUGCUUAUUUUAAGUUGCUUAUGCAUAAGCAUGUGAAACCAAGCAGGUCCUUAACCUAUGGUUGUGGCACCACACAGUACAUAGUAUUUAAUAAUGCUAUUCGUUUGGUAUGUGCACAAGGGCACGCAUGAAAUGUCUGGCCCACGGUAAACAAGUACGGACGCUGCAAAUAAUCUACUCUGCUCGUCCAGUCCCUAGCCUAUAAAUAGAUGCCAUGCUAGCUCUUGUUGUGCUCACAAUUAAUCCUGACUACACACGAGCUUCUCUCCCUGGCCAAGACACAAUCAUAGUAUGAUGAAGAACAUGGCACUAGCCGGCAAUGGUAUGAAGAACUUAAUCCUCGCUGUUCUCUUACUGUGUCUAGUUAUAGGGCAGAUACAAGUGGAAGCUAAGAGCUGCUGCCCAUCCAUUACUGCAAGAAAUAUCUACAAUGCCUGCCGUAUCACGGGUACAUCCCGUCCAACGUGUGCAAAACUGUCAGGCUGCAAAAUUAUCAGCGGGGACAAAUGCAAGCCCCCUAACGACCACCUCACCCUUGACCCGGACACUGGUAAAUAAUAAAUUUAUCUCACUUGAUUUCUUCGUGUUUUGAGUCGUUAAUGUAUUUUCCAUCUGAUGAAACGUAUUGGUUUUGCAUUGAAGAGGAAGUUAAUGUGCUUAACUUCUGCAAGUUGGGGUGUGCGUCGUCUGUGUGCAACAACAUCAACGCUGGUAAGCACCUUUUGCUCAGACGGAGAAAACAAUAAUCAUUAAUUAGCGGCAGCUAGAAUCCUAUAAUCUAAUAUAUUUAUAUAUAUAUAUAAUUUUAUCAGCUCUGGGAAAUGAAGAGGCGAACGAUGCCGUUGAGAGUUGCGACCAAGCCUGCUCUAGCUUCUGCAACGUGCACGUUGGCGCUGCCACCGUGGUUGCUUAAGCAAAUGCAUCCAACUGGAUCGUCCUUGUGCUAAAUAAUUGGAUAUCGUAUCCACUUAAAGCUGCCUUGUGUAGUACGUUUUUGUUUGUGUCUCUCUUUAUAUUCCAAUAAGGUCGGUGAUCUUGAUGCCACACACUCAGACGUGUGUUCAUCUCCAGAUACUACUCCAUGCUACCUGCCCUUUGUGUUUUGUUCAAUAACUGGGUAUCAUAUCCCAGCCAGUGUGCCAUCUGUUUUGUGUUUAUUUCCUUCUAGUUUCAAAGGGGUUAUCAUGAUGUUACCUUCUUUCGAUAUGGUGCUUUGCAUGACUACUGUUGUAUGGUACCAUCUUGUUGGCCAAUAAAUACAUCUUAUCCUAUGACCCUUUGCUAUGACCCUUUGCAAAUAAGUACAAGAUUGUUAAAUACUCGGUAUAAAUUGACUACUGCUGUGAGUUCCCUUUCAGCUUAUCGUAGGCAUACAUUAUUGCUAGCACGGUGAAGACAACCAACACGAAUGGUCAAGUAAACGUACCGGUACUUUUGUAUACCAACACCCUUGCUUAAAUGUACCGGUGUUACUCCCCACUAGCACAUAUAUUCUUAUAUGCUAGCCGGCUUGAAAAUUAACCGAUUAAAAUAAUUAUUUCAAGACAGAAAUAACUUAUCGGCUUCUCGAAGCAUGUGUAAUGUGAAUUCAAGGACUUGAUGGAAGUUGAAUCGCUUAAUCUAGAUUGCUUUCAGGAUUUUGGGUAACUAAAUUUAACAUUUGCACAUACAAAUGUUAAUGUACAAAUAUUAAAUAUAGUUACCCAAGCAGAAUAUGAAGAUACUCUAUAGUAUAUAUAUACUAUAUAAAUCUAGUUAACAUUUAGUCUAAAUGUUAAAUCUAGUUACCUAAAAUCCUGAAAGCAAAAUGUAUAAAUAUAUAUCUUUUAAGGAAUCCCAAAGCAAGAGUUCAGUGGCAUUCUAUAGUCCCAUGCUGCUAGUUUGAGUUGGUCGAAGCCAACUUAAAUAGGAGAGCUCUCUCACUUCUCUAAAUACGUAACUGAAGGAGAGAAGGGGGCUUGGUUACACAACGCACGCACGCACGCAUAUUUGCGUUCUUUUCGCGUAACCAACCGCGUGACUUGAAACUUGCGACGUAGCGUGCUGCCAAGUCAAGUUGAUAUAACCUUUUUGCCGUAGGCGUGUAAUCUUUUGACAACGGUCAUUGGAGGUGAUAAGCACGCAGUCAAUACCUUAAUCCUGAGUUAAUAGGGCGGUUACUACUGCCAAUUAGUGGGGCAAUUUUGUAGGGGAAACGGUUAGCAGAGGGCUACCAUCUUCUCUAUAAGAAGUUCUGGAGACGUCCAGGAACACACAUGUACAUGUGAGAGACCCACGAAUUCCUUCCCAUCUCCCUUUUCCAUCUGGUGAAGUGUGCUAUGGUACUGAGCUGCUGGAUCUCGCCGGCUCUUCUCCUUGGCGUGCACCGAGGAGGAGGGUGAGCGGUAUCUCCGAGCUAUUGCCGUCAGGAAGCCUGCACGAGGGACAACAAUAAAGUUUUUGGGUAGCGCAACUACGCAACCGCUCGAUUCGAUCGACUAUGUUCUGCGCUGCCUCAUCUUCGAUCUGCACUGCAACACGUAACCCUGCAGCAAGUCUACACAAGGACGGAGCACUAAUCUGUAAGUCCUAGAUUGGUUUCUUACAGAGUUGUAGGUUACACAAGAUCUAGAAUUGUUACAUACUUAUUAUUAUGGGUUACAUGAUGUUUUGUACGGUUACGUCUAUUUUGCAUAUGCUAUUUUUACAUACCGUUUACAUGCAUAUGUAAUGGUUACGCCUAGCUAUUUGAAUCUAGAAUUGGGUUACAUAGCAGUAGCAAUGACUUACGUAAUAUGCCUCAUGUUUAUAUCUGGUAGAAUUUAACACGUAUCUCCAACAUAUUUUGAGGCAGUAUAAAUUUCAAUUCCUUUUGCUGCUCUGUUAAAUCCCGUCUUUCGUGUGGCCCAACACUCUAGUAUGCAUGUAGCACCAAGCUUGUUUGAGCCGCUUUGUGCUCUGAUUUUGCUGUCUGUAUCAGGUUGGACUGUUUCUUUGUCUUGCGAUGUAUAGCUUCAUAUCUUCUAGAGGUUAGACAGCAAAACCCGCGUUCUCUUAAGGCAACAACUCGAAGAAUCUGCAGCGCUCCUGAUAUAUCACUGCUGCAGAAACAAUCUUUAGUACUGAUUUCCAACCCCCUUUAGUAUCGGUUUGGCAAUCAGUACCACUACGUCGGUACUAAAGGGAGUUCUCUAGAAUCGGGUCAAAUAACUGGUACUAAAAGUGCUCCUCUACUACCAGUUGGUAACACCAAUAGGUAGUAACUUUUUUUGCACCCAAAAAAUUAAAGAAAAACAGCCGGGAGGCUCGCGCACACACGCAUCAUGAGUAAUAUGCGCGUGCAUGGUUUGUGGGAUUCCAACCCACGACCAAGCUAUAAGCACGUAGUUACAAAAAAAUUAAACACUUAGACAUUUUAGAGCAUCCCAAAUAACUACAAAUUCUUUAGUUUACCAUAUACCAUAAAAUAUUAGUUAAAAUAAGAGCAUACGCACGUCGGAAGAGUCCCAAUGCACCGGUUGAGGAUCAGACCAGGCACUUUGAAUGCACAUGCCAUAAGAUAAUUCUGCAGGACGAUGAUUGCAAUAAUGGACCAUCGAGAAGAUAGGGGCGAUGGGGUUGCCUCAUCAAUUAUGACUUGGCGCAACAAGACCAGCAAAGUCUUUAUCGACAGGGGUGGAUCAAGGGGUGGGGCGGGUAGAGCUCCAAUCUUCCUACCGCCGCUCGAACAAUGGAGCCCCCCUUAGCCCCUCCAUAAAUUUUUAGGUAGAAGAAAAAAGAAGAGAAGGGAAGGAAGGGGAAGAAUAGGGAGCCCCUCCUAAGUAGGUCGCCAUCGUGCUUCCCAACGCAUGAUCGCCGCACCGCAUCCAUUCCUCUACAAGCCUCCAGCGUCUCUCCUGCCGCUACCUCUGAACCAUGUGCAGCUGCAGACCCAACUAGUGUCUUGUCACCCAUCUCAAUCCCAACAGAGCGGCGGCUCCUGCCAGCACAAAUCUCCCUCCGCCUGUUCUUCACGAUCGAUGGCCACCACAAGCAUAAACCUCGCCUUCGCAUCCACGCAAAAGGGUCGCCGGUGUGCCUUCUCGCAUCGCUUCUCAGCCUCCUUCACUUGCGGCUGGCCAAGAACCGUGCCACCACCUCGGGUGCGCGCCACCGCUCCAGGGCCGCUACCCCAUGCGUGCGGCCGCCGCCGGCCACCACGCGUGUGCAACCGUGUCGCACCGCUUCCCUGCUCUGUGCCACCACUGCUACUGCACCACCAGCUCCACCACCUUGGGCUGGUCGCCAGGGUGACUGAUUGGUGGAUUAUUACUACAAAUAAGUUCCUUAUUAUCUGCAACUACUAUUAACUCAGGGAUACAUGCGUCUUUUGCUUCUCCUGUUAAUAUGUCCUAAAAUAUCUAGAAUGCCUUAUAUUUCUGGACGGAGGAAGUAUUUGAAUAAAAUGAACCAAUUUUAAAAAAUGUGUUGUACACUACUACAGAAAGAACUAUCAGUGUCAAACCCAAAAAUGUCGUCACUGCCAGUUUUGGGCAUCGUUGGUGAAAGGUUGGCGGUGAUGGGUAUCCCCUUCAACAACGGCACUAGAGCUAACAGUGAUUGACAUUAGAAAACGAAAAAGGGGACCCACCUAGCCACCCCUGCAACCCGGCUGGCCGUGCCUCCCGUCAUCCCCACCACCUCGCCUCCCCCGUGACCCCCCGCCGGCGCCCUUGCGCCUAGCCCCCUCGCCUGCCUGGCCGGCCACCCUCGUCACGAGAGAGAGGGGUGCAUGUUGUAUAAUUGCGUGAAUUUUUAAUGUUUAAUUUCAUGUAAGUUUCAUAUAAUAAAUUGUACAAGUUUUAUUGUAUAUAUGAAUUCCAUAUAUAUAUAUUUAUAAUUUAAUGUAUGGUUUCAUGUGUAUAUUUCAAUAAUGUGUAUAUUUAGUAGAUAGCCGAUUUUCUUUUUCUACAAGACAAGGGUUGAUGUAUAAUUACGUGUAUAUGUUUAUUGUACGGGCAAUUAGGACAAGUUUUGUAUAAAUUUCUUUUAUUUCAUGGUUGUUGUAUGGUUUCAUGUAUAUACAUUUAUUGUACUACUUGAGACAAUUUUUAAUUUAAUGUUUCUAUGGUUACAUGUGUGUAUAACUAAUUGUAUUAUUAGUUAAGAUGGGAGCCAAAGAGGAUGAAAGGUAUAUAAUGGAGCAGAUUAUUGCUGGCGGUAGUGGCUCAAACGUUGCAAGAACCUACAUCAAGGGUGAGGGUAGCUAGGUGGACAUGUACCUCAACAUGUCCAGUGAUGGCAAUGACGAUGAGGAGCACGAGCAUGACGUUUAUGAUAGUGCGGAACAAGACAUUGCAGAAUUGGAAGGUUCUAAUGAGGUGUGCUUCAUGUUGAUGAUCUGGUUGGCUUUUUUUCUUUGGUCACACCUUAGUUACCAUAGAACUUCGUCUCGGGAGAAGAUUGGAGGUGCUAUGGUGAUUGGAAUUUUAUUGCCUCCAAAUAUGAUUUCCAUCGAAUCAUAUCCCUUGUAUUUAUCUUCUUUUUAUUUGUGAGAGCAUCUUCUUUAUGCUUGCAAAACAAUUCAAGUGCACAUACUACACCUAGGGUGAUGAUUAGGAGUAGAAACAAUUGCCAACAAACGAACACCACAUCCUAAGAUUCUUAACUUGUGGUAUAAUUAGUCUAGUAAAAAGAAAGAUAAAAACCUAAUGGGUGUACGUGAGUGCAAUGCGUAUAUGCAUAUGAGUGGAAGGCAUAUAAGCAAAGAUAAUAUUUACACAUAGAUCUAAGCACCAUGUUUACAACUAAGUUGCUGAAUUUCUCCAUAGCUAUAGAGAUUAAUGAACCAAGGUCAAAACACCAUGUCUAUCCCAAGAUCAGUAAUUCUUUAUAGCACAAGAAAAAGAAAGCGCAUUGCAAAGUUUAUAAACCAACCAAUGCAGCAUGAAAACAAGAUGAAUAGCUAGCAAGGUUUAUUAAACUGAAUGAUGACGGUCUGCAAGCAAGUUUGAACACCAUCUUUACACAAGAUUGCAAAUGGAAAAUUCCCAUAUGAAGAACUAACAUGGAUAUGAAAUCAUUCAUCAUAAAGCGUAAAGAACAACCAAGCCAACCAUAUGCAAAGCAUGAAUGGAAUGCAAUGAAGGUGCAAGAGAACAUUUUUGGAUGAACCCAUUAUGAUGAUGGCAAAAUGCGCCGUGCCCCCCAGCCCCCGCGGUGAGAUCCCGCCGCUCGCUGCCGCCAGACCCUAUUAGGCCUCCACCGGCAGGUCCACCCACGGUCCCGCGCGACGUGGCAGCCUCUUGGCUCUCGGCGCUCGCGGCACGCCAGUGCUGGCGCAGCCCCACCAGGCGACUACCCUCCCCCCAUAAGGCCUCGGCCCCUCCCCAGCGCCGCCCCCCAACACCAGGACUGCCUGCUGCCCCCCACCGUGAGGUAAUCGAAAUCGACUGCUCAAUCUCUCAAUCUGUUGAUAUGAUGCACACGGUUGCAAAAAUAGAUGUGUCAAAAUAGAUGUUUUGCCAAUUGCUAUAGAUGCAUACGGUUGACAUGAAGUCAAAAAUGACAUUUGGUUCCUUGUAGGCAGUCAAAAAUGAAGAAGUCAAAAAAUAUUGAUCUGAAAUCAAUGUGGGAAAGGGCUAUGAAGACACGCAGGUAGAUUCCCUUGUGAACUUUUUAUGUCGUUCGUCUAAAUAAUUUUUUGCAAUGGGCAUACCCUACUCUGAAAUCCUGGGUCCGCCACUGAUGAUGAUGGUCUAAAAAUAAACCAAGCCUAGAUUAAUUAGCCACAACUGAAAUUAAGCAAAGGUUAAUGUCAUUGACCCUAGCUCUAUCCUAGCUUUUACCAAAGUUCCGGCACAUAUAGUGGUUGGGCCCACUCUCUCUGCUUCCCUCUCUGCUGCAUGCACGCACACGAGCAACGGGAGGCCCGACGAAGCCCAGAAGGGUUCGGCCGAACCAGUAUGAGCGCCGCUCCCUCCCAGCCUUCGCGCAGAUGCUCCUCCAACGUUCCUUGACCCCUCCCUCAGCGUCCCGUUGGGUUUAACAUUGCAGGAGAGGAGUCCCUUUUUUAAAAUCUCAACCACCUCCUCUCCCCAUUCACUCCACUCUCAUCUCCAUCAAACUCACCAAGAUCCGCACCGGAAAUCCCUGCUUACCACCAUGGCUGGCAAAGCCCUCAUCCCUUUCACCAACUUGGGCUUGACCACUGAUCUCGAUGGGGAAAUCACUCUGGCAAAUAUGCGUGUAACACUGCCCCCUUUGCCGAGGGUUAAAGCCAAAACACUCAGCAAAGUGGAUAGUACCCCCCUUUUUACCCGUUUUGUCAUGUAUAACGGACCCCUCUCAAUUCACAAUAGACAUCAUCAUAGGCAUUUAUAAUAAACAAUCACAGGCAUAAUUCACAAUCACCAUUACAAGCAUUAUUCAUAAAUAUCACAGACAUAAUCCAAAGUAAGCAUGAAACAAGCCAUAAAUCCAAGUUCAAGUCACAACUAAGUUUCAUCCAAGUUCAAGUCACAAAUGCAAUGUCUAAAUCCAUGGAGGCCAAGGAGACCACUGCGACAAAUCUUGGUCUUCAUUAUUCGAAGCCGCCGAUUGAUUCUGCACAUAGGAUAGGACAUUCUGAGCUAACAUCUAAAGUUGUCAAAAUUAAAGUAUUCAAUCUUAAGCACAAUGUGUCAAAUGACUCACAGGAGUAGUUGUGGGUGGCUGAGGCGGAGGGAACAGCAUCGAUGGCGGUGGCAAAGAUUGACCCAUGCUCGAAGCAAAAUUCUGCAUGUACUGGAACAUCUGGUCCAUCCUCAUCCGAUUUUCUUCCUCCAUCCUCUGCCGCUCGGCCUCUAACCUCCGCUGAACCAUCUGCUCCAUCCUCGCCGCCAUCUCCUCUUGUUGCUUCCUUGCUGCUUCCACCUGGGCCUACAAUAUUUCAUUGCAAUGUUACAAUGCAAAGCUAAAGUAUAGCAACCAACGAACAAUGAAUGGAAGAGAAAGAACCUGGAGAGCCUCCAUCUGGAACUGUCCAAUGGUUGGUCGUAGCCGUAUCGCCGGGCUCGAGUCCGUGCUCCUUGCUUGGAUCUGGGAGAGAGUGGCAGUAGAGGCCGUGUUGAUUACGCCGUCGCCAAUCCAAUAUCGGCCAUGCUUCUUGCCUCCUCCCACCCUCAUCACGAUUUCUCCAUCAAUAUCCUCAGAGCUUGAAUCGAAGUCUGGCCCGUGAACCUCCCUUGCCAUCACUGUAUAUUCCUUUGCCGAGUGCCCGAGAUAAAGCACUCGGCAAAUAGAAAACACUCGGCAACUUUACUGUUUCCCGUAGUGUCGCUAUUUUUGCAGGUUCUCGACCAGGCCAGUUCUUUGGGCCAACCUAUCAUUCACGACUUAAACAUACGGUGGCUGUAGAAAUGUUCUAUUCUUUUCAACAAUACCAGCUGGUUCCUCCGUUUUUAUUCCACCAAUACAAGCACCACCUUGUAACAUUUCCUAUGUUUUUUUUUCCUUUCGUCUGUUUUCUACAUGCGUUGCUCUUUCAUGCAUUUUUUUCCAUUCCUGUAUUCCAAAUAGGUCUACAUGAACACAAAAUGAACUAGGGGACAGAAAAAGCCAGUGAAGCCAAUUUUGAGCUUCACCAGCUACUUGCUACAUAAAGUGUGCUAUAGUGACGUGUUUUAGCAAAACAUGUUAUCAAUGACUUGACAUUGGUGACGUGUUAAAACGCGUUAUCUCAAUGGCAAAUCAUUGGUGACGUGUUUUAAAAAAACAUGUCACCGUGAGAGUCAUUGGUGAAGGGUAAUUAUAAUGCGUCACUAAUGUUGUAGCAUUAGUUAUGAUAAUUUAGUAACGCAAAAAUCUACCAUCAGUAUUGAGCUUUAGAGCCAUCGCUAAUGUGGGUUUCUUACAUAGUGAUGCAAGCUCUACAAGGUGCUGUUGCUGCCAUUUUAAAGCAUCCCAUGACUACAUGUUAAUAACAUAGUUUACCAUAUAUCAUAAAAAUAUUAGUUACAAUAAGCACAUACGCAUGUGGAAGAGUCCGAAUGCACCGGUUGAGGACUAAACACAUUGAAUUACUAGAACCAAAUGUGUGUUUAGAACAAAGACAGGGGUCAAGGUUUGGGUAACCGCAUUAAAAACAUUGGAUUUUACUGUACAUGAACACUUAGUUACCAUUACCAUGCCUUGAGCACCUAGUUACAACAAACAUUAAUUUAGCCACUUUAGAGCUUCCAGAAUCGCUAUAAAUAAUAUACCUACGCCGUACCAUGAAAACAUCAAGAAGAGAGACGGAUACAUGGACCACCAUCAAGCGAGUAGUGACAGCACGCACAAGAAUACCCGGAACCUGUUAGCUUGUCUGUAGUGAUCUGUUUUCUUCCCCAUAAAAUCCAUGAGUAUUGCCACAAAUAAUGAAAGAGGCUGACCAAGCUAGCAAGGAGGUAGAGCAAACGUGAUACACGGCCUGCCAAGAUUGCCCUGGAUACGCCAAUAAGAGCGACAGAUACAUGGAUCACACCAAUAUGGUGAAACGUAUAUUCAUCACACAAGCAAAGCUGGUCAGUUUAUCCAUGGUCAAAUUGUGGUCUUUGUUUUCACUUGAGAGCUAAUUGAGGCACUAUAAUAUGGGCAGGCCUAUCUUCAACAGACAUGACAGCUACAGGGAACUUGACAUAAUUUGCUGGGCCGCCUGUGCACAAUUAUUUGUUUUAUUGUCCUUGCAUAGAAUGCUAAAAUACUCUUUACAAAAUGUUGGAUCUAAUAUUUGAAAUAUAGAGUAGUAAUCAUAUAUUGAUCAACAACUUGAAAUUAUCUGUACAUUCUCGGUGAAGCUGUUGAACUAAUUUUUGCAAAUUAUUAAUUCAUCUCAUUACGUAAAGAAAAAAGUAAGUGGAUAAGAUAUUUCGUGGACCACAUCACUGCAAACAUGUCAUGGAGAGACAGACCAAGGAGGCAGGACGUGAUACACGACUUACCCUAGGUUGCCGUGGAACCGCCAAGAAGAGAUACAGAUACAUGGACCACACCAUCUUGGGAGUAGUGACAGCAUAUAUGCAGAAGAAUACCCCGUGCCUAUUUGCAUGCAUGUCUCAAGUGAUCUGUUUUCUUCAGAAAAUACAUGAGCAUUGCCAGAAAGAAUGGCAAGAGACAAACAUGUCAUAGAGACUUGCAUGUCUUGCCUUGGAUACGCCAAGAAGAGGGACACAUACAUGGAUAACACAAAUCUAGUGACACGUAUAUUCAUCACAAAGGCAAAUCUGAUAAUUUUAUCCAUGGAGCAGACCAAGGAGAAAUUGAUGACGGACAUGUGAUCUCUGUAUUCAGUUGAAAGCUAAUUGAGCUACACUAAUAUGAGCAGGACUAUAUUCAAGAGACUUGUUGAGAGCUACAGGGAACUUGUAAUAAUUUGCUGGGCGGCCUGCGCACAAUGAUUUGUUAUACAUAGUUGAAAUAUUUCAAGAAUUUAUCAACCUCAUACUCUGAAACCCUUGGUGCAAUGUACUCUGCUUUCCGAGGUAGACUGUUCACGUAAAAUGAGGUCAUGCGUAAGACGGAAUCGGAUUGGAUUCACAGGGAAUCAGAUUUGGAUAGCACCUUUUAGCAGGUUUUUAGUCAAAUGCAAAUUCGGAUCCACAUGUGGUUGAAUGCGAGUUCAAAAUUCUACUUGGAUAUCCAUUUAAUUUAGGUGAUAGCAAUUAGCACAAAAUGUUGGAUGAACAAAAUCAUAGUUAGACAUACAAUUACAUGUAUGGUUAAAGUAUAAUACAAUACACCAAGAUUAUUCCUUGAAAAUAUUUCUUAAAAAUAUUAUAAUAAAUGAAUAAAUAUAAUUGUGGCCACCAACAAAUAGUCGGUGGUCGCUAAGUUGGAGCCAUUUCUGGUUACUAAUGCGGCCUUCUCCUCGACCAGCGACGACAGCUGAGCUUGUUCCUUCUGACACUAAAUCAUCAGAGUCUUCCCUCCACUACUAUAGAAUGCACCUUUAGCACCAAUUGGGAAAUCCCCUUCAGUAUUGGAUGCUGCAACCAGUGCUAUAUAUCAAAAUGGAGACUAAAAGCCUCGGUCUUGGGUACCGGUUGCAUAACGCAUUACUAAAGGAGGCAAAAGAGAAAUGUAACAAAAAAAAUAUUUUGAAUUCCAAGAAUGUUUCACUAUUCAAGAUGACUAGCUGAGAGUCAACAGACAAGAUACUAGGAAUGUGGGUGCUUGAAUGCAUUUGUACAGAGGUCAUACUAUUUACAAACUCUUCUAUGUUUCCAUAUGACUACCUACUUCAAUGUCACGCGAGCCAUUCAGCUGGACACAUGGCACACUAGCUUGCAUGUCGAAUCCAUGAUUAAUUAUUUCCACUUGUGAUCUCUUACCAGUAUUUGUCCAGACUAGAAACGUGCAACACAUUUUUAGGAUAUGGACACGCAUAUAUUUGGACUAGUAUACAGGUCACCUUUGGAUGCGUACAAGGAUGACCGGGAGGGACUAGAAAUGGUCUAGUUUUGAUUGGACUACAAAACUUUUUGUACAGUGAAUAGAGAAUAUAUAUUAUUGUUGGAAUACGAGGUAGGCUACACUAUCGCAAUUCUGAUAUUCUACCGCGUAUAACCAAGAAGAACUGUCGUAUAAGGAUCACGGGAUUACCACUCGACGCACUACUGGUGCGGAAGAUGUAGAUAUGCGUCGAUGCAGUGAAGACGAUCACGUAGUCGUAUGUAGUCGAUCAACGUAGUCGUACAUAGUCGAUCACGUCCAGCAGCUCCUCAGCAGCUCGUCCACGUGCAGCAAGAUCGCCUCCGGUACCGCGGCUCGUCGUUGGCUUGUCGUGGCUCGUCGACGGCUCGUCGGCGGCUCGUCCAAGUGCUGCAGGCGCAACACCUCCAAGGUAUCCACACGUGCAGGGAGGAAGCGUCGCAAGCCGGACUGCUAGAUCCACGAGUUGCAACAGGCGAGGGCGUGGGAGGCGCGGCAGGUGUGUUUCGCCAAAAAGGUGUAAACCCUAGGGCGCCCCCACCCCUCUAUUUAUAGAGGUUCCUGACGGGCCUCUGGAUCCGAGGCCCAUUAGUACUUCUAAACCUAAUCCAACUCGGAUCAGAUCCGAAUUGGGCUUCCAGCCCCUUAAGUGUGUGACCCUAUAAGUUCGGAUACGUAUAGACAUGGCCCGAGUACUCCUACUCGGCCCAAUAGUCGGUAGCGGCCUCUAGCAAGACGUGCCAACUCCUAUACGCACACGAAGAUCAUAUCAGACGAACCAUCACAACAUAAUAUACAUGCUAUUCCCUUUGCCUCACGAUAUUUGGUCUAGCUUCAAGCCGACCGCUCUUUCUCAGUCCUGUGAUUCGGAAUCCCUUUGUAGGUUAACUCUUAACCGUACGUAGCAUGGCCAUGCAUUUUCGGAUCUGAUCACUCGAGGGGCCCAGAGAUAUCACUCUCAAUCAGAGAGGGGCAAAUCCCAUCUUGAUUGACCAUGUCUCAUAGCAUGCUUCUUGACAAACCUAAAAACUACCUUUAUAACUUCCCUGUUACGGCGUAGUGUUUGAUAGCUCCUAAGUAGGUCGAUCCACAUCUAGAAUACAUGCGACAAUUUCAGGUCUAAGGACAAAGCGUAUAUGUUGUUUAAAGAGAGAACUACUUCUCGUGUUGGGUCAGUCCCAGCACAUGUCUCCACAUGUGUCCACAUUAUUAGUUCAACAUCUCCAUGUCCAUGACUUGUGAAACAUAGUCAUCAACUAAUACAUGUGCUAGUCUAAUAUUCAUGUGUGUCCUCACAUGAACUCCGACUAGGGACAACUUUAGAAUAACCAUACAAGUAAAGAGUUUCACAUACAAUUCACAUAAUUGCAAAUCAAUUCAAGUAGCCUUCAAUGGAUAUUCAAUGAACACAACAUACAAAUCAUGGAUACAAAUGGAAUAUCAUCAUCUCUAUGAUUGCCUCUAGGGCAUACCUCCAACAGUCUCCCACUUGCACUAGAGUCAAUCUAGAAGGUACCUAAUACCCAUAGCUCUUACAUGCGCAUCAUGCUUAGCCUGCGGGAGUGGUUUUGUCAACGGAUCAGAAAUGUUCAGAUCCGUGUGUAUUUUGCAUAUCUUGAUCUCACCCCGGUUAACGAAGUCUCGAAUGAGAUGAAAUCGCCGCAUUACAUGUUUGUUCUUCUGGUGGUUCCUUGGCUCCUUUGCUUGCGCAAUUGCCCCAUUGUUAUCACAGUAGAGAUUCAAUGGGCUGGACCCAUUCGGGAACACACCAAGCUCAAUGAGGAAAUUCCUUAUCCAAACACCUUCCUUCGCGGCUUCCGAAGCCGCGAUGUACUCGGCUUCUGUCGUAGAAUCGGCCACCGUCUCCUGCUUGGAACUCUUCCAACUAACAGCACCACCAUUUAGCGUGAACACAAAUCCUGUUUGUGACUUUGAAUCAUCUCUGUCGGUUUGGAAACUAGCAUCGGUGUAACCUGUUACAACGAGCUCCUCCUCACCUCCAUAGACGAGGAAUAUAUCUUUAGUCCUUCUCAAGUACUUAAGAAUGUUUUUCACCGCUGUUCAGUGACUCUCACCUGGAUCAGAUUGGUGUCUGCUUGUCAUACUUAGCACAUAUGAAACAUCUGGGCGAGUACUUAUCAUUGCAUACAUGAUAGAUCCAAUAGCCGAGGCAUAUGACACUCUACUCAUGUGAUCCCGCUCAUCAGCAGUCGAAGGACACUGAGUCUUGCUGAGAUGUAUGCCAUGUGACAUAGGCAAGAACCCUUCCAUGCUGAACCGCUUCAACACUUUGUCAAUGUAAGUAUCUUGGCUUAAACCUAUAAGCCUUCUCGAUCUAUCUCUAUAGAUCUUAAUGCCCAGAAUAUAUGCCGCUUCCCCUAAGUCCUUCAUCGAAAAACUAUUUUUCAGUGAAGUCUUUAUGGACUCAAGCAUAGGAAUGUUAUUUCCAAUCAGUAAUAUGUCAUCCACAUAUAAGAUUAGAAAUACUACAGAGCUCCCACUAACCUUCUUGUAAACACAAGACUCUUCUUCGUUCUUGGUGAAGUCAAACCCUUUGACCACUUCAUCAAAACGAAUGUUCCAACUCCUAGAUGCUUGCUUCAAUCAAUAAAUGGAUCUCUGAAGCUUGCAUACCUUUCCAGCAUUUUUCGGAUCGACAAAACCCUUGGACUGUAUCAUAUACACGUCCUCAGUUAGGUUUCCAUUCAGGAAAGCUGUCUUGACAUCCAUCUGCCAUAUCUCAUAAUCGAAAUAUGCAGCCAAACUUGAUUGUCUCCCAUGGACUCUAUUUCGGAUUGCAUGGCAUUCUGCCAUUUUUCGGAGUCUGGGUCCAUCAUUGCUUCUGCAUAUGUCACAGGCUCAUCAUUGUCCAACAAUAAUAUUUCCUGCAUUUCGCGGAGCCUUGCCGACCUUCGUGGUUGUGGCGGUGCUUCUCUUGCCAUGGGUAUCUCAACUUGUUCUGCUACGUUAGCAUCACUCAUUGAUUCUUGCCCGAUCGGCUCAUCUUGAACUUCUUCAAGAUGCACUGUCUUUCCACUCUUUUCUCCUUUGAGAAACUCUUUCUCUAGGAAAACCCCGUUCCGAGCGACAAACACUUUGCCUUCUGAUCAGUUGUAAAAAUAAUAUCCCAAAGUUUCCUUUGGAUAUCCCACGAAAAUGCACUUAUCCGACUUGGGUGCGAUCUUGUCCGACUGAAGUCGCUUGACAAACACAUCACAUCCCCAAAUCUUUAGAAAAGACAAACUAGGAACCUUUCCAGUCCAUAUCUCAUAUGGUGUCUUAACUACGGAUUUAGAUGGUACCCUAUUAAGUGUGAAAGCUGCUGUUUCUAGAGCGUAUCCCCAAAAUGACAACGGUAGGUCCGACUGGCUCAUCAUUGAUCGAACCAUGUCUAACAAAGAUCGAUUACGUCGCUCGGACACACCGUUUCUCUGAGGUGAUCCAGGCGGCGUAAGUUGUGGAACAAUUCCGCAACUCUUUAGAUGAUUGCUAAACUUGUGGCUCAAAUACUCGCCUCCACGAUCAGAUUGUAAGGCCUUAAUUUUCUUGACACGCUAAUUUUCAACUUCAUUCUGAAAAUCCUUGAACUUUUCAAAGGUUUCAGACUUGUGCCUCAUCAAGUAGACAUAGCCAUAUCUACUAAAAUCAUCAGUGAAAGAUAUGAAGUAUUGGAAUCCUCCUCUAGCCGUCGUGCUCAUUGGUCCGCAUACAUCACUAUGUACGAGUUCCAACAAGUCUACUGCUCUCUCAGGAAAUCCUGUGAAAGACGUCUUGGUCAUCUUGCCUAGCAAGCAAGCCUCACAUGUCUCGUAUGAUUCAAAAUCAAACGAAGUUAGAAGUCCAUCAGAAUGGAGCUUCUUCAUGCGUUUUUCACUUAUAUGACCCAAACGACAAUGCCACAAGUAGGUAGGACUCAAAUCAUUAGGCCGAGGCCUUUUAGCACUUACAUUACAGACAGGUGAACCAUCAAGAUUUAAAACAAAUAAUCCAUUCACAAUGGGUGCAAAAGCCAUAAACAUAUUAUUCUUAGAGAUCACACAACCAUUGUUUUCACUCGCAAAUGAAUAACCAUCCUUCAUCAAGCAUGAAGGAGACAAAAUGUUUCGACUUAAACUAGGAACAAAAUAACAAUUAUUCAACUCCAUAAUAAAUGCUGACGGGAGGUGGAGUUGCAUCGUCCCGACGGUCAACGCAGCAACUCUUGCAUUAUUGCCCACGCGGAAAUCAACUUCUCCUCUUUCCACGCUUCUACUUCUUAUCAUUCCCUGCAUCGAAUUGCAAAUAUGAGCAACCGAUCCGGUAUCAAAUACCCAAGAAUUAAUAAUUGUAUCAGCGAGAAAUAUGUUGUCUAUGACAUUAACAACAAGCGUACCUGAGGUAGAAGUACUCUUACUUCCUCCAUUCUUCAACGAAGCUAGGUACUGCUUGCAGUUUCUCUUCCAGUGACCAAGUUCAUGACAGUAAAAGCACUCUUUGUCUGGAGCAGGUCCAGGUCCAGCUUUAACCUUGGGCGCUCGCUGGGUUUGGCUUGGAAAUUCCAGCCUUGCCCUUCUUCUUCCAAGAAUUGCCCUUCUUCUUAAAGCUAGGCUUGUUCUGUAUAGCCAUCACAUGGCUAGUACAAGCGCUUUUCUUGAUGUCUACCUCUGCUGUCUUGAGCAUACCACACAGUUCAUUCAAACCCUUCUCCGUCCCAUGCAUAUGGUAGUUCGAGAUGAAGUUCCCAUAGCUAGGCGGAAGAGAUGAAAGAAUGAAGUCAGUGGCCAACUCUUUGCCCAUUGGGAAGCCCAGCUUCUCCAAUCGCUGAGUGUAACCAACCAUGUUGAUUACAUGUGGUCCUACUGCUGCGUCUUCUGCUAGCUUGCACUCCAGAAAAGCUUUGGACACAUUGAACCUUUCAGUCCUAGCCUGUGUCUGGAACAUGUCCUUGAGCGCCACGAUCAUAUCGUGUGCCUCAUGAUUUGUUUCGAACUGCAUCUGCAGCUCGGGUUCCAUGCAAGCAAGCAUAAGGCAGCUUACCUCAAGAUUAGCAUCAAAUGCCUUCUUGUAAGCAGCCUUAACGGCAGCAGAUGCAUCAUCAGCAGGUACUGGUGGUAGUGGGGUAUCUAGAACAUCUUCCUUUUUAUCGGCCCUGAGAACAAUUCUCAGGUUACGGAUCCAAUCCGAGUAGUUUGUUCCAUUCAACUUGUCCUUCUCAAGGACCGAGCGCAAAGCAAACGAUGUGGUGGUGUUGCUAGGUGCCAUUUAAUCUACAACAAAAGUAAUGCAAAAUACACUAAGACAAACGUAUCCAUGAUAGAGCAAAUUACAUUAAACUAUUUUAACAGAAUCUACUCCCACUAAAAUCAAUAUCCCUCUAUUGAAACUUAGUGAUUCAGGAUCCACAACUAACAAGUCUACUAGUGAGCUUUAGCAUCACCGCUAGCAAACGAGGUAGAUCGGUAAGCAACUUUUGCUAAUCAUAUCACAUAUGACUCCUGUUGUUGGGUGACAUCUCCAUGUCUCGGCGCCCAACCAUUAUGCCCCAAGGUCCUUAACCGUUAAGAUGACCUCGUUAAGCAAACCAACCCUUAUGCGUGUAAGUGUCCGACACAAACCCGUCUAGUCAAGGAAAACUAGUGGCACCCUAAUUUCAUAGACCCACCACUAAUUGUACAAGACAUGGGACGGUGCAAGUUUUAGUUGGGAGGGCAUACUAACUUAAAUUUUUUGUGAGGGAUCGUUCUACUUCUAACAUCACAGCAUGCAGAAAGUAAAACAUAAACAGAAUAGCAUUCACACAGCUGUGACACAGUAUGGCCCGUUUUUAUAUGGUGAUCUCCAUCUCCAUAGAACCUGUUCACCAUGGUGAUCUCCAUCUCCAUGUUCCAUGUGCGCCAUCCUCCUGGUGAGGAGUCCUCCAAGAACUAGAACAUGCUAUUACACCUAAUAGCUAGUAAAGAAUCUAGUAAUGAAGAUUACAUAGUUGCUUGGAUCAUCACAGAUUGGUACGCAGACCAUUAAAUACAAUAAAGUGACAACACAUAUGGCUCCUGCCGUGUUGCCGUACGCGCGACACGCAGGUCACGAAUGAGUUACACACAUGCAUCACAUACACAAGGGGGCCAUACUGAUCACAAGAUACAUACAUACAUCCUGCAAAACAGAGUUAGGCGUCCUAACGUUCCAAACUUCGAAGGCCCGAAACUCCAUCUUCCAAGCCGAAUUUGGGAAAUCUAAUUUUGCCGAAAACGGCAAAGCGGUUGAAUUUCAUGUGUAACUUUUUCUGUAGAUCAAUUUUCAUAUAAAAUUCGCCCCGAUCCGAGAUCGUACCGAAAAGUUACGGCUGAUUUACCGAAGCAUACGCAUACGGCAAAAAUUCCGACCCCGGCAGUAGAUCCCAUCUACUAUUGCACAUCUAAUGCGCCUGGCGUAUGAUCCUGGAUUUCGAUUCGACCAAUCAUAUUGAUCUUCGCUCACUGCAACUGGAAUUACGUGUAUCACUUAACUCGUCGGCGGCUCGUCGGCGGCUCAUCCAAGUGCUGCAGGCCCAACACCUCCAAGGUAUCCACACGUGCAGGGAGGAAGCGUCGCAAACCGGACUGCUAGAUCCGCGAGUUGCAAUAGGCGAGGGCGUGGGAGGCGCCGCAGGUGUGUUUCGCCAAAAAGAUGUAAACCCUAGGGCGCCCCCACCCCUCUAUUUAUAGAGGUUCCUGACGGGCCUCUGGAUCCGAGGCCCAUUAGUACUUCUAAACCUAAUCCAACUCGGAUCAGAUCCGAAUUGGGCUUCCAGCCCCUUAAGUGUGUGACCCUAUGGGUUCGGAUACGUAUAGACAUGGCCCGAGUACUCCUACUCGGCCCAAUAGUCGGUAGCGGCCUCUAGCAAGACGUGCCAACUCCUAUACACACACGAAGAUCAUAUCAGAUGAACCAUCACAACAUAAUAUACAUGCUAUUCCCUUUGCCUCACGAUAUUUGGUCUAGCUUCAAGCCGACCGCUCUUUCUCAAUCCUGUGAUUCGGAAUCCCUUUGUAGGUUAACUCUUAACCGUACGUAGCAUGGCCAUGCAUUUUCGGAUCCGAUCACUCGAGGGGCCCAGAGAUAUCACUCUCAAUCAGAGAGGGGCAAAUCCCAUCUUGAUUGACCAUGUCUCAUAGCAUGCUUCUUGACAAACCCGAAAACUACCUUUAUAACUACCCUGUUACGGCGUAGCAUUUGAUAGCCCCUAAGUAGGUCGAUCCACAUCUAGAAUACAUGCGACAAUCUCAGGUCUAAGGACAAAGCGUAUAUGUUGUUUAAAGAGAGAACUACUUCUCGUGUUGGGUCAGUCCCAGCACAUGUCUCCACAUGUGUCCACAUUAUUAGUUCAACAUCUCCAUGUCCAUGACUUGUGAAACAUAGUCAUCAACUAAUACAUGUGCUAGUCUAAUAUUCAUGUGUGUCCUCACAUGAACUCCGACUAGGGACAACUUUAGAAUAACCAUACAAGUAAAGAGUUUCACAUACAAUUCACAUAAUUGCAAAUCAAUUCAAGUAGCCUUCAAUGGAUAUUCAAUGAACACAACAUACAAAUCAUGGAUACAAAUGGAAUAUCAUCAUCUCUAUGAUUGCCUCUAGGGCAUACCUCCAACAAUUAUUUCAUGUAAAUUUUUGACAAUUUUUUAAAAUUGUUUGAUAUUUUUUAAAUUUUUUUUAAAAUAACUUUGCCGAGUGUCCUAUUGUAGACACUCGGCAAAGCAGCCUUCACCGAGUGUUACCCCUGGGACACUCGGCGAAUUAAUGCCCGGCCGCUCAAGAAUAUGUGCCCGGCCCCCUCACUCUCCCGGCCCCCCUCACUCUCACUCCCCUCACUCCCUCCUCUCUCCCUCCUCUCUCCCUCUCGCCGCCGCCCGAAACCCCCGCCGCCGCCCGCCGCCCGGCAUGCCGCCCAGCGCCCCCCGCCGCCGCCCGGCGCUCCCGAAUCCGCCGCCGCCCGCCCGGCGCCCGGCCCCCGGAUCCGCCGCCGCCGGCCGCCCGGCGCCCCCGGAUUCGCCGCCGCCCGCCCGGCCCCCGGCCCCCGGAUCAGCCGCCGCCCGCCGCCCGGCGCACGGCGCCCCCGGAUCCGCCGCCGCCUGCCCGGCGCCCGGCCCCUGGCCCCCUGAUCCGCCGCCGCCCGCCCGGAUCCGCCGCCGCCCGCCCGGCGCCCGGCCCCCGGCCCCCGGAUCCACCGCCGCCCCCCCGGCCCCCGGAUCCGCCGCCCGCCCGUCCCCUCCACCGGAUCCGCCGGCGCCGGGGCCUGAAGAGAAGAGAAGAGGAGAGGAUGGUGGCGGCGGCGGCCGCGGCGGCGGAGCAGGUGGCAGAGCAUGCAUGAUUUUUUUUUAUUUUUUCAAUAAUUGUUCGCCAAGUGUUUUCUGGGCACUCGGCAAAGUCUUUGCCGAGUGCCCGACACAAAACACUCGGCGAACCAGUGUUUGCCGUCAAGAUUUUUGCCGUGUGUCGUUUGCCGAGUGUUACACUCGGCAAACGCUUUGUCGAGUGUUUUUGGGGUUUCGCGGAGUGACCCUGGCACUCGGCAUCACGCAUGUUUCCCUUAGUGAACUUGAAAUUAUCUGUACAUUCUCGGUGAAGCUGUUGAACUAAUUUUUGCAAAUUAUUAAUUCAUCUCAUUACGCAAAGAAAAAAGUAAGUGGAUAAGAUAUUUCGUGGACCACAUCACUGCAAACAUGUCAUGGAGAGACAGACCAAGGAGGCAGGACGUGAUACACGACUUACCCUAGGUUGCCGUGGAACCGCCAAGAAGAGAUACAGAUACAUGGACCACACCAUCUUGGGAGUAGUGACAGCAUAUAUGCAGAAGAAUACCCCGUGCCUAUUUGCAUGCAUGUCUCAAGUGAUCUGUUUUCUUCAGAAAAUACAUGAGCAUUGCCAGAAAGAAUGGCAAGAGACAAACAUGUCAUAGAGACUUGCAUGUCUUGCCUUGGAUACGCCAAGAAGAGGGACACAUACAUGGAUAACACAAAUCUAGUGACACGUAUAUUCAUCACAAAGGCAAAUCUGAUAAUUUUAUCCAUGGAGCAGACCAAGGAGAAAUUGAUGACGGACAUGUGAUCUCUGUAUUCAGUUGAAAGCUAAUUGAGCUACACUAAUAUGAGCAGGACUAUAUUCAAGAGACUUGUUGAGAGCUACAGGGAACUUGUAAUAAUUUGCUGGGCGGCCUGCGCACAAUGAUUUGUUAUACAUAGUUGAAAUAUUUCAAGAAUUUAUCAACCUCAUACUCUGAAACCCUUGGUGCAAUGUACUCUGCUUUCCGAGGUAGACUGUUCACGUAAAAUGAGGUCAUGCGUAAGACGGAAUCGGAUUGGAUUCACAGGGAAUCAGAUUUGGAUAGCACCUUUUAGCAGGUUUUUAGUCAAAUGCAAAUUCGGAUCCACAUGUGGUUGAAUGCGAGUUCAAAAUUCUACUUGGAUAUCCAUUUAAUUUAGGUGAUAGCAAUUAGCACAAAAUGUUGGAUGAACAAAAUCAUAGUUAGACAUACAAUUACAUGUAUGGUUAAAGUAUAAUACAAUACACCAAGAUUAUUCCUUGAAAAUAUUUCUUAAAAAUAUUAUAAUAAAUGAAUAAAUAUAAUUGUGGCCACCAACAAAUAGUCGGUGGUCGCUAAGUUGGAGCCAUUUCUGGUUACUAAUGCGGCCUUCUCCUCGACCAGCGACGACAGCUGAGCUUGUUCCUUCUGACACUAAAUCAUCAGAGUCUUCCCUCCACUACUAUAGAAUGCACCUUUAGCACCAAUUGGGAAAUCCCCUUCAGUAUUGGAUGCUGCAACCAGUGCUAUAUAUCAAAAUGGAGACUAAAAGCCUCGGUCUUGGGUACCGGUUGCAUAACGCAUUACUAAAGGAGGCAAAAGAGAAAUGUAACAAAAAAAAUAUUUUGAAUUCCAAGAAUGUUUCACUAUUCAAGAUGACUAGCUGAGAGUCAACAGACAAGAUACUAGGAAUGUGGGUGCUUGAAUGCAUUUGUACAGAGGUCAUACUAUUUACAAACUCUUCUAUGUUUCCAUAUGACUACCUACUUCAAUGUCACGCGAGCCAUUCAGCUGGACACAUGGCACACUAGCUUGCAUGUCGAAUCCAUGAUUAAUUAUUUGCACUUGUGAUCUCUUACCAGUAUUUGUCCAGACUAGAAACGUGCAACACAUUUUUAGGAUAUGGACACGCAUAUAUUUGGACUAGUAUACAGGUCACCUUUGGAUGCGUACAAGGAUGACCGGGAGGGACUAAUGGAUACAAGGAAGGGACCAUCAGGAUUAAUAUUGACAUAUGCCACAUGACAAUCUUCAUUGUCAUGCAAUCCCUAUCAACAAUCAUGGAAUCCCUAGUGUACUAAUCCCUGGAGGGUUGUGUGGAAAUUUAUUUUACCUUGCGGUGAAAAUCUCAUGAGCAGUCAUUAGUUAAGCUGACUAGCUGAGAUAUAAUAGACAAGCUAGUAAGAUUGGGAGCAUCAAUGCAUCCAUACAGGGUCACAAUAUCCUUUCCAUUCACUUUUAUAUAUAACCCUACGAAUACAAGUCCAACGAAAUGCGGGCCUUUCGAUCAAGAUAAAUUAAAUGGCCCACUUGUAUUUCUAAUCCAGGAUUAACUAUGCCCUCUGUUCAUCUCUUGCAAGCACGUGCAACACAUUUUCACGAUAUGGACAUGCAUGGAGGUUAUUAUACUGUUUGGACAAACUCUGAUGUGCCAUGACCUAAAUGCUUAGGGCCUGUUUGGUUUGAGUUGCUUAUUAUAAGCAACUUAAAGUUGCUUAAAGUUGCUUAUUUGAAGUUGCUUAUUUUUAGUCUAAACUGUUUGGAUACCCUUGCUUAUGAGCAUUGAAUGAGUUGGACAUUGUCAAAUUUGCCCCAUGUGUUGCUACCCCUCCAAUUUGCCUCCCCACCCUUCUUCUUCCUGCACACGUCCGAUCCCGGGGGCCGACGGCGGGCAGGGAGCAGCAGCAGCUGGCCAGGGCGGCGGUGGGGCGGGAGCGGCGGCGCACACCAGCACGCGCUCGCACGCCAGGUGCUAGGGCGCGGCGAGGCAGUCGUCGUAGCCCACCGGGAGCGGGUGCUCGGGCGCGAGGCGGUACUCGACGGAGAUGCCGAGCGUCGGGCGCGCGGCGGCGAGCGCGUUGAGGAAGCGAUGGUAGUGCGGCGACGUCGCGGACUCCGCCACGAAGCCGCCGCCGUGGACGUACACCACCACGGGCAGCUUCGUCUUGCCGUCGGCGGCCGCGGCCGCGGCCUGGGGUGGCAGGUAGAGGCGGACGGAGCAGGAGCCGAGGUCGACGUCCCUGGAGUCGACGCCCGUGGCGGCGUCCAGGCUAGGCCCGACCGGCGGCGGCACGAGCGGGCGCUCGAUGCGGCCGCUCUUGUAAAUCCGACGGGUCUGUGCGGAGGCGGGCGGCGGGCGGGAGCGGCGGGUGGGAGCGGCGGCAGGUGGUGCGGAGGCCGGCGGCGGCGGGUGGCGCGGAGGAAGGGGAGCUGGUGAGUGGUGACAGGGGAGGGGGGGAGAGAGAGGGGGGGGUAGGGUGCAUUGAAUGAGGGCAGGAGGUGUAAAGUGCACCUUUUAGUCCCCAUGAGCAACCAUAAGCAGCCCAAGAGUUGCUUAUUUGCUUAUAAUAAGCAACCUCAUAAGCAAGAGUGAUUGGUUUCAUAAGCAACUUAUUUGCUUAUUUUAAGUUGCUUAUGCAUAAGCAUGUGAAACCAAGCAGGUCCUUAACCUAUGGUUGUGGCACCACACAGUACAUAGUAUUUAAUAAUGCUAUUCGUUUGGUAUGUGCACAAGGGCACGCAUGAAAUGUCUGGCCCACGGUAAACAAGUACGGACGCUGCAAAUAAUCUACUCUGCUCGUCCAGUCCCUAGCCUAUAAAUAGAUGCCAUGCUAGCUCUUGUUGUGCUCACAAUUAAUCCUGACUACACACGAGCUUCUCUCCCUGGCCAAGACACAAUCAUAGUAUGAUGAAGAACAUGGCACUAGCCGGCAAUGGUAUGAAGAACUUAAUCCUCGCUGUUCUCUUACUGUGUCUAGUUAUAGGGCAGAUACAAGUGGAAGCUAAGAGCUGCUGCCCAUCCAUUACUGCAAGAAAUAUCUACAAUGCCUGCCGUAUCACGGGUACAUCCCGUCCAACGUGUGCAAAACUGUCAGGCUGCAAAAUUAUCAGCGGGGACAAAUGCAAGCCCCCUAACGACCACCUCACCCUUGACCCGGACACUGGUAAAUAAUAAAUUUAUCUCACUUGAUUUCUUCGUGUUUUGAGUCGUUAAUGUAUUUUCCAUCUGAUGAAACGUAUUGGUUUUGCAUUGAAGAGGAAGUUAAUGUGCUUAACUUCUGCAAGUUGGGGUGUGCGUCGUCUGUGUGCAACAACAUCAACGCUGGUAAGCACCUUUUGCUCAGACGGAGAAAACAAUAAUCAUUAAUUAGCGGCAGCUAGAAUCCUAUAAUCUAAUAUAUUUAUAUAUAUAUAUAAUUUUAUCAGCUCUGGGAAAUGAAGAGGCGAACGAUGCCGUUGAGAGUUGCGACCAAGCCUGCUCUAGCUUCUGCAACGUGCACGUUGGCGCUGCCACCGUGGUUGCUUAAGCAAAUGCAUCCAACUGGAUCGUCCUUGUGCUAAAUAAUUGGAUAUCGUAUCCACUUAAAGCUGCCUUGUGUAGUACGUUUUUGUUUGUGUCUCUCUUUAUAUUCCAAUAAGGUCGGUGAUCUUGAUGCCACACACUCAGACGUGUGUUCAUCUCCAGAUACUACUCCAUGCUACCUGCCCUUUGUGUUUUGUUCAAUAACUGGGUAUCAUAUCCCAGCCAGUGUGCCAUCUGUUUUGUGUUUAUUUCCUUCUAGUUUCAAAGGGGUUAUCAUGAUGUUACCUUCUUUCGAUAUGGUGCUUUGCAUGACUACUGUUGUAUGGUACCAUCUUGUUGGCCAAUAAAUACAUCUUAUCCUAUGACCCUUUGCUAUGACCCUUUGCAAAUAAGUACAAGAUUGUUAAAUACUCGGUAUAAAUUGACUACUGCUGUGAGUUCCCUUUCAGCUUAUCGUAGGCAUACAUUAUUGCUAGCACGGUGAAGACAACCAACACGAAUGGUCAAGUAAACGUACCG
rnacentral:lncRNA from 1 species